rnacentral:lncRNA from 1 species
GGAAGGGUUGUACUCCAUCACAGCUAGCACUGGCCUGGGUCCAUCACCAAGGCAAUGAUGUUUGCCCCAUACCGGGCACUACCAAGAUUGAGAACCUCAAUCAGAAUAUAGGAGCUUUGUCUGUAAAACUGUCUGCAGAGGAAAUGGCGGAACUUGAAUCCAUCGCUUCUGCAGGAGUCAAGGGUGAUAGGUAUGGGCCUGGCCUUGUUACUUGGCAAACUUCUGAAACUCCACCUUUGUCAACCUGGAAGAGGACAUGAAGACAUAUCUUUGUUAUGGCAAUAAUUCCUUCUAGCUAUGUGCCUGAGGGUGGAUUUCAGUAUAUUGACAGUUGAGUGACGUAUUUGUUCCAAUAAAUUUCGUCAUACUAUUGUCUCGAGGUUUUAGGCAAGUAAAGUUAUAAGAAGAAUGCGUUAAAGGUUUCUUCAGAGGUUGUACUGAAUAAAAAUCUGAUCAUGUAAAAAUAGAACAUAAUUUUCCUUGCAGUUGAAUGCGUUAAAGGUUAGCUAUUCUAGUUUUGAAUGCUAUAGCAGUCCAUUUCUUAUAUGCUACACUGUUACAAGAGAUAUAGACUGUCGAACAGCAUUUUAUGGUCGGAAUGUUUACAUCAAAAGCAUCUCCAAGGACAUGUCAUUCUAAAGUGUAUAAACUACAUCAUACCAACAAAAAGCAGAAAAAGGCCUAAGGUAUGGGAUAUUUCUAAAAUUUCAUGGGAGGCUUGUGAUAGCAAAAACUUCUGAAAUUGUCCCUUGAACUAAACUGAAAGACAGACAAUGGUAAGAUUUUAAGCAUGUCUUGUUAAGUUAAAAGGUUAAAACUUUACAUACAAAUAAAUGGUCAAAUUCACUUUAAAAUUGUGGUGUCAUCUUCCACCUUAAACUUUUGUACUAUCCAAGUUUGUUUUAAUUCCUUUGGGAAAAUGAAACAUCGAAUGCAUUCAAAAAAAUGGAAAGGAAAUGGCUUACCUUUGCACUUACGUAUCCAAUUCCAAUUUGAACAUUACAUCAUCCAUCCAAUUGAAAACAAACUCCUAUGGAGAUUUUUUUUUUUCCUUUAUUUUGUUAUUAGAUCUGAAUUUAUUUCACAUUUGGUUGUCAGAUCUAAAAUUUUUUUCAAAGUUUGAAUCUAUUUCAAUAUAUUUCAUUAUCAUUAUUGAAACUUAAAACAGUUUAUUAACAAAUCUGGCGAUUGCCAUAUGUACGAAAGGGAGACACUUUUAAAAUUCUUUAUAUUUUUUUAGAUCUGUUUGUAAUUUUCAAUUCUACUGUAUCUGUUAAAUUAUGAUCUGUAAUUUUUAAUGCAUGUUUGACCUACCAUUAGGGGAGUUAUGUAAAUCAAAUCAUGUUAGAUGAUUUCCAAAAAAAACUUAACCGUUAAUUUCUCUUCCCCGUUUUAUUUGUCCACUCUUCAAUUGUCAAUAACUCUUUUAAGAUACUUUGUAAUACAAAAUCAACUAAAACCGGUAGAAUCUGUAAUUAAUAGCAGUAUUCAUAUCAUGUUUUUGUAUAUUACUCGUACAUCUAAUUAGUCACAUUUGGAGAAAGAAAAAAAAAAGAUGAAAAUAAAAUUCCCCGAAUUUUGUGGUUUUUUUUGGUGCCUUGUUUAAUCUCUAAUUUUGUUUUUUGGGUUUUUAUUUUAAUCGAUUUUGGUUAUAGAGAUUAAGUUUCUCAGCCCGAUUAAUCGGUUAAUUAAUUAAACAUGGUUUGAGUUGGGUUGGUUUAGAGAUUUGGUUUAUAAAAGAACACUUGGCAAGUUUAGAAGGGGUGGGAUAGGGAAUGAGACAGGGUGUGAUACAGAGAUCCGUUGCGCAUGGCGAGCCACAUUUAAAAAUUGGUUCCUACCAUAAAGCCUAUCAUGUCCUGACACAAGAUGGACUGUUUUUUUUAAAUUUUUUUUGAAAGCAAGUGAAAAGUGUUGCAACUCAGGACUUGGAUAGUAAUUUUAAAAUUUAAUAGUGCACCUACCUUUUAACUUUUUUCGUGUGCUUUUAAGGUAUCAAAUGGGGAAAAAAACCAAUACCAUAUAACUUCAAAUGCAAGAUGGUACGAAAUUUGUUAAUAUGGAGAUGUUAAUAUACAUUGACAUGUAAAAAGUGCACUUUUAUCAAAAAGAUAUUUAUACUAAUAUUACAGUCAUUUUUUUUUCGAAAAUUCAACUUUUCAUGCAAAUAUGUAAUCAAUAUGCAUAAAUAGAUAGCAUUAGAUGAAUUUAAACAAGUAGCCUUCAAAUUUAAAAAUAUUUGAUUUCGUAAAUGUGCAUUCGCGAUUUAGAAAAAGUACUUUUCAAAUGGCAAAUCUAGAGAGCAAUAAAUACUCCUAGUUUAUUUUGAUUUUAAAUCUUCUUUUGACUUGUCAAAAAAGUGAAAACAUGAAACUAAUAAUGGGUCAGAUGCAGAUGAGUAUUAGAAAUUUGUUUUCUAGACUCUUUGGUCUCGCAAUUUUUUCAACAAUCAACUCCGACCAUUAUCACGGUCAUGUGAUUGUAGGUCUACCAGGUUUCGUAGUCCACGACAUGGAUUGGAUAUGUUGAUUAGCUGCCACCUUUUGGCGGAGGUGAGGUUCAAACCUCACCUGUAGUAAAAAAAAAAAAUUUAAGGGUUGUGUCAUAGUACUUUCUUGAUUUAGUUGAAUAUGUAUAUCCACUAACACCUAACACAAGUCUCCUUAUGCUCCCCUAGAUUAGGAUAGAAUAGGAUAUACAAUUGUAUCGUUGCCGAAAAAAAAUAUUAGUUGCCACCCUAUUGUCAUUAUUUUUCUUUUGUCAAUCAGCAACGUCUAUUCUAUUCAUAGUUAUUAAACCCGGCCCGGGAAGGAGUCCGGUGAAAGAGCUGAGUCAACGGGUUACUGGUUUAACCGGUGGGUGAGUGGUCCAACCGUUAGGUCACUACAUAUAUUUAAAUAUUAUGUUUUAUAAUUUUUUACGCCAUAAUAAAUAUUCAGUUAGUUUAAUUUAUUAUAGAUUCAUUAAUUUUUAUAAGAAUUAACAACCUAAAUUUAAUUAGUAAUCCACCAACUUUCAAGUAUAAAAUUUUAUCUCAGUGUAAUUAUCUAGUUUAUUUAUGAAUUUUAAGUGCAAAAGUUUAUUAAGAAUAAUAUUGGCCUUUAAAAUGAUUUGUGUAAUAUGUUAUUUUUAAGUCAAUUUCAUAAUUUAUAGAGUUCAGGGAAUAAUAAAAAUAUUAUUAAAAGAUUCCAAAUAACUAAUACUCUAAUAUAUAGUAUAAGAACAAAAUAAUUAAUAUAUGGUUGGCUGGUCUAGUGGUAAUGGUAGUCUACUUUUUUGCAUGAGAUCACGUGUUCGAAUCUCCAUUCUAGCAAUAUUUAUACAUUUUUUUCUUUUUCGUAGAACGGGUUCAAUGUUGAAACGAUCUUAUCAAGAACUCGGCUCGGUUUCAUGGCCGGUUUACCGGAUUGAUCGAUUGAACUGCCGGGCCGGGUCGGAUUUAAUAACUAUGAUUCUACUUCUAUUUUGAUUUCUAUUUUAGGGGAAGGGGAGGUCCAAUUGAAAAAUUGAUAGCUAUUGAACCAUCAUCGGAUAAAAUGAGUGCACUAUGCACGUAUGCGAAUCUAGGAGAAGCCGGCGCAAUGAUGGGAGGCAAUGUUUGAAUUUUUACCUGCCAUUCCACUAAGAUUUAUAGUCUUUGGUGGUGGCUAAUCACCCAAAGAGCUGUUGGUUAGCUCCCACCCUAUUAGAAACUAAAGGUUUUCAACCUUCUAAAAAAAAUGUUUUUGACUUUAAAAAAAAAUAUUUUUGUUUUUGUUUUUUCAAAAAUUAUUUUCAUCUAUCACCAACGGCAGUCAUGGGUUAUUUAUCCAAACAUAGAUCCGAACAACACUAAUCUCUCAGCAGCCAUCCCCUCAUUCCUUCUUGUAUCCUUUUUAUGAAUAGGAUUCAUCUUUUUGGUGUUCUAAAAUCACAUUUAAAAAGUUUUUUUCCCGAAAGUGUUAUUAUUUAGGAUGUGAAUGUUAAUUUUAAAAUUUUAAUAGUGGACCUAAAAAAAACUUGUAAAUUUUACAUAUGAGCACAAAGGGAAAAAAAAAACCACAUAACUUCAAGUCCAAGAUUGUAUGCAGUUUGUCCAAUAAAUAGAUAUUCAUAAUUCAUAAUUUCAUAUAUACAUGUUAACUAAAAGCGUUAAUCACAAUCCAAUUAUAUUGAUCUGUUCAAACCCGUUCACUAAUAAUCCGUCCAAAUUGGCCCAUUAACUUUAAAUGGGUUAAAGUGAGUAUAUAAGUAAACCCAUUUAAUUGGUGGAUAGUUGAUUGAUUCGUCUUACCCAUUUAUACCUAUUUAAAAAUAAAUAUACAUUUAAACUCAAAUUUUACUAAAUGUUAAGAAGAUAAAUUUGAAUUUCCUACGAAUCUAAUAAUAAUAAAAUAUCAUUUUUCUUGUCAAACAACAUGUGAAAUAUAAAAAAAAAAGUAGAAUUUCAAAUUAAUCAUAAAUGAGUAAUUGAGUAUUCUCAUAUCUAUUUGUUAAAUGGAUAUAAAUGAAUUGAUUCAAUUAUAACUAUUACUCAACUAGAAUCCGCUCAAACCCGUCUAAGUUAAUCAUUUGACACCCCUAAUGUUAAUAUAUAUUGACAAGUGAAAAGUGCAGCAUUUAUCACGAAGAUAUACUUAUUUAUCUCAAUAUUAAAGUCAUUUUUUCAUUACAAAAAUAUUGAUAAUUUCAUAAUUUCAUGGAAGUAUGUAACCAGUGACAUAACAUAGUCGCCAGUGGCGAAUCUUGUCACGAGUCCUCUUUUCAACACUUUGAUUAUGGGAUACACUUUUAACAAUAUGCCCCCACGUUGUUUUUCGAUCACUUUUUUUUUUUAAACCUCACAUUCGUUCGUUAUGUAUGUAUAAUUUCUUUUCAAAAAACUCCAAAAAAGUGGCAGCCCAAACGGGGCCAACAAUCUACUAUGUUCGGCUGUUCUCCCGCCGGACCCACCGCCGGCGGCCAAUAGCCGCCGGACCCACCGGCCGGCGGCGGCUGAUGGCCGGCGGCGGCCAUGGGUCAUCUAUAAAAGCAUAGAUCAAGACUACACUAAUCCCUCAUCAGUCCAGUCCAUCCAUACUUCUUCUUCAGGCCUCAGCUACUAAACAAUAAACUCUGCUCCACUCAAUUCUUUCCUCUGUUUCUUGUGGUUUUUGUCUGAAAAUGGCGGCAUCAGAAGAAGUGAAAGUGCCAAGAAUCAAGCUGGGGUCGCAAGGUUUUGAAGUUUCAGCUCAAGGGCUGGGCUGCAUGGGCAUGUCAGCCUUCUACGGGCCGCCAAAGCCCGAGCCUGAUAUGAUCAAACUCAUCCACCAUGCUAUUAGCAGAGGCAUCACCCAUCUUGACACCUCCGAUAUCUAUGGACCUCACACCAACGAAAUACUCAUUGGCAAGGUACCGUAUUUGCAAAUUUUCUGCUGUUGUGUGCCAUGCAUAAACUCUUGUACUUCUAAUUUCUAAAAGAGCAUAUUUGUAAGUAUUUUAGUUGGGUAUAUUAUAUUUAAACCCCUGCACUUGAAAUCUUGUCGCCCUUUAUAUUAUAUACGACAACUGGUCACAUCAAAGUGAAAGAGGAGGGCACUGUAAUUUUUUAUAUUGAAAGGUAUUUAUGUGUAAUUAUCAGAAACUUCAGGGGAGGUUUCUGAAAUUAUCCCUAAUAUUUAUACUAUAUAUAAAGGGAGCCUUAAAUUUGGUGUAAACUUUUUUUUGUCAUCUUUUAGAUUUCCAGCUUCACCCUCUCGAUCACUUAAUUAUACCACCAUAUUGCUAAUCAGCUUAACCACAAAUUAACUUUCACCCCAAUUAUCUAAAUAUAUAUUGCCUACAUAACUACCUACAAACAUUGUAACCAACAAGUUAAUUAAAAUUCUAUUAAAGAACUAUUUUUUUGACAAAUAUUCAAAAAACUAGUAAAAGAACUAUAUUGUCUCCCUUAAUUUUGUUUGUCAGCACUUAAACUCCAUCUGUUUAAAUUGUAAGUAUUAUUAGUCAAAUAAGACAAUAAUAUUCUUCAUUUUUUCAGAUGUUUGUCCUCAAUUGUAAGAGAAGGUUGUAGGUCUAGCACAUACGUUGAAUAGCUGUAUCCGAUUAGAAGGAUUUAGAACUCUUCUACCAUCUCUUUUUUUUUUCUUUUGUUUUUUCCUUCAAAAUUCUACAUCAUAACGGAGUUGGUAAAAUAGUACUAUUUUCGUCUUUGAAGUUAAAAUUGUCAUCAAUUUAUGGAAAGUUUACUAUUACUCUGAUAAGAGAUGUUAAAAUUUACUUUUUACGAGCACUAAAGUUUUAAAGAUUAUGAAAAGAGAAUUGUAUGAAGGAAUAGAAGGGAAAAGAAAGGUAAGAAAAUGGAUGGAUUGUGUUUGGAUUGAUUUUGGGUGGGGAAAGGAGAGGAAACGGAAAGAAAAGGAAAUGGAUGGAUUGUGUUUUGCUCAGACAUCAUUUCCAUACAAAAAUAGACGGAAACAGAGGGAAAGAAAAUCUAGUUGAUGAUUUUCUUAUAAAAUGCCUCAAGCACCCAAAUUUUACAUAAACUUGAGUAACCAUGUGUUUCAUAUCUGUAGAACUUGCCAUUUGUGAAACCUGCUUUAGAUAUGAAUUGUGGGAUGCAACAGCAGGCUAGGAAUGUUUGACUAAGCAACUUAUGUAAAUAUUUUAUCGUUAAGUGAAGUUCCUCUUUUGCUGUUCAAAAAAAAAAAAAAAAAGAGAGAGAGAAAAACCAUUCCUUUAAUGUCUGUCAUUCUACCAAACAGCAGAUUUAGGUUUUCUUUCUUUCCCAUCCAUAUCUAAUCCAAAUAAGGCAAAUGAGAACUAUUUUCCACUACUCUCCUUUCCUUUCUUUUUCACUAGGAUGUUUUAUUUAUUUAUUUAUCCUUUCCUUUGAUCCAAAUGGUUCCUAAAAGGGCCCUAAAUAAUUAUUCUACAUUGAUCAGUUCCCUAUUUUUGUAUUAAUUUGCAUGUGCACGAUUCUGUGUAUGUUCAUGUUGUGCAUCAAAUCUUGUGAAUGACAAAGCUAGAGUGUAAAUUUAAGUUGAAGAAAUAUAAACCAAAAAAGAAAAUGGAUUGGCUCCUUUAAGAGUAUCAGACUUCUAAACCCCAAGGAUUACAUAAUUUUCAUAUCCUUUGCUAUACAAAGAAGUGGCAUAGCCUUAACAAUGAAGUGCUGGAAAAACUCCAGAAGGACUGUGCCAUCCAUGAAAUCACAAUUCCGCUUGCUAUACCAUGCAUUAAUGUGUAUGCCCUUGAUGAUUAAUAUAAUGAAAUCAUGGUUCUAGGCCUUGAAGGAAGGAAUAAGAGCGAAAGUGGAGCUAGCAACAAAAUUUGCAAUCAGUUAUCAGGAUGGGAAAGUUGAUGUACGUGGUGAUCCAGCCUAUGUGAGGGCUUGUUGUGAAGCGAGUUUGAAGCGGCUUGAUGUGGACUGCAUUGAUCUCUAUUAUCAACAUCGCAUCGAUACACGUGUGCCCAUUGAAGUCACGGUUUGCUCCAUCUUGCCAUCCACCUCAUUCUUGAUGAAACAAAAGUUUGAUCAACUCCAAAUUUCGAAUAAUUCAGUUUCAUGUGCGUUUCAAUUCUUCAAAAAUUGCACAGAAAAGUUAGUCAACCUUAUGGUCUAGGCUAAUCUGCAGUAUGGUAUUGCUGAUUUAGCACAAGGCAUCCUGAAAAGUGAAAACAAUGAAAAUGUCUUAUAUUAGCUUGACAGUCCUGCUGAGGGAUAUACAGGUUGAUAUCAUGCUAUACAUUGUACAGCUUUCCUUUAGAAGCAAGAGACCUGAGCAUUCUCUUUCAUUUGAGAUAGGCUAUCCAGUUGAGUAAUGAUAUGCUAUUUACUUACCUUGUCAUUCGUUUUCAGUCGGUGCCAAAAGCACUGCAGAUAGAAGUUUUUUAGUCGAUAUCUAAAAAACGUGGUACUCAUUUUGUUCAGAGUAUAGCUUUUUGUCUAAUUGUGAAAGCCAGCUGCGACUACCCCAUUGACCUCUCUAAGCAAUUCAAAGAUUGCAGCUGCUUGCUUACAUUCAGCUUUUAUGAAAACAAUUUCUGUCUUCUUUUUCUAAUAUAGUCAGCAAAGAAUUGUCUUGUUUUUCCUGAGUAUUAGGAAGAAACUUUCUUGCAGUUUAAUCACUUAAAAUACAGGCAAGUAUAAAGGAAAUCAAGGAAAUUGACAACUGAUAAUUGAUAUGUACAGCCAUUAUUAUAUCUAGACGAAGUCAACAAUGUCGUGUAAUCAUAUUGGAGGAGCAUUAUGUUGGCAUGGUCCGGUGGGCUGUACAUAGAGAAGUAUCACUGGAUGCUUAUUGCCAUUUUUGUCAAUUAUUGAUUUCAGUUUGACGUAUACUUUGUCCACGACUUCAUUGAACUAGUGCAACUUUUACUUUUUUGCACGUAAUAUUUCGAUUAUCUGCCUAAGUAUUGAAUGUAAUAAAUCAGCUUUGCAUUUUCUUGUCCAUUGAAAUUCUCUAGAUAGGAGAGCUCAAGAAACUGGUUGAAGAGGGUAAAAUAAAGUAUAUAGGUCUGUCUGAGUCCUCAGCUUCAACAAUUCGAAGAGCACAUGCUGUUCACCCAAUAACAGCUGUGCAGUUGGAGUGGUCAUUGUGGAGCAGAGAUGUCGAGGAGGAGAUUAUUCCCACUUGCAGGUAGUGCAUAUAUUCUGCUGCAUUUUCUACGUGGUCUAGAAGAAAUAUGAAGUUCUUAAUUCAGUUUUUGGUAUAAUCUUUCAGAGAGCUUGGAAUAGGGAUUGUUGCAUACAGUCCACUUGGAAGAGGAUUCUUCUCUUCAGGUCCAAAGCUGGUCGAGAAUUUGGCUGAAGGUGACUGCCGAAAGGUUUGUGCAUAUCCAAAACUAUGAAGUUUUUGAGUAUAGAUUGUUUAUAGUUCGAAUAAGUUUCUCACUCAUCUACUUUUACCACUUCAGUGACAAUCUUGCUUGAUAUCCCUAUUCUUGUCUAUCUGUCAUAUGUUGCUGCACUUUUUGAUGUCCAAUAAUUUGAUUAAGCCUUAUAAUAUGAUCACAUUUAAUCAAAUUUCUAUUAAGCAGAGCAAAUCAACAGGCUUUUUUUUUUUUCCUGUCGAACAAGUCUUGAGGUCUUUAGUUGAUUGAAUGAAUUCAGAUUUUGGUGUCCUCUGUAUUUAGUUCAAAUUAAAAGAUAUGGCGCUAGCUUUGUCAGAUUUUAGAUCUUAUAUUAAUUGAAGGUUGUUAUUGCAUGCUGGACAACAAUCACAAGCAAUCGAUAGUAUCGAAUUUUAAAGUGCAAAGAUGUCCUAAGACGUCAAAACAGGAAGAAACUAUGUCACUUUUUAUGUAAAAGUCUCUUUUCAGUUUUGAGGGGAAAUGGACCUUGGACUUCAAUUUCAUCAUUUAGUCUCAGGCACAGAAUUUCAUCAUUUUGUCCUGUGAAACUAUCAUUUUUCCUUUACCAUUAAUCCUAAAACUGAGUUUCAUUGGUCAGAAGUGUACUUCUUAGUACAAACAAUAGUUGAUAUGCAUUUUAAGGUUCCCCUUUGAUGGGAAAUGUAUCUCAGAACUUAACUCCAACAGUUGAUGUUUCCUACUUGGAUUAUUCAGUCCACCUUGAUGCAUUGUUCUUUGCCCUGAACUUGUGUCCUUCAAACAAUAUUGCUGAUCAUCUUGAAGUAAUGUACCGUCUGUUCAUUUCUCCCUUCUGAUUUCUUGCAUUAUAGUUUGCUCUUUAAUGGGAAAUGUAUCUCAUGAUCUACCUUCUACAAUUAAUGUUUCUUAAGAGUACUCAGUCCAGCUUACUGGAUUGUUCUUUCCCCUGAACUUUGUACACCUCAAACAAUACUAUUGAUCAUCUUGAAGUUAUUCAUAUUGUCUUCAUUUGUAGACGACACAUGCUUCACUUCCUUUUGCAUUUCUGGCGUUACAGUAGCAUAAAAUUUUGAAAUUCAUACAAUGUAGGGUAUGCCAAGGUUUCAAGCAGAGAAUUUGGAGCACAACAAGAACUUGUACGAGCAGGUCAAUGCCAUUGCUUCAAGGAAGGGUUGUACCCCAUCACAGCUAGCUUUGGCCUGGGUCCAUCACCAAGGCAAAGAUGUUUGCCCCAUACCUGGCACUACCAAGAUUGAGAACCUCGAUCAGAAUAUAGGAGCUUUGUCUGUGAAACUGUCGGCAGAGGAAAUGGCGGAACUUGAAUCUAUUGCUUCGGCUAUCAAGGGUGAGAGAUACGAGUCUGACGCUGGGCUUGGUACUUGGAAAACUUCUGAAACUCCGCCUUUGUCAACCUGGAAGCGGACAUGAAGACAUACCUUUGUUAUGGCAAUAAUUCCUUCUAGCUAUGUGCCUGAUGGUGGAUUUCACUAUAUUGAGAGUUGAGUGAUAUGUAAUUGUUCCAAUAAAUUUUGACAUACUAUUGUCUCUAGGGCUAUGUCAAGUAAAGUUAUAAGAAGAAUGGAGUAUCUUCAGAGAGGUUGUAAUAAAUAAAGAUCUGGUCAUGUAAAAGCAGAAUAUAAUCUUCCUUGCAGUUGAAUGCAUUAAGAGUUAUAUAUUGUACUUUUGAAUGAUAAAGUGGUCCAUUUUUUAUGUGCUACUGCUACGAGAGUUAUAGAUUGUUGAACAGCAUUCAAUUCAGGACUUAUUAAACAUAAGCAUAUAAACAUUUUAUUCUCGGAAUAUUUACAUCAAAAGAAACUCCAAGGUCACAUCAUUGUAAAGUGUAAACUAUAUCAUAUUAAUAAAAAGCAAAAAAAAUGUCUAAAUGAGGAAAAAAAUGUACUAUAGAAGAAGUCAACAAUGUCAUGUAAUCAUUUUAUCCUAAAAUUGAGAUUCAAAUUUAGUUGAUUUGUAUUUUGAGUUUCCUCUUUGAUGGGAAAUGUAUCUCAGAACUUUAACUCCAACAGUUGAUGUUUCCUACUUGGAGUACUCAGUCCACCUUGAUGCAUUGAUCUUUCCCCUGAACUUGUGCCCGUCAAACAAUAUUUCUGAUCAUCUUGAAGUAAUUAGUACCAUCUGUUCAUUACUCCCUUCUGAUUUCUUGCAUUAUAGUUUCCUCUUUAAUAGGAAAUGUAUGUCAAGAUCUACCUUCUACAAUUGAGAUUUCUUAGAGUACUCAGUCCACCUUACUAGAUUGUUCUUUUCCCUGAACUUUGUUCACUUCAAACAAUACUAUGAUCAUCUUGAAGUUAUUCGUAUUGUUGUCUUUUGUAGACGACACAUGCUUUACUGCCCUUUGAAUUUCUGCAUUGCAGUUGCUUAAAUUUUGAAAUUCCUACAAUGUAGAAUAUGCCAAGGUUACAAGUAGAGAAUUUUAGAAUUUUAAUCCAAAUGGCAUUACAUUCCAUUCAUAAUGACCAAAAGGGGUUGUGAAUGUUGUUUUAUAUCUAUCUUUUGGUGUUAUUAAUAUUUGCCAAUAUCCUGAUUUUAGAUCAAACUUUGAAAAGAUUUUUGCUUUAAAUAAUCUAUUAAGCAAAUCUUUUUUAUUAGGAAUUGAAUAUCUGAUCCAUUGUAAAACUUUAUUUAAUGGUUUGUAAUUUAUUACUGAAAAAAGAAACCACCAAAGACCUUCAAACAGAAAUUAAUGAUCUUAAAAUACAAGUAAAACAACUACAGCGAGAAAUUAUAGAAUUAAAAACAAAAGAUUUAGAAAUAGAAGCAAAAAUAACAUUAAUAGAAAAUCAACCUUCAACUUCCAAUUCUAAAACAGAAGAAAUAAGUAUAUCAGAAAGACCAACAGAUGAAAUUCAAUAUUUAAAUACAAUAGAGAAAAUGAUAUUUCAAAAAUGGUAUGCUUUAGUAACUAUUACAGUAGAAGAUUUCAAAGAAACAUAUGUACCUUUAAUAGAUAGUGGAGCUAAUUCAAGUUGUAUUAAAGAAGGAAUAAUUCCUACUAAAUAUUGUGAAAGAACAAAAGAAACAUUAAUGGCAGCAAAUGGAGAAAAUUUACAAGUAAAAUAUAAAUUUACAAAAGGAUCAAUAUGUAACAAUGAAUAUUGUAUUAAACAUAAUUUUAUAAUUGUAAAAAAUAUAAAUCAUGAUAUAAUAUUAGGAACACCUUUUUUAAUUCAAAUUUACCCAUUUCAGUAAGUCAUGAAGGAAUUUCAAUAAAUAUAAUGGGAAAAACUGUUAUUUUUAAAUUUCUAACUCCAAUAAAACAAAGAGAAUUACAGACAUUACAAACAUCUUCUAUUUACAAAACAAUAAAUAGUAUUACUAGAGUACAACAACAAAUAAAUUAUAUUAAGGAAGAAAAAUCUUAUUUAAAAAUUGAAGAACAAUUAAAAGAAAGUAAAAUAUUAAAAAUAAUCUCAGAAUUAGAAGAACUAUUAGAAAAAGAAAUUUGUGCAGAUAUUUCUAAUGUUUUUUGGGAUAGAAAACAACAUAUGACAGAAUUACCUUACGAAACAGGUUUUAAUGAAAAAAAUAUUCCAACUAAAGCAAGACCAAUACAAAUGAAUUCUGAUUUAUUAGAAUUUUGUAAAAAGGAAAUAAAGACAUUAAUAGAUAAAGGAUUAAUAACACCUUCAAAAUCACCUUGGAGUUGUGCUGCAUUUUAUGUAAUGAAUCAAGCUGAAAAAGAAAGAGGAGUUCCAAGAUUAGUAAUAAAUUACAAACCAUUAAAUAAAGUUUUACAAUGGAUCAGAUAUCCAAUUCCUAAUAAAAAAGAUUUGCUUAAUAGAUUAUUUAAAGCAAAAAUCUUUUCAAAUUUUGAUCUAAAAUCAGGAUAUUGGCAAAUAUUAAUAACACCAAAAGAUAGAUAUAAAACAGCAUUCACAACACCUUUUGGUCAUUAUGAAUGGAAUGUAAUGCCAUUUGGAUUAAAAAAUGCACCAUCAGAAUUUCAAAAUAUAAUGAAUAAUAUUUUUAAUCCUUAUAGUUCAUUCAGUAUAGUUUAUAUAGAUGAUGUAUUAAUAUAUUCGGACUCAUUAGAACAACAUUUUAGACAUUUAAAUAUAUUUUUAAAAAUAGUUAAGAAAAAUGGAUUAGUCGUGUCAGCACCAAAAAUGAAACUAUUCCAAACUAAAAUAAGAUUUUUAGGACAUGAUAUAUAUCAAGGAACGAUAAAACCAAUUAAUAGAGCUUUAGAAUUUGCUACUAAAUUUCCAGAUGAAAUAAAAGACAAAAAUCAAUUACAAAGGUUUUUAGGAUGCUUAAAUUAUAUAGCAGAUUUUUUCCAUAAAUUAAGACAAGAAUGUUCUAUAUUAUUUAAUAGACUAAAGAAAAACCCAAAACCUUGGACAGAAGAACAUACUCAAAAAAUAAAAUAUUUAAAAGAAAAAAUUGACUCAUUACCAUGUUUAUGUUUACCACAUCCUAAAGCAUUCAUGAUAGUUGAAACAGAUGCAUCAGAAUUAGGAUACGGGGGUAUAUUAAAACAAAGAAUAGAAGAAUCAAAAGAAAAAUUAGUUAGAUAUCAUUCAGGAACAUGGUCUGACUCUCAAAAGAAUUAUUCAACCAUUAAAAAGGAAAUUUUAUCAAUAGUUUUAUGCAUAUCAAAAUUUCAAAAUGAUUUAUAUAACAAAAAAUUUUUAAUUAGAAUAGAUUGUAAAUCUGCAAAAGAAAUUUUACAAAAAGAUGUUCAAAAUAUAGUUUCAAAACAAAUAUUUGCUAGAUGGCAAGCUAUUUUAUUUGUUUUUUAUUUUGAAAUUGAAUUUAUAAAAGGAGAAAAUAAUUCAUUACCAGAUUUUCUUACUAGAGAAUUUUUACAAGGACAUGGAUCGUGAAAUGAUGGCCCAAAGAACUGAUCGAGAAUAUACCAAUUACCUAAGAACUCAAAGAGAUUCUCCUAAACUAUUAAACAAAGAAGCAGCUUUUCAAUUCAGAGGAUAUCAAUAUUUUAUUCAGACCAGUAAUGGAAGACAAAGUAUUCCAGCCUAUCAAAUUUCCAAACAUGAUACAGUGUAUAUUCAGAAAAGCCAUUUCGCAACCCUUACACCAAAGGAGAGAGCUUUUCUCAUUCAAAGAGAAAUUCAGAGAAACACUAUCAGAAUUCAAGUCCUAAGGAGAUCAGGAAGAAAUGAGGAAUUUCUUCAACAUUACAAAGAUCAAAAUAAAUAAUUAUCUAAUCAACUUAAAGAUGUUGUUUAUUGAUUUUGCAGGAACAUGGAUUCAAAAGCAGGAAAUUCUAAACCCAAGACUCCUCAAGAUUAUGAGAUGAGUCUUACUCCUGUAAAUCAAAAUAGAUUUCAAUUAUUGCAAGAUUUUCCAGCAUUGACUUAUAGUCAAGCUGCUCAUACUCCAACUUCUUCCCAAAUAAGACCUCUUCAACAAAUUCUAAAAACCUCAGAAAAAUCUAAUGAAAACUCUUAUUUCACAAAGCCAUCUACUCAACAUAUCACUUUAACCAGAUUUCAAGAAAUACCGUUAUAUUCUACACUCAAUCAGCUUAUUCAAAGAAUCUUUCCACAAAAAUAUUAUUGGCAACUUGAUGACCCUUCAAAAAAUUUGGAUUAUUAUGAAUUAAUUCUUACAGAUACUCAAUCUGUAGAAAUAUUCCCCAUUCCAGAUAGAAAAAAUCUAAUUAGUCAUUCAAAAUGUAUAAUAAAGAAAGUUUGUUCUCCUAAUGAAUGGACUUCUCUUUAUUCAAAGAAAUCUUUUUCAGUCAGAUUUAUUCCAAAUAGAUUUACUUAUCAAGAUUACAAAAUGGCACGGUAUCGUGCUUUUUUGUAUAGACCAUUCAAUCAUUCGUGGUUCUUUACAUUCAAAGAAAGUUGCAGUAGAGAAUUCCCAAUUUGGUUCAAUCACUGGUGGAAAUGGUUUGGCCAUCAACCAGAAAUUCUACCUCCAAAUGUUCUUAUGGGAUUCCAAACUUAUCUCAAAAAAGCAAAGGGGGAGGAGUAUACAAGGCCAAUACUAUUCCAUAUGUAAUUCAAAGUACCAUGGAUUUUUUGCUGGAGUUUCAAGAUUCAUCAAGAAUUAGAAAAAUCACUCCCAAUGUCUCUAGUCAGAGAAUUCAAAAUCAAAUGGUGGAUAGGAUUUAAUCAAGAAUUUGGAGAUCAGGCAAAUGUGAUAAGAUUUUUAACAACCGGAGACAAACUCAAAUGGACAAGUCAGCCAACCACUUCAACCACUUCAACAAUUAUGCCAACCACUUCAACAACUAUGCCAACCACUCCAACCAUUCCAAAAAAGAAAGAUAAAGAAAAAGUUAUGGUAUCUGAGGUAAUUACAAACGACUUUUUGAAGAAAAAGAUGAUGCAGAAUCCCGAGAUGCUUAAAGAAUAUUUUGACUAUUUACAAAAGCAGGAUAAGAAUGAAGAAACCGACAAAAUUGAUGAGUCGGCUGGAUCAUUCGAAUCUACUUUUGAUCCUUUCGGGGGACCAUGCGGACAAGACCCAAAUGACUUUUGAAAAAAGAUGUCGGCCAUAUUUCAAAGAAAGGCAAAUGAAAUUCAAAUGAAAAUGAAAUGCAAGAACAGAUGAUUCUAUAAAUAGAUUCAAGAUCAGAAAACAAAGCAUCGGUGAAAAAAGAGAACAAAACCUUCCCGUGUAAAAAUCCUUAGAAAAAUCUCCCAAUCUCUCUUAUUCAACUACUCUUGUAUUCAACUACUUUUGCUUCCUUCUUCAAAUAUUUUAAUAAGAAGUGCAAGGAUUCAACAAAUAUCAAGCUUCCGUUAUCAAAGGCAACUCUAAAUUUUCAGUAAGUCUAAUCGUUUAAUUUCUAUGAACAUUUCAAUAGAAAGGAACCUGGGUAGAAGUGGUAUCAGAGCCACAUAGACGUGCAUAUUUAAACUUUGUUAUUACAAUUACUUCAUUUGAAUUAUUUUCUAUUUUGAUUUGGCUAAUUCAUGCAUUUAUGUUUACGUAUUUUAUUAAACUUUUACUGAAAUCAUUGGUAAGACUUUGAUGCCUUGUUAGACCGUUGGUAAGUCCAGGGUAGGAUGUUCCCAGCAUAGUGCUCAAUUGUUCCGGAUUAGGUAAAAAUUUAAUUAAUAUUAAACAUGGCUGCAUUUCUUAGACAAUUAAAAAUAGGAUCUAAUUCAAAGCAAACUAAUGUAGUACAAAGUCAUGAAUAUCAUAUGCCCAUAAAUAAUUCAGAUUGGACAAUUUCAGAAGAAAAAAUAGAACAUAUUUAUCGAAUAGGCCCUUUAGAUUUCAAAACAACUUUAUCAGUAAAAACACAUGAAGAAACAAUAUAUAUUCAAGAAGAAUAUCAAUCCAUUCCAUUAUUAAAUCAUAGUACAAUUCAAAGAUAUUUAAGUAAAGGAUAUCGAUAUAUUCAUAUAGGUUUGAUACAAAUUGCAGUAAAACCUUUAUUCCAUUUAGGAGUAGAUGCUCCUAUAUAUUUAGCAUUAAGAGAUACUAGACUCAAAAGAUAUAAAACUUCUUUACUUUCUAUGAUUCAAACUAAUGUAUGCAAUGGACCCAUAUAUUUUAACUGUGCUCCAAAUUUCUCAAUAGAUCUAACAGACCCACACAUUCUGAAUUCAGUCAUAUUAGAUAUUCACCUACAAGAAAAUGAAUUUGAAAAACAUACAAAGAAUUUUACAAUAAUAUAUAGAAUAUAUUAUAGACCCCUAUCUUCACAUUUAAAUCCUAAAUUUAUAAUGACUCCAACUCUUAAAGAAGAAACAACUUUAUUACAAGUAGAUGCAGAUAGACCCACAACUUAUAUUCCAAAAAGACUAAAAUGGAAUGAAAUAACUAUACUUAGUGAAUUUGAAAUUAAAAAUCCACAAAAAACAAGAAAUAUAGAACAAACCACUGCAGAAGAUAUUAUAGAGAAAUUUGAUGGUAAUACUUUAAUAAGAUUUUCAUCAUUAAGAAAAAAAUCUGAUUCAACUUAUUCUUGGCUACCAGCUAGACAUUCUAAUUAUGAAUCAACUGAAAUUAAUUUUUCUUUAGAAAGUACCUCAAAUUUUAAGUAUAAAACUCCUAUUCCAGAAGUUAUAAAUCAAAAUCAAUCAGAAUAUUCUCCAACCCAUUCACAAAUGAAAGGAGAAAUAAAUGUUAUAAAUAAAUCAUAUAAAAUAAAUCAUAAAUAUUUACAAGAAGAUUUUGAAGAUAAAGAAAAUACUGAAAAAAGAAUUUGAUUUUUUCAACUAGAAUCUGAAUAUAAAAGAAAAUUAAUUCUAGAAUGGAAAAGUGAAUUAGAAAAGCAAAAAUUUGAUUUCCCUUUCUUCACUUGGUUAUCAUACUAUACUGAAAAAAUAAGAAUAAAUGAUAUAUAUAAUACACCUCAAAUAAAUGUUCAAACUAAUUUAUACAAAAAAUGGAAAUUAAAAGAUGAUCAAAUAAUAACAUCUAUACAUCCUCCGUUACAAGAAGUAAAAAUUAAUAUAGGACAAGGAGAUAUAAUAGUCUCACUUUUUAAAAAGGGUAGAGAAGCUGAAUCGAAUUCAAAUAAUACAAUAAAUUUAGAAGAUAUUAAAAAGGUUUAUCAACAAAAUAAUUAUACCAAUCAAAUUCUUCAUACAAUUUCUCAACAUAUGGAAGUAUUAAAUGCAAAAAUAGAUACCAUAAAGAAACUAGAAUUAAAAUUCCCUAAUGAUAUUUCAGCACCUCAUUUUCAACCUAGAAGUUUGACAAGAGAAAAAGAACAAGAUUUAGUUCAAAAUAUUAAUAAUCAAAAAAUAAAUAAUACAUACAAUAUAUUAAAUAAAAUAUCUCAGGCAUUACAAAACUUAAAUAUAGAAGUAAAACCUCCAACACCUAGGAUAAAUGUUUUAGAUCAAAUAAUAGAAGAAAGUUCAUCAGAAAAAUUAGACAAUUCAUCUGAAGAAUCAAUAAAUUCAGAAAUGGAAGAAAAUAUAAUUUUACCAAUAGAAAAAUAAUUUGAAAAAAAAGAAAAUAAUCAAAUAAAUAAAAUAAGAAGAAAAAGAAUUUACAAUAAAAAUAAUAAAGAUUGGAAAAUGAUAAGUAAUAGAAAUUAUUAUCCAAGACCUAGUCCUCCAGACAUUCAAUAUGAAGAAAGAUCAAAAUUUCGUACCACUAAAUAUGAUGGAGAUUCAAUAUAUGAAUAGAACAUAGAUGGCAAAGCAGAAUAUGAAGUAUUAAAUAAUUUAUAAGAAAUGGGAAUGGCUAGAUUAGCUUAUAAAAUUAAAAAUAUUCAAGAAAGAAAUAUUGCAACAUUAUUAGUUUCAGGAUUUACUGGACAAUUAAAAAAUUGGUGGGAUAAUGCUUUAACAUUACAAGAUAAAUUAUCAAUACUAGAUCAUACACAAGAAAUUGAAGGUGAUCAAGGAAAUAUUCAAAUACAAUCAGAUGCUGCAGAAUUUCUAAUUGUAACAAUAGUAAUGUAUUUUAUAGGAAACCCAAAAGAGGAAUUAAACUCUAAUAAAACAUUUCUAACAAAUUUAAGAUGUCCAACAUUAUCAGACUUUAGAUGGUAUAAAGAUAUGUUUUUAACUAAUGUAUUAAGAAGACCAGAUUGCAAUGCUUCAUUUUGGAAAGAAAGAUUCAUAACAGGAUUACCAAACUUAUUUUCACAAAGAAUAAUGGAUAAUUUACAAAAGAAAAUGGGAACAAAUGUAAUUUCAUUCGAAAAUAUUACUUUUGGACAAUUAUUUGCUUUUGUGAAAAAAGAAGGAUUAAUGUUAUGUUCAGAAUUAAAAUUACAAAUAAAAUAUGGUUCAAAAACAAAAGAAGUAAGAUCAUUUUGUGAUGCAUUUGGAAUUAAAAGAAUUAAAUUACCAUCUGCAUAUAAAAAGAAAGUUAAAAAAUAUAAUAAGAAAAUAAGAUACAAAAGAUCUAAAGAAGAUAAACCAGAAAAGAAGAAAAGAUUUAUUAAGAACAAAAUAGUCUGUUACAAAUGCGGAAAAAUAGGCCAUAAAGCAAACAAAUGUAAAUUAAAAGAAAAAAUUAAGGAGAUUUGUACACAAGACGAAGAAAUUAAAAACAAAUUAAUAAAUUUAUUAAUAAAUGAAAAAGAUUAAAGUUCUGAAGAUGAUUAUUAUAAUGAUAUAUCUAGUUCAGAAAGUGAAGAAAAUUGUAAUUGUGCUAAUACUUCAAAAUACAUAAAUAUUAUAACUAAAAAAGAGAAUAAAGAAUUUUUAUUAGAUAUAAUAGAAAAAAUUGAUGACCCAAUAGCUAAAAAAGAAUAUUUAGAAAGAUUAAAAAGUCUAAUUAUACAAGAAGACAAAAUGCCAAAGAUAAUAGAACCUUUUAGUAUUUCUAAAUUAAUAGAUAAAUAUCCAAACAUAAAUAUAAUGAAAAAAGAAACCACCAAAGACCUUCAAACAGAAAUUAAUGAUCUUAAAAUACAAGCAAAAUAACUACAGCGAGAAAUUAUAGAAUUAAAAACAAAAAAUUUAGAAAUAGAAGCAAAAAUAACAUUAAUAGAAAAUCAACCUUCAACUUCCAAUUCUAAAACAGAAGAAAUAAGUAUAUCAGAAAAACCAACAGAUGAAAUUCAAUAUUUAAAUACAAUAGAGAAAAUGAUAUUUCAAAAAUGGUAUGCUUUAGUAACUAUUACAGUAGCAGAUUUCAAAGAAACAUAUGUACCUUUAAUAGAUAGUGGAGCUGAUUCAAGUUGUAUUAAAGAAGGAAUAAUUCCUACUAAAUAUUGUGAAAGAACAAAAGAAACAUUAAUGGCAGCAAAUGGAGAAAAUUUACAAGUAAAAUAUAAAUUUACAAAAGGAUCAAUAUGUAACAAUGAAUAUUGUAUUAGACAUAAUUUUAUAAUUGUAAAAAAUAUAAAUCAUGAUAUAAUAUUAGGAACACCUUUUUUAAUUCAAAUUUACCCAUUUUCAGUAAGUUAUGAAGGAAUUUCAAUAAAUAUAAUGGGAAAAACUGUUAUUUUUAAAUUUCUAACUCCAAUAAAACAAAGAGAAUUACAGACAUUACAAACAUCUUCUAUUUACAAAACAAUAAAUAGUAUUACUAGAGUACAACAACAAAUAAAUUAUAUUAAGGAAGUAAAAUCUUAUUUAAAAAUUGAAGAACAAUUAAAAGAAAGUAAAAUAUUAAAAAGAAUCUCAGAAUUAGAAUAACUAUUACAAAAAGAAAUUUGUGCAGAUAUUCCUAAUGCUUUUUGGGAUAGAAAACAACAUAUGAUAGAAUUACCUUACGAAACAGGUUUUAAUGAAAAAAAUAGUCCAACUAAAGCAAGACCAAUACAAAUGAAUUCUGAUUUAUUAGAAUUUUGUAAAAAGGAAAUAAAGACAUUAAUAGAUAAAGGAUUAAUAACACCUUCAAAAUCACCUUGGAGUUGUGCUGCAUUUUAUGUAAUGAAUCAAACUGAAAAAGAAAGAGGAGUUCCAAAGGUGCUGCAAGGCGCGCAAAUAAGUGCAGAAGAAUACGAGAUUAUGAAGGACCUGAUUAUUCCACUUGGUAGAGUUCCUCAAUUUGCGAUGCAGUGUGGCGCUUAAAUUGUGACUAAAUAGCUUCCCUCAACUCCGUCGCCCAUUUUGCUCGUCGGGAUUCUCUAAUGGGGUUGCUGCUGGAAAAUUUACCUGCUGGAAAUUUAAUGUUCGUACACUUCUUUUUGGUUCUUCCGAGUUGAAAUUCCUCUGUCUAGGUAAGAUAACCUUACCAGCCCCUCCUUUGCUCCGGAUCCCUGAGGCGUCAAUUUGAAUUGUGAACCUCUUCAAUGAGAGACGACACAAGAAAUGGGUGGAUUUAAUCUGUUUGAGUUUCCACUUAAAAAUCAUCCUGUAUGUUGCAGAUGGCACAAGCUUAGCCAUGGCGAUGAAGGAAUAAUUAGCAAAAAGUAACAGAUGAAGGAAUAAUUAGCAGGAGGGUUCCGAAAUUACUCCCUUUGAGAAACACAUAUUUUGGCUUGUUCUCAGUUCAUUUAUAUAUAUAUAUAUAUAUAUAUAUAUAUAUAUAUAUAUAUAUAUAUAUAUAUAUAUAUAUCUUUGCUGGGCUCUAAACUUUUGGUGUAAAAAAUUUAAAAUCAAUCCAACAGCCCCAAAUUGGGUAUUUGUUUUUCAAUUUAUAUUCAAUUACAGACAUUUUUUAGUUUCAUGUCCUGGAGUCUUAGCCCAGCAGUUGACAAUAAUGUAAAGGAUAUGAUAUUGAAAAAAAAAAAAGAGGAGUUCCAAGAUUAGUAAUAAAUUACAAACCAUUAAAUAAAGUUUUACAAUGGAUCAGAUAUCCAAUUCCUAAUAAAAAAGAUUUGCUUAAUAGAUUAUUUAAAGCAAAAAUCUUUUCAAAGUUUGAUCUAAAAUCAGGAUAUUGGCAAAUAUUAAUAAUACCAAAAGAUAGAUAUAAAACAGCAUUCACAACACCUUUUGGUCAUUAUGAAUGGAAUGUAAUGCCAUUUGGAUUAAAAAAUGCACCAUCAGAAUUUCAAAAUAUAAUGAAUGAUAUUUUUAAUCCUUAUAGUUCAUUCAGUAUAGUUUAUAUAGAUGAUGUAUUAAUAUAUUCGGACUCAUUAGAACAACAUUUUAGACAUUUAAAUAUAUUUUUAAAAAUAGUUAAGAAAAAUGGAUUAGUCGUAUCAGCACCAAAAAUGAAACUAUUCCAAACUAAAAUAAGAUUUUUAGGACAUGAUAUAUAUCAAGGAACGAUAAAACCAAUUAAUAGAGCUUUAGAAUUUGCUACUAAAUUUUCAGAUGAAAUAAAAGACAAAAAUCAAUUACAAAGGUUUUUAAGAUGCUUAAAUUAUAUAGCAGAUUUUUUCCCUAAAUUAAGACAAGAAUGCUCUAUAUUAUUUAAUAGACUAAAGAAAAACCCAAAACUUUGGACAAAAGAACAUACUCAAAAAAUAAAAUAUUUAAAAGAAAAAAUUGACUCAUUACCAUAUUUAUGUUUACCACAUCCUAAAGCAUUCAUGAUAGUUGAAACAGAUGGAUCAGAAUUAGGAUAUGGGGGUAUAUUAAAACAAAGAAUAGAAAAAUCAAAAGAAGAAUUAGUUAGAUAUCAUUCAGGAAUAUGGUCUGACCCUCAAAAGAAUUAUUCAACCAUUAAAAAGAAAAUUUUAUCAAUAGUUUUAUGCAUAUCAAAAUUUCAAGAUGAUUUAUAUAACAAAAAUUUUUUAAUUAGAAUAGAUUGUAAAUCUGCAAAAGAAAUUUUACAAAAAGAUGUUCAAAAUAUAGUUUCAAAACAAAUAUUUGCUUGAUGGAAAGCUAUUUUAUCUGUUUUUGAUUUUGAAAUAGAAUUUAUAAAAGGAGAAAAUAAUUCAUUACCAGAUUUUCUUACUAGAGAAUUUUUACAAGAACAUGGAUCGUGAAAUGAUGGCCCAAAGAACUGAUCGAGAAUAUACCAAUUACCUAAGAACCCAAAGAGAUUCUCCUAAACUAUUAAACAAAGAAGCAGUUCUUCAAUCCAAAAGAUAUCAAUGGGGGUAUAUUAAAACAAAAAAUAGAAGAAUCAAAAGAAGAAUUAGUUAGAUAUCAUUCAAGAAUAUGGUCUGACCCUCAAAAGAAUUAUUCAACCAUUAAAAAGGAAAUUUUAUCAAUAGUUUUAUGCAUAUCAAAAUUUCAAGAUGAUUUAUAUAACAAAAAAAUUUUAAUUAGAAUAGAUUGUAAAUCUGCAAAAGAAAUUUUACAAAAAGAUGUUCAAAAUAUAGUUUCAAAAUAAAUAUUUGCUAGACGGCAAGCUAUUUUAUCUGUUUUUUAUUUUGAAAUAAAAUUUAUAAAAGGAGAAAAUAAUUCAUUACCAGAUUUUCUUACUAGAGAAUUUUUACAAGGACAUGGAUCGUGAAAUGAUGGCCCAAAGAACUGAUCGAGAAUAUACCAAUUACCUAAGAACUCAAAGAGAUUCUCCUAAACUAUUAAACAAAGAAGCAGCUUUUCAAUUCAGAGGAUAUCAAUAUUUUAUUCAGACCAGUAAUGGAAGACAAAGUAUUCCAGCCUAUCAAAUUUUCAACAUGAUACAGUGUAUAUUCAGAAAAGCCAUUUCGCAACCCUUACACCAAAGGAGAGAGUUUUUCUCAUUCAAAGAGAAAUUCAGAGAAACACUAUCAGAAUUCAAGUCCUAAGGAGAUCAGGAAGAAAUGAGGAAUUUCUUCAACAUUACAAAGAUCAAAAUAAACAAUUAUCUAAUCAACUUAAAGAUGUUGUUUAUUGAUUUUGCAGGAAUAUGGAUUCAAAAGCAGGAAAUUCUAGACCCAAGACUCCUCAAGAUUAUGAGAUGAGUCUUACUCCUGUAAAUCAAAAUAGAUUCCAAUUAUUGCAAGAUUUUCCAGCAUUGACUUAUAGUCAAACUGCUCGUACUCCAAUUUCUUCCCAAAUAAGACCUCUUUAACAAAUUCCAAAAACCUCAGAAAAAUCUAAUGAAAACUCUUAUUUCACAAAACCAUCUACUCAACAUAUCACUUUAACCAGAUUCCAAGAAAUACCGUUAUAUUCUACACUCAAUCAGCUUAUUCAAAGAAUCUUUCUACAAAAAUGUUAUUGGCAACCUGAUGACCCUUCAAAAAAUUUGAAUUAUUAUGAAUUAAUUCUUACUGAUACUCAAUCUGUAAAAAUAUUCCCCACUCCAGAUAGAAAAAAUCUAAUUAGUCAUUCAAAAUGUAUAAUAAAGAAAGUUUGUUCUCCUAAUGAAUGGACUUCUCUUUAUUCAAAGAAAUUUUUCUCAGUCAGAUUUAUUCCAGAUGGAUUUACUUAUCAAGAUUACAAAAUGGCAUGGUAUCGUGCUUUUUUAUAUAGACCAUUCAAUCAUUCGUGGUUCUUUACAUUCAAAGAAAGUUGCAGCAGAGAAUUCCCAAUUUGGUUCAAUCACUGGUGGAAAUGGUUUGGCCCUCAACCAGAAAUUCUACCUCUAAAUAUUCUUAUGGGAUUCCAAACUUAUCUCAAAAAAGCAAAGGGGAAGGAGUAUACAAGACCAAUACUAUUCCAUAUGGAAUUCAAAAUACCAUGGAUUUUUUGCUGGAGUUUCAAGAUUCAUCAAGAAUUAGAAAAAUCACUCCCAAUGUCUCUAGUCAGAAAAUUCAAGAUCAAAUGGUGGAUAGGAUUUAAUCAAGAAUUUGGAGAUCAGGCAAAUGUGAUAAGAUUUCUAACAACCGGAGACAAACUCAAGUGGACAAGUCAGCCAACCACUUCAACCACUCCAACAACUAUGCCAACCACUUCAACAACUAUGCCAACCACUCCAACCAUUCCAAAAAAGAAAGAUAAAGAAAAAGUUAUGGUAUCCGAGACAAUUACAAACGACUUUUUGAUGAAAAAGAUGAUGCAGAAUCCCGAGAUGCUUAAAGAAUAUUUUGACUAUUUACAAAAGUAUGAUAAGAAUAAAGAAAUCGACAAAAUUGAUGAGUCAGCUGGAUCAUCCGAAUCUACUUUUGAUCCUUUCGGGGGACCAUGCGGACAAGACCCAAAUGACUUUUGAAAAAAGAUGUCGGCCAUAUUUCAAAGAAAGGCAAAUGAAAUUCAAAUGAAGAUGAAAUACAAGAACAGAUGAUUCUAUAAAUAGAUUCAAGAUCAGAAAACAAAGCAUCGGUGAAAAAAGAGAACAAAACCUUCCCGUGUAAAAAUCCUUAGAAAAAUCUCCUAAUCUCUCUUAUUCAACUACUCUUGUAUUCAACUACUUUUGCUUCCUUCUUCAAAUAUUUUAAUAAGAAGUGCAAGGAUUCAACAAACAUCAAGCUUCCGUUAUCAAAGGCAACUCUAAAUUUUCAGUAAGUCUAAUCGUUUAAUUUCUAUGAACAUUUCAAUAGAAAGUAACCUGGGUAAAAGUGGUAUCAGUGCCACAUAGACGUGCAUAUUUAAACUUUGUUAUUACAAUUACUUCAUUUGAAUUAUUUUCUAUUUUGAUUUGGCUAAUUCAUGCAUUUAUGUUUACGUAUUUUAUUAAACUUUUACUGAAAUCAUUGGUAAGACUUUGAUGCCUUGUUAGACCGUUGGUAAGUCCAGAGUAGGAUGUUCCCGGCAUAGUGCUCAGUUGUUUCUGAUCAGGUAAAAAUUUAAUUAAUAUUAAACAUGGCUGCAUUUCUUAGACAAUUAAAAAUAGGAUCUAAUUCAAAGCAAGCUAAUGUAGUACAAAAUCAUGAAUAUCAUAUGCCCAUAAAUAAUUCAGAUUGGACAAUUCCAGAAGAAAAAAUAGAACAUAUUUAUCGAAUAGGCCCUUUAGAUUUCAAAACAGCUUUAUCAGUAAAAACACAUGAAAAAACAAUAUCUAUUCAAGAAGAAUAUCAAUCCAUUCCAUUAUUAAAUCAUAGUACAAUUCAAAUAUAUUUAAGUAAAGGAUAUCGAUAUAUUCAUAUAGGUUUGAUACAAAUUACAGUAAAACCUUUAUUCCAUUUAGGAGUAGAUGCUCCUAUAUAUUUAGCAUUAAGAGAUACUAGACUCAAAAGAUAUAAAACUUCUUUACUUUCUAUGAUUCAAACUAAUGUAUGCAAUGGACCCAUAUAUUUUAACUGUACUCCAAAUUUCUCAAUAGAUCUAACAGACCCACACAUUCUGAAGUCAGUCAUAUUAGAUAUUCACCUACAAGGAAAUCAAUUUGAAAAACAUACAAAGAAUUUUGCAAUAAUAGAUAGAAUAUAUUAUAGACCCCUAUCUUCACAUUUAAAUUCUAAAUUUAUAAUGACUCCAACUCUUAAAGAAGAAACAACUUUAUUACAAGUAGAUGCAGAUAGACCCACAACUUAUAUUCCAAAAAGACUAAAAUGGAAUGAAAUAAAUAUACCUAGUGAAUUUGAAAUUAAAAAUCCACAAAAAGCAAGAAAUAUAGAACAAACCACUGCAGAAGAUAUUAUAGAAAAACCUGAUGGUAAUACUUUAAUAAGAUUUUCAUCAUUAAGAGAAAAAUCUGAUUCAACUUAUUCUUGGCUACCAGCUAGACAUUCUAAUUAUGAAUCAACUGAAAUUAAUUUUCCUUUAGAAAGUAUCUCAAAUUUUAAGUAUAAAACUCCUAUUCCAGAAGUUAUAAAUCAAAAUCAAUCAGAAUAUUCUCCAAUCCAUUCACAAAUGAAAGGAGAAAUAAAUGUUAUAAAUAAACCAUAUAAAAUAAAUCAUAAAUAUUUACAAGAAGAUUUUGAAGAUAAAGAAAAUACUGAAAAAAGAAUUUGGUUUUUUCAACUAGAAUCUGAAUAUAAAAGAAAAUUAAUUCUAGAAUGGAAAAGUGAAUUAGAAAAGCAAAAAUUUGAUUUCCCUUUCUUCACUUGGUUAUCAUACUAUACUGAAAAAAUAGGAAUAAAUGAUAUAUAUAAUACACCUCAAAUAAAUGUUCAAACCAUUUAUACAAAAAAUGAAAAUUAAAAGAUGAUCAAAUAAUAACAUCUAUACAUCCUCCAUUACAAGAAAUAAAAAUUAAUAUAGGACAAGGAGAUAUAAUAGCCUCACCUUUUAAAAAGGGUAGAGAAGCUGAAUCGAGUUCAAAUAAUACAAUAAAUUUAGAAGAUAUUAAAAAGGUUUAUCAACAAAAUAAUUAUACCAAUCAAAUUCUUCAUACAAUUUCUCAACAUAUGGAAGUAUUAAAUGCAAAAAUAGAUACCAUAAAGAAACCAGAAUUAAAAUUCUCUAAUGAUAUUUCAGCACCUCAUUUUCAACUUAGAAGUUUGACAAGAGAAAAAGAACAAGAUUUGGUUCAAAAUAUUAAUAAUAAAAAAAUAAAUAAUACAGACAAUAUAUUAAAUAAAAUAUCUCAAGCAUUACAAAACUUAAAUACAGAAGUAAAACCUCCAAACUAAAAUAAGAUUUUUAGGACAUGAUAUAUAUCAAGGAACGAUAAAACCAAUUAAUAGAGCUUUAGAAUUUGCUACUAAAUUUUCAGAUGAAAUAAAAGACAAAAAUCAAUUACAAAGGUUUUUAAGAUGCUUAAAUUAUAUAGCAGAUUUUUUCCCUAAAUUAAGACAAGAAUGUUCUAUAUUAUUUAAUAGACUAAAGAAAAACCCAAAACCUUGGACAGAAGAACAUACUCAAAAAAUAAAAUAUUUAAAAGAAAAAAUUGACUCAUUACCGUGUUUAUGUUUACCACAUCCUAAAGCAUUCAUGAUAGUUGAAACAGAUGCAUCAGAAUUAGGAUAUGGGGGUAUAUUAAAACAAAGAAUAGAAGAAUCAAAAGAAGAAUUAGUUAGAUAUCAUUCAUUAUAUUUUGAAAUUCUGAUGGUGCAUUUUUUAAUCCAAAUGGCAUUACAUUCCAUUCAUAAUGACCAAAAGGUGUUGUGAAUGUUGUUUUAUAUCUAUCUUUUAGUGUUAUUAAUAUUUGCCAAUAUCCUGAUUUUAGAUCAAACUUUGAAAAGAUUUUUGCUUUAAAUAAUCUAUUAAGCAAAUAUUUUUUAUUAGGAAUUGGAUAUCUGAUCCAUUGUAAAACUUUAUUUAAUGGUUUGUAAUUUAUUACUAAUCUUGGAACUCCUCUUUCUUUUUCAGCUUGAUUCAUUACAUAAAAUGCAGCACAACUCCAAGGUGAUUUUGAAGGUGUUAUUAAUCCUUUAUCUAUUAAUGAAUUUAUUUCCUUUUUACAAAAUUCUAAUAAAUCAGAAUUCAUUUGUAUUGGUCUUGCUUUAGUUGGAAUAUUUUUAUCAUUAAAACCUGUUUCGUAAGGUAAUUCUAUCAUAUGUUGUUUUCUAUCCCAAAAAACAUUAGGAAUAUCUGCACAAAUUUCUUUUUGUUAUAGUUAUUCUAAUUCUGAGAUUCUUUUUAAUAUUUUACUUUCUUUUAAUUGUUCUUCAAUUUUUAAAUAAGAUUUUUCUUCCUUAAUAUAAUUUAUUUGUUGUUGUACUCUAGUAAUACUAUUUAUUGUUUUGUAAAUAGAAGAUGUUUGUAAUGUCUGUAAUUCUCUUUGUUUUAUUGGAGUUAGAAAUUUAAAAAUAACAGUUUUUCCCAUUAUAUUUAUUGAAAUUCCUUCAUGACUUACUGAAAAUGGGUAAAUUUGAAUUAAAAAAGGUGUUCCUAAUAUUAUAUCAUGAUUUAUAUUUUUUACAAUUAUAAAAUUAUGUCUAAUACAAUAUUCAUUGUUACAUAUUGAUUCUUUUGUAAAUUUAUAUUUUACUUGUAAAUUUUCUCCAUUUGUUGCCAUUAAUGUUUCUUUUGUUCUUUCACAAUAUUUAGUAGGAAUUAUUCCUUCUUUAAUACAACUUGAAUCAGCUCCACUAUCUAUUAAAGCUACAUAUGUUUCUUUGAAAUCUUCUACUGUAAUAGUUACUAAAGCAUACCAUUUUUGAAAUAUCAUUUUCUCUAUUGUAUUUAAAUAUUGAAUUUCAUCUGUUGGUCUUUCUGAUAUACUUAUUUCUUCUGUUUUAGAAUUGGAAGUUGAAGGUUGAUUUUCUAUUAAUGUUAUUUUUGCUUCUAUUUCUAAAUCUUUUGUUUUUAAUUCUAUAAUUUCUCGCUGUAGUUGUUUUACUUGUAUUUUAAGAUAAUUAAUUUCUGUUUGAAGGUCUUUGGUGGUUUCUUUUUUCAUUAUAUUUAUGUUUGGAUAUUUAUCUAUUAAUUUAGAAAUACUAAAAGAUUCUAUUAUCUUUGGCAUUUUGUCUUCUUGUAUAAUUAGACUUUUUAAUCUUUCUAAAUAUUCUUUUUUAGCUAUUGGGUCAUCAAUUUUUUCUAUUAUAUCUAAUAAAAAUUCUUUAUCCUCUUUUUUAGUUAUAACAUUUAUGUAUUUUGAAGUAUUAGCACAAUUAUAAUUUUCUUCACUUUCUGAACUAGAUAUAUCAUUAUAAUAAUCAUCUUUAGAACUUUGAUCUUUUUCAUUUAUUAAUAAAUUUAUUAAUUUAUUUUUAAUUUCUUCGUCUUGUGUACAAAUCUCCGUAAUUUUUUCUUUUAAUUUAUAUUUGUUUGCUUUAUGUCCUAUUUUUCCGCAUUUGUAAUAGACUAUUUUGUUCUUAAUAAAUCUUUUCUUCUUUUCUGGUUUAUCUUCUUUAGAUCUUUUGUAUCUUAUUUUCUUAUUAUAUUUUUUAACUUUCUUUUUAUAUGCAGAUGGUAAUUUAAUUCUUUUAAUUCCAAAUGCAUCACAAAAUGAUCCUACUUCUUUUAUUUUUGAACCAUAUUUUAUUUGUAAUUUUAAUUCUGAACAUAACAUUAAUCCUUCUUUUUUCACAAAAGCAAAUAAUUGUCCAAAAGUAAUAUUUUCGAAUGAAAUUACAUCUGUUCCCAUUUCCCUUUGUAAAUUAUCCAUUAUUCUUUGUGAAAAUAAACUUGGUAAUCCUAUUAUGAAUCUUUCUUUCCAAAAUGAAGCAUUGCAAUCUGGUCUUCUUAAUACAUUAGUUAAAAACAUAUCUUUAUACCAUCUAAAGUUUGAUAAUGUUGGACAUCUUAAAUUUGUUAGAAAUGUUUUAUUAGAGUUUAAUUCCUCUUUUGGGUUUCCUAUAAAAUACAUUACUAUUGUUACAAUUAGAAAUUCUGCAGCAUCUGAUUGUAUUUGAAUAUUUCCUUGAUCAUCUUCAAUUUCUUGUGUAUGAUCUAGUAUUGAUAAUUUAUCUUGUAAUGUUAAAGCAUUAUCCCACCAAUUUUUUAAUUGUCCAGUAAAUCCUGAAACUAAUAAUGUUGCAAUAUUUCUUUCUUGAAUAUUUUUAAUUUUAUAAGCUAAUCUAGCCAUUCCCAUUUCUUGUAAAUUAUUUAAUACUUCAUAUUCUGCUUUGCCAUCUAUGUUCCAUUCAUAUAUUGAAUCUCCAUCAUAUUUAGUGGUACGAAAUUUUGAUCUUUCUUCAUAUUGAAUGUCUGGAGGACUAGGUUUUGGAUAAUAAUUUCUAUUACUUAUCAUUUUCCAAUCUUUAUUAUUUUUAUUAUAAAUUCUUUUUCUUCUUAUUUUAUUCAUUUGAUUGGUAUAAUUAUUUUGUUGAUAAACCUUUUUAAUAUCUUCUAAAUUUAUUGUAUUAUUUUAACUCGAUUCAAGUCAAUGCCAUUGCUUCAAGGAAGAGUUGUACUCCAUCACAGCAAGCAUUGGCCUGGGUCCAUCACCAAGGCAAUGAUGUUUGUCCCAUACCUGGCACUACCAAGAUUGAGAACCUCUAUCAGAAUAUAGGAGCUUUGUCUGUAAAACUGUCAGCAGAAGAUAUGGCUGAACUUGAAUCUAUUGCAUCAGCUGGAGUCAAGGGUGAUAGAUAUGAUCCUGGCCGUGGUACUUGGCGAACUCCUGAAACUCAUGAAGACAUACCUUUGUUGAGGCAUUAAUUCCUUCUAGCAUUCUACCUGUUGGUGAUUUCACUGUAUUGAGAGUUGAGCGAGUUGUAUUUGUUCCAAAAACUUCGUCAUACUAUUGUCUCGAGGGUUAAGACACGUAAAGUUUUAAGAAAAUGGUGUUUCUUUAGAGUGCUUGUAAUGAAUAAAGAUCUGGUCAUGUAAAAGUAGAAGCCAACAUACCAACAAUGUCAUUGUAAACUACAUCAUACCAACAAAAAGUAGAAAAUGGUCUAAAGUGAAUAAGAAAUCAACAAAAACUAUGUAAGCACCAAUGGAAAGCAGAAAAGUUCUUGAUACCAUAGUAAACACCAAUGGAAAGCUAAAAAGUUCUCGACGCCAUAGAAAUUAGGGAUUCGUUGGGCAAAAAAGUUCUUAACGCCAUACUCUAUAGACGCAAGGGAUCUAUAGAGCAGGGAUCCAGGUUUGGGCAUCUAGCUAAGUAGAACAGGUAAAGGAAAGCUACAUCACAGAUGUAGCAAGUAGUUCCAAUGUCCUUGCCAAUUGUAUAGGCUUUCUUGCUUCCAACAUGGUCUCGAAAGUGCAGAUUAGAGAAGGAUAUCAAAGCCGGCCAGCUGCGAAUCCUGUGGGGUGAAAACCAUACGUUUGAAAAAAUAAACAAAACAGAGCUGCCUGAUCCUCAAUUUAAGCAUUAUACUAGAGAAGGACAAUACAAGCAUUCUCAAUGUUUGAGAAAAUAAACUUUACAUGCAGAAAGCAAAUAAAUGCUUGAAAUUACACAAUGGAUGGAUGUUGAAAAGAAUCACUAAAGAAUAUGUCUAGAAGAUCGAUCUGUUAAGCAUGGGAAGUUCAAAGAGUAGCAUUUUUUUUGAGUCUCAGAAAAAUGAAGAGUCCAACAAUUUAGGGAAUUCAAACUCUAUUUGUGAAUAAACUGCUUGUAUUUUUCCUUUUUCUAGUGUAAGAUUUAAGGAAAAGUUAAAAUCACUUGACCCCUGAUCAGUUCUUUACCAAUUCAUUGAUUUUGACUUCAAUCAUGAACAAAUAAUUCAGAUUAAGACUGAAUAGUUAAUAAAUUGAAAAAAAAUCCAGUCCUUCUUACUUUUCGUGCCUUUGGCCCAGUGUUGCAAAAGGCCUUGCCUGAGGUAAGGCAUUUGUCACUAAUCCAGCAGCACCAAAGCCUUGGAGCAUGGGUUAUAAUUCUCAUGAAUUUUAAAAUUUUUGAAUAUUUUAAAAAUAUUGUAAUAUUUAUGAAAAAUAUUAUUAAAAAACAUAUAACUAUAAUAAAAUAUGUAAAAUUUAAAAAUUAUAGAAAAAUAUAUUAUCAUGAUAUGCGGUAGUAAUGACAGUAUAGAAAAAAAAAAUAUGGCAAAAAUUCAACGAAUACUAGUUGUGGGCAUCUGAAAAUGGUUAUAGAUGACAAGGGACGAUGAUUUUACUUGGAAACUUGGGUUUUUACAUUCUUGUGGUAUGUAUUACUAUACAAAAAUGGUAAAAUUAAAACAUAACCAAGUUUUGGGGUUAAAUAAGAAAUUUGAGAUAACAGGUUAGCUAAAUUUUUAAAGUGAGCCAAAGCACAAGGACUUAAUACUACAUGUUUUACUAGAAUGGGACCCACAUCUCUAAAUUCAGGCCUGUCAAGUUCAUCGAGGUGCUUCGUUCGCAAACCCAUUUGUCAGCCCAAAUCAUCAAACGCUUCCUUCCUCCCCUUUUUAUUUACUAUAAUAAACCCGAUACGACUUCCUGAUUAUUCCAGGAUCCAACAAUUAAAACUUUACAUACAAAUAAAUGGUCAAAUUCACUUAAAAAUUGUGGGGUCAUCUUCCACAUUAAACUUUUGUACCAUCCAAGUUUGUUUUAAUUCCUUUGGGAAAAUCAAACAUCGAAUGCAUUCCCCAAAAAAAAAACAAAAAAAGGGAAAAGGAAAUGGCUUACCUUUGCCCUUACGUAUCCAAUCCCAAUUUGAACAUUACAUCAUCCAUCCAAUUGAAACAAACUCCUAUGGAGAUUUUUUUUUUUUUGCUUUAUUUUGUUGUUAGAUCUGAAUUUUUUUUUUCCCAUGAGCGCUAGUGCUCUGUGGGUCUCUCCUUGCCCGUGCAAGGCCCCUCCUUCCCUAGAUGCCUAGUGGAAGUUUUUGUCCUCUUCCCCCUCCUGCUGCUCUGUUUUUUCCCCGCUAUCUCUAUCUAUUCGUUUGCUCUGGAAUCUUACUUCGUCGGCAUUAUUUUCAAUUCCUUUCCUCUACAACUUUCUGGGCUUCCCCUCCCUCGUCCCUUUUAACCUUGGCUCUCUUUGUAUUUUGCAGGCACGCAGUUUAAAUCACUCAACCUUGGCUACCCUGUCCGCCUCUGCGGGCUGAAUCAAUUCUCACGAGGCCAUGGCUGAGGAGUUAGAAAGGCUGUGCCAAAAUCUUGCGCUAAGGGAUGAUGAGGAGGAGGUGCUGUUAUUGCCCGAUGACAAUGACGGUGGCUCCAAUUUUGACGGCGAUUUGUGCAUUCUCGGAAAGCUGUUCAGUCGGAAGUCCUUCAACGCAGAGGCUAUGAUGGCUACCAUGAAGAAAUCUUGGAACCCGGCUAAAGGCCUCGAGUACUCGGCAGUUGGGGAUAACCUUUUCCUCUUCAAAUUUAACGACAUUGUAGACAAAAGGAAGGUUAUGGCAGGAUGCCCUUGGGCUUUUGAUGGAAGUUUGCUGGUUGUCAGUGACUAUGUUGGUAACAUUCAGCCGUCCAAGGUAAAAUUGGAUCACUGCUCUUUCUGGGUUCGAGUAUACAACCUCCCAUUGGGAUGGAUGAACGGAAGAACGGCGGACUUUAUAGGGAGCAAACUUGGCACGUACGAGGGAUUUGAUGCAAAGGGUGGUCUCUCUGUGGGUAAGUUUUUGCGCAUUCGGGUUAAGCUAAAUCUCAAUAACCCUCUCAAACGACUGAUGAAGCUUCUAAUCGAGGGUGCGGUUUGUGAGGUUCACUGUCGUUAUGAGCGCCUUCCUAUGCAUUGCUAUUUUUGUGGUCGAAUUGGACAUGGAGAAAGGGAUUGCGACGACAAACUAGAUGUUACUGUGGUAAACAACGGCGAACCUCAAUAUGGUGGGUGGCUUAGGGCCACCAACGACAAAAAAUUCGCCGGCCCGCAACUUUCGUCUCGGACGGCAACACCACCGACGAAAGGGGGCCAGUCCCUCCCUGCUGCCGAUAAGGUCGCGUCACCUAAGGAGGUUGUUAGUUUUGAACAUCCGAAUUACCAGGCCUCAGAAUCUCCAAGUUUGGUUGGCAGGCCUGAUCCUACCCAAAGACCAGACGUCCGAGUUCCUAGCACCUUGGUAGCACCCCAGCGCAGACCUUUCUCUCUGGAUAACGGCCAACCAAUCCUUUCAACGGCAUUGGUCACUGAUAGUUCUCCAACAGCGCAGGCAACUUCCACUUCCUUACCCUUAACCACACAUUCCCCCCACUCAAUUGUUCAUGAUGGGCCCUCAAGCUCGGCCAAUUCCAAAGCAAAUGCUCUUGGCUCGAAGCCCAAUGAACACCCCAAAAUCCCAGUCCCUAGCAAACCAAGUCCGCCCAAUACCAUCACCAGCCCCAAAUUCUCUCUAAUCAACCCCGCCACAUCUCAGCAAGAACGUUCUCCUACUUCACAACCUUCUGUCAUGCCCCCCAUACCUUCACAGCCUUUUCACCAAGCUAUUCAAAUAGCCACCCAUGCUUCAUUGGAAAAUGUACACCCCAACCUUGGCCCCCUUUUUCGCCCCUGCGAUGGCAAGCCCAAACCCAGUCAUACAACCACUAACCCCAGCAUACCAUCCAUGCAAUUGUCUAUCACAACAUCUACAGAGCCAACCAUGGAGGAUGUGUUUCUAGUUGAUGCCACCUUAACGCAGCAAAAGAAAUUUUCCGACAUCCACGACAUGCGAACUAUCGCUUCCUCCAAAAAAAUGAAAGGAUGCAAUAUCUCCCGCAGGAAAUCAACACCUUCAAAAUUGGCCCUACAUCCUACUAAUGUUAUAUCGGGUCACAAGACAAAAAGAGAGGCCACGGAUGCUUCUUCUGCAGGGGAGGGAGAUGCUAGUGGUUCGGCCCCAAAGAAACCGAAACAUGCUACGCUGCCCGCACCUCCUCAAACAACCUCUAUAGCGGCGGAGACUGCCUUGCAGUCCCGCCGAGAACCAUGAAUUGCUUGAGCUGGAAUUGUCGGGGGUUAAAGGGUUAAACAACCCUCGGACAGUUCGGGAGCUCCGAAACAUCAUCCGGAGAGAUAAAGUUUCAAUUAUUUUUUUAGUAGAGACGAAGUGUUCGGAUAAAGUAAUCGACAAGCUAAAGCAGGAUAUCAGAUGGUUUGGUUUAGGGGUUGACUCACGAGGGAACUCGGGUGGCUUAGCUCUCCUUUGGAGGAAGGAUCUGGGUGUUGAACUUAUGCGUUUCUCGGAUUGUUUUGUUGAUGUUAAGGUGCAUAUGACUGAUUCCUCCUGGCGUUUGACUGGUUUCUAUGGUCAUCCAGAGGCGGCUAAAAGAAAAUAUACUUGGGAUAUUAUGCGCAAGCUCAGUACAUUAUGCUGCCUACCAUAGGUCUGCAUGGGUGACUUCAACGAGGUACUCACUCAAGAGGAAUUUCAGGGCGCGACAUGGAGACCGAAUUGGCAAAUUAUGAACUUUCGGAAGGCACUUUCGGACUGUAAUUUGUUUGACUUAGGCCAUGAAGGUAAUCACUUCACUUGGUGUCGGAAUAGGUCGGCUCCUGACACAACUAGAGCUCGUCUGGACCGCGCAUGCGUCUCCCAUGACUUUCUCACCUUGUUUCCUGAUGCCAGGAUCUAUCACUCACAUGCUCUUUUUUCCGAUCAUGUUCCUAUUGUCUUAAGAUUAUCGUGCUCGCAUGAUCUCUUAAAAGCUCGCAGCAAAUCUAGGAGGGACAAAUGCUUCAUGUUUGAAGCAAUGUGGAUCAAAUCAGAAGACUGCGAACGCAUUAUCCAAGAUUCUUGGGAGUAUAGCUCGACAGAAGAUGCUUGUGCCAACCUGGUUAUGAAGACUAAUAGUUGUAGGUUAGGCCUUCUCCAAUGGAGCAAACAGUCCUUCGGCAACCAUACUAAGGCUGCGGAUGAUCUUUGGCAAAGGAUUUCUCGCCUCCAACAAGGCGUUUUGACGGACUCUAUCAAAGCUGAGAUUAGUUCUUUAACUACCCAGCUAGAGGAGCUUCUGGACAAGCAAGACAUCAUGUGGAAACAGCGAAGCAAAGCACAGUGGUAUAGAGAGGGUGAUCGAAACACAGCUUACUUCCAUGGCCUGGCUUCCCAGAGACGGAAGCAUAACCAGAUUGUUGGCCUUUUCGAUAACAAUGGUUCUUGGUGUCAGUCACAGGAGGGUCUAGAAUCUAUUAUCAUGGAACAUUUUGGCACAAUCUUUUCUACUUCACAGUCUACUUCUCUGGCAAUUGAUGCAGUCAUCCAGCGAGUGCGGGGAUGCGUUUCCAAGGAAAUGAAUUAUUGUCUCCUGCGUACCUACACUACCAUUGAGGUAACAAAGGCUUUAAGUCAAAUGCAUCCAUUUAAAUCUCCCGGGCCGGAUGGCAUGUCACCAGUCUUCUACCAAAGAUAUUGGCAUAUUGUUGGUCGAGAUGUCACUCGUUGGGUUCUUACUGUCCUAAACGAGGGCACCUUACCUACGAGUCUUAAUCACACCUAUGUUGUCCUUAUCCCUAAGUGUCACAGUCCAUCCAGUAUCACCCAAUUUCGUCCCAUUAGUCUUUGCAACGUAGUUUAUAAGCUAGCCUCUAAGGUCUUAGCUAAUAGGCUUAGGAACUGUCUUCCCAAAGUCAUCUCACCAUGUCAAUCAGCGUUCAUCCCUGGGCGCUGUAUCACUGAUAAUAUCCUAAUUGCUUAUGAAGUCAAUCAUUCCCUUAAGCUGAAAUCCUAUGGGCAGGAGGGAUUGAUGUCCAUUAAGUUGGACAUGAGCAAAGCAUUUGAUAAGGUCGAGUGGCUUUUUCUUCGACAUAUGAUGAUAGCUUUAGGUUUCCAUUCCGCUUUUGUGGACAUUGUUUUUCGCUGCAUUUCUACUGUGUCUUACACUUUCCUACUUAAUGGGUCCCAACUUGGGAACCUACAACCCCACCGUGGUAUCAGACAGGGGGAUCCAUUAUCACCCUACUUGUUCUUGAUCUGUGCCGAAGGCUUUUCUUGUUUAUUGCAGGAAGCUGAACGUUGCGGAAGCAUCUCAGGUUUUCGGAUCGGCUCACGCGGACCCAAACUAUCUCACCUAUUAUUUGCCGAUGACACCUUAUUAUUCGGCAAGGCUGUGAGAACCCUGAAAAUGUAUAUACAAAUAUCAUUUCAUAUUUCAUUUGCAAUUUUAGCACCUCCACAUAAAAUAUUAAAGCAUUUAGUUUUAUUAUGUUAAAUUAAUAUCACCUGAGUAGAUUAAUUUUACUACCUUAAUAUAAAUUACUUGAAGUCCAAUAAUUCAUUCUAAUUAGUGAAUAGCGUUAAAUACUACCAAAAAUUCUCACGAUAGGAAGAAGCCGAUAAAUUUUAGAUAAAAACAAUACACAUAUACUAAAUAUGUGUAGGACGUAAAAAUUUCGAUAAAUGAAAUCUUGUGAGAUUGGUGUAUCAUUAGGAGUUUAAUUUACAUUCGGAAUAAAUUUUUGGUGUUAAGUUAAAAUCAAGGACUCAAGUAAGGAUUAGUAGGGCAAUGUGAAAUGUCUAAACCAACCUUCACAAUAUCACAAAAUCACCAUGCAAUUCCAAAACAUUUCCGGACAGCAUUAUGAUCAACCUCACCAUUCGACCAAUGCUCACCUUCACCACCUACACACUCAACCUCUUCCUACACUCCAACACCCUCCAAAACCGCGGGUCAUCUCCCCAUUUUUCCCCCUCAACCCCGCAACAUCACCUCCCUUAACUCUGCAACAUCUCACCUCAAACACAACUACACCUGAUAACCGAGAGCAAGGAGAGAAACAGUGAGCUGCGAUAGUUUGCUGUUCCUGUCCGAGAAGGAGAAGCGAGAGGGAGAUAGAAGGAGAGAACCGUGUGUGAGCUUCCGUCUGCAUUUUUUUAACUCCAAACAACUGCACUUCAGCACUCCUCACUGCAACACCAUUCCAGUCGCAACCACUGCAACCAAAACCUGUGCGAGCUGAGAGCCGAGAGGGAGAACAGGAAAUUUUUCAGAUUUCUUGUGAGUGAGCUGCAAUUUGAGGUAACCUCUGAGCUAGAUUAAACUAAUUAGAGGUUGUUUGAGUUAAUUAGGAGCAUGCAUAUAGAGUUAAUCGAUCGGAUGAUGUACUGGAAAAGAAAAGAAAAAUUUACUGCGCGAAGGGAUAAAUUUUGGCCAUGAGCUGAAAUCGGAAAUGCAGCUCCGAAAUUGUUCACUCUUAGCAAUCUGAACACCUAAAUGUAAUUAGCCGAGUGAAAACUUGAUGAUUAAGAUCAUGCAUGUUGAUUUGUGCGUUUGGAUGAUUAAAUUAGAAGCAUAAGAAACCUUGAUUUGGAAAGAAAUGGACUGCCGAGUAGCUGAAAUGAAAAGGCAGCACUAAUCUGUUUAUCUGGUAACAAUUUGAACUGAUGAAUGUGAUUACCUCACUAAUAAGAAGGUAAUUAAGUCUUGCAUGAGGCCAAGUAACUCGGCUAACCAAGAAAAUAAAAUGAAAACAGAAAAAUUGUUUCAUGCAUGACCAUCCGAGACUAGUUGAUAUAAUUUCUAGAUUUUAGCGAUGUUUGUAGUAUUAAAUGAACCCGAUGUUGAACUAGAAAUGUUAAUCAAGUGGUUAAGCAGUUGCAUGCUGAAUUUGAGUCCCUAAAAUACUGAUUUAACCAAGGGAAAAGCUGGAUUAAGAACAUACAAUUGCUGGAAAAUUUUUGUGAACUGCGGUGAGUUUGAACCUGGAAAUUUUGAGGAUUAUAACAGCUGUUUAAAUUUAAUUUCGAGCUGGAAAUGUUAACGGUCUAGCCAAGUAAUUGCAUGAUGAAGCUGAGAGUUUAAUAGCAUGUCUUAGCCAAGGAAAUAUUGAAUUCAUGAACAACGAAGUACUGGAAAUUUAAAUGACCGAGAGGUUGAGCUGAAAAUUUUAAUUGGUUUUUGGAAUUUUUCCUUGGAAGAAAAUGGUUCAGAAAUGUAUGAAAAAUGUGUACUUAAGCCAUGUAGGUGGUUUAGCUAUGAAACAUUUGUUAUAUUGGAAGUUUGGACCAAAAGGUUGGAAUGUAAAUGCUGAACAUUUUUGUUAGUAGCCGAGAGACUUGGAUUGGAAAUGUUAACUUGUUUCUGGAAUUUUUCUUAGAGUACAAUGGUUUCGAAAUGUAUGAAAAAUAUGUAUUUUAAGCUGUGUAAGUUGUUUAGCUAUGAAACCUUUGAUAUUUUGGAAGAUUUGAUAAAAAAUGUUGAAGGGUAGACCUGGAAAAUUUUCAAGUGAGUUGAUAGAGGAAGUAAAGGAAUUUUUCAGAUUUCUUUUGGCGAAUUUUAGUUCUAAAAAUGCUGUUUUGAGCUGUAAAAUAUUUCAUGCUUAUUGACCUCACUCUAGAGUAUAUUAAGAGGGCCGUGCAUGUGAAUUUUUGGGGUGACCAUUUGAUUUUUAUCAUGGCUACAAGAAUGAGAUUUUGGUUGAAAUCUUGGACAAAAUAGGGUUGCAAAAUCUUGCCUUACGUUCAUACACCUGUUAGUGAUUCCAAACGUUCGAAAUUUUGGCUUUGUUGCAAUAAGAAAUAAUUGUUGGGUGCUAAGGGCUAAUGAUUGAUGAAACCCUUGGCCAUUUGAAUGAUUUUAUAUAAGUGUUAAAGUUUGAAGAAAUUAAAUUGCUGGAAUUGCUUGGAGGCCUUAUGUUUAUUUUGAUUAAGUUGAGAUAGGAUAUGAGCUUGCCAAAACCAAGAGCUAAUGAUUGACGAAACCUUGGUCACUUGUUUCAUUUUUCUAUCAGAAAUGAACCUGUUGAAAACUAGGGCGAAUGAUUGACAAAGCCCUAGUGAUUUGCUAAAUGAAAUGUGAUUUGGCCAUGUUGACAAAUUUGAGCCGUAAUGUGAUUUCGAAAUGAAAUCGAAAUUGUGAAAGUCGUUUCGACCCUGUGAACUCGAGCAAUUCUGAGCAAACGAAUCAAAAAUAUUUUUCGCUAGUAUUAGACGAUGAAAUUCAGUAUUUAGUAUUUUGCCCUAAAUUUUGCUAACUCGACAAUUUUUUUGUAGCUUGAACUAGCCUUAAUAGUUAUAGAAAAUAAUUUUUAUAGCUUUUAAAACCCUAAGUCUUGUUCUAAUUCCUUUUCUUUCUUUAAGAUUUGCCUUUGGCUAGUUGUCUAUAGGAAAAGUUCCAAAAUAAGAAUUUUAAUAACCUUAAGUUAAAAACUUAGAAACUUGCUCGGCAAGAAACUUUAGUUUUGGUAAAAUAGUUUUAGUGACAAUUUUUGCAAGAACCGUAACUUUAAAGAAAUUUUUCAAAGUAUCUUUCCAGCUUUGAUAUUAAGUGGUUUAUCGACUUAUUUCAAGAAAAUAAUACUAGUUACCUUUUUUAUAAGGAAAAGUAUCUCAAGGAAAAACUAUAAAAAACAUUUUUACUACUUUUGUCAAGUUUCAACCCAAGUGGAUUUUUAAAAUUUCUCUGAGAAGGUAAACUAGUAAUAUAUUAGAUAAUCCUCUAUAUGUAUAAGCUUAAAAACUGAAUAGAAGACUUAUAGUUUUAAAACUUGGUUUUCUAGGGUACAGCGAGGACGUGGAACUUUAAUUUCCCAGCUUGAUCAGUAACUUCACUCUCGGUGAGUGUCCCUGCUUGUUCCAUGUCUACGUGAUUAAAGUGCUUUGUUGACUUGAUAUAUGAUAAUUGUGAAAUGGUUUUGAUCCAUCGAAGUGAGCAGUGUGUACUUUAUCACACUAGCCUUUCGAGUGGUGACUUGCGUGAAAUAUUUUAGUGAAUCCAAGUGUUGUGACGUCGCUGGGUGAAUCCCUCGACCAAUUUCUGAGGGUAUACGCAAGUAUACUGCUCCCAAUUUCUGAAGGUAUACGCAUGUAUACUGCUCCCAAUUCCUGAGGGUAUAUCUCGAGUAUACUGCUUCCUUAGUUGGUGUUCGGGCCCGGGACAGGGGUAUGAAUGGUGACGGGUUAGGAAACAAAAUGAGAUACUCUACAUGGAUCAUAAGUAGUGAGAGUUGACGGAGGGUCAACUACGAUGGUGUUUGGUCAAGCGAGGAAUCGGCUCCUGAGAGCCCCUGUAUCCUACCUUGUACUGUUAUACGCUUUUCUAAUUGUUGAAUUUAAUACUUGUUACUUGCCUUAUGUGAUUGCAUGUUUUGGGGCACCACUGAGUUUUAGCUCACCCCACAUUUAUUUGUUUUCCUUGACAGGUUUUGACGUUUGAGAAAUUUGAGCCUACUUAUAUUUGCUUAUGAAUGUAUUUGAACCUUGUGACUUGGAUUUGCAGUUCGUAAUGUAAUUCGAAUAAAACAAUGUACUUUUGUCUUGGGUUGCCACUUGAAGCUGGAAAAGUGUAAAACCCAGAUUGGUUAUGUGGCUUGUGUAAAUUUGUUACUUAGCUUGUAAUUCUGAUAUUUGGCUUGUAUGAAUUUGUGAGAUGGGAUUGUUUGACUUUAUUCCGUGGUUUGUAACGCGUAAGGUAUUUAAGAGUCGACAAUUGGUUUUUUUUAAAGAUGCUGUUAUCUCUGAAGUUAAUGGGGUUUUAGUCAUCAGCCUAUUUGGAAGGAAACAGUGUUGUAAUAGUUUAGGUUAUUCUUCGGAAUGAUUUGGAUAGAUUGCUUGCGUGAGUCCUGGCGAGAGUUAGGCAGACGGCCCGCCAACCCUUUGGUUCGCCUUAGGGGAAAGUGGGGUCGCCACAAAGGCAUCGCUGCAGGAAGCUCAGCACAUAAAGACAGUCCUUGACCUUUACAAAGCAGCUUCAGGUCAGGAGGUUAACUUUGAUAAAUCAGCAGUGGUCUUCAGCAAAAACACAGACCCCACAGUUCGUCGAAGUAUCACACAGCUUCUUAACAUCAAGGAAGUUCCCACUCACGACAAAUAUCUUGCCUUCCUACUGUUGUUGGUUGUUCCAAGUCUGAAGUUUUUUCAUCUGUAAAGGAGAGAAUCUGGCAGAGGAUACAUGGAUGGAAUGAACAGCGCCUCUCAACGGCAGGUAAGGAAAUCAUGAUCAAGGCUGUUGUCCAGGCCAUUCCAACAUACUCAAUGUCCUGUUUCAAGUACCCGGACUCCUUGCUUUCCGAUAUUCAAUCUAUGAUUAGUAACUUUUGGUGGGGUGAUGGCACAAAACAGAGACCAAUCCACUGGGUGAGUUGGAAUAGAAUGUGCUCGUCCAAAAAUGAUGGGGGCAUGGGCUUUAGACAACUUAAGGCUUUCAAUUUAGCUUUAUUGGCUAAACAGGCAUGGCGCAUUGCAACUCAGCCAUCUACUCUGCUUCAUCAGGUUUUUAAGGCUAAAUAUUUUCCAACGAAGGACUUUUUUCAUGACGAGCCUACUUCCAGGCCUUCUUUUACUUGGAGGGGAUUGUGCGUUGUUCGAAGAUAUUUACUCUCUGGUAGCAGAUGGCGAGUUGGAAAUGGGAACCAUGUCAGAAUCUGGAAGGAUAGGUGGAUUCCACGCCCUUCUACUUUCAAAAUUAUAUCCCGUUAUGAUGUGCUGCUGGAUGAUUCCACUGUGGAUUGUUUAAUUGACGGAAAUAGCAGGAAAUGGAAAGUUGAGUUGCUUCAGGAGCUUUUUUGGCAUGAUGAGAUUGAGUUGAUUAUGGGUAUUCCAUUGGGUGAUAGUCACAAUCACGAUAAGCUCAUCUGGCACUACUCUAAAAAUGGCUCAUUCACAGUGAAAAGUGCCUACCACCUUAUCAAAACACAAUCUACAGGCUGGCAAGAUGUAGCUUCAGGGAGUAAUGGUUCGGUGCAGGAUAUUUGGCCUCGCCUGUGGAAGCUCAACAUACCAAACAAAGUUAAGAUAUUCUUGUGGCGUAUCUGCAAGGGUAUUCUCCCUACAUCUUCCACGCUGAAUAGCCGUGGAGUCCACCUUGACCCUAUGUGUCUUUUAUGUAAGACCCCUGUUGAAGAUGUAACUCACCUCUUCUUGUGCUGUCCGGUAGCAGUUCAGGCUUGGGCCCUCAGCUUUCUUACACUAAAGAUAAGGUUAGACUCCGCCAAGCAGGUCUCUUCUUGGUUGCCUGGCCUUCUGAAUCUCUUGAAGAAGCAGGACAUGGAAUUGGUAGCCAUAAUUCUUUGGAAUCUAUGGCUUAACCGAAAUGGUGCUUUAUUCGAUGGUUCAUAUCGGGACCCGCUCAGUCUAGUCUCUCUCUCUAUCAAUUUCUUACAGAAGUACCGGGAAGCCAACACAUCUCCAAAUACUCCAAUCCGCACUUCCAUUGCUCCACUCCACUGGACAAAGCCCCCUGUGGGCUUCCUAAAGGCGAACUUCGAUGGCGCAGUUUUCUCCGAAUAUGGCUACUCUGGUGUUGGAGUUGUUGUGAGGGACGAGCGGGGCAAUUUUGUUACAGGAACUUCUCACAAAAUCUCUGGUAUCUUUUCCCCUGAGGUCAUCGAAGCCUAUGCUGCGAGAACUGCAAUUUCCUUGCUGCUUCAAUGGAAAGUGCCCAACAUUAUUUUGGAGGGAGACUCUUUGAAGAUCGUCAACAUGCUUAAGCUUAUGGAGUCUGAUGACUCCGCUUAUGGGGUGCUGUUAGAUGAUAUCUUUGUUAGGUUACAGAACUUCGCCGCUUGGGAGGCUAAUUGGGUCCCUAGGAAGGCCAAUGUGCCAGCACAUUUAUUAGCUAGAAAUGCUCGCUCUAUUUCAGAUAUCUGUAGUUGGAGUUAUUCUCCACCACCUUUUCUUCCCUCCGCAAUUUCGGCGGACCUAUCCUCACCUUAAUGAAAUUUUCUAGUUUGCUAUCAAAAAAGAUCUGAAAUUUUUUUCAAAAUUUGAAUCUAUUUUAACAUAUCUCAUUAUCAUUAUUGAAACUUAAAACCAUUUAUUGACAAAUCUGGCAAUUGCCAUAUGCACAAAAGGGAGACACUUUAAAAUUCUUUAUAUUUUAUUAGAUGUGUUUGUAAUUUUCAAAUCUAUUGUAUUAGUUAAAUUAUAAUCUGUAAUUUUUAAUGCAGGCUUGACCUGCCAUUAGGGGAGUUAUGUAAAUCAAAUCAUGUUGGACGAUUUUCAAAAAACAAAAAAAAAAACUUAACCGUCAAUUACUCUUCCCCGUUUUAUUUGUCCACUUUUCAAUUGUCAAUAACUCUUUUAAAAUAUUUUGCAAUACAAAAAUCAACUGAAACCAGUAGACAUUGUAAUUAAUAGCAGUAUUCAAUUCAUGUUUUUGUAUGUUACUCGUACAUCUAAUUAGUCCAAUUUGGAGGAAAAAAAAGAUGAAAACAAAAACAUAUAAUAGUCACAAAAAACACAGAUCUAGCUCAAAAUAUGGCAGUGACCAAUUGUUCUGCAAAAUUAGUGGGAUAAGCAGUUGACAGAUUCUAUAAUCCCUUUUGGUCAAAUAUUAUUUUUAAUAUUUAGGUCGUUACAAUUUCAAUCAUUUAAAUUACCCGUUACUAUCAUCAGUGGAAGAAGCACAUUGAAGGAAUGAUACUUUAAGAUGACUACAGAAUUUUUCUAGUUGGUCAUACAACAUAUUAAUAUUUGAAAAAAAAUUCUAAUCACACAAUUGUAUUUGAUCUCAACCAACCGCCACUACUUUAAAUUAAUUUGGAUCGUAAGUAAUGUCAUUACUUUAUGUGAAUAUCAAAUAUGAAAAGUGCAUUAUAUAUAUGAGGAAAGAAAAUAAAAUGUACUAGUUUUCAAUUUCUUUAUGUAGAAUAUUUUCUUGAAUAUUAAUUUUUGAUAUAUCUUAGUCAAGGUCAUUAAUCAACCCGGACCUAAUCAACUCCAAACCCAGGGCAAAUUUCUUUAAAAUAUUGCCAAAAAGAACUUCGAAAAAUAUUGUUGAAAAGUUGAGUAUUUUUCUAUCCAGGCUCGUUGUAUCUCUGACAUGCGGUGGACUAGUUCACUAGUUCCAUUUUCUUUGUAUAAAAGGAGUCUGUUUGCCAGACACAUGGUGAGCCACAUUUAAAAAUUGGUUUCUAUCAUAAAGCCUAUCAUGUCCGGACAGAAGAUGGACUGUUUUUUAAAUUUUUUUUUGAAAGCAAGUGAAAAGCGUUGCAACUCAGGAUUUGGAUAGUAAUUUUAAAAUUUAAUGGUGCACCUACCUUUUAACAUUUCGUGUGCUUUUAAGGUAUCAAAUGGGAAAAAAAACCAACACCAUAUAACUUCAAAUGCAAGAUGGUACGAAAUUUGUCAAUAUGUAGAUGUUAAUAUACAUUGACAUGUAAAAAGUGCACCAUUCAUCACAAAGAUAUUUAUCCUAAUAUUAGAUUCAUUUUUUCAAAAAUUCAACUUUUCAUGCAAACAUGUAAUCAAUAUGCAUAAAUAGAUAACAUUAGAUGAAUUUAAACAAGUAGCCUUAAAAUUUAAAAAUAUUUGAUUUCGUAAAUGUGCAUUCGCAAUUUAGAAAAAGUACUUUUCAAAUGGCAACUCUAGAGAACAAGAAAUACUCCUACUUUAUUUUGAUUUCAAAUCUUCUUUUGACUUGUCAAAAAAGUGAAAACACGAAACCAAUAAUGGGUCAGAUAGAGAGAAGUAUUAGAAAGAGAAAUUUGUCAAAUUGGUCCCUAAUAUUUACACAAAUCAGCCAGAAUAGUUAUUAACAUAUAAAUUAUGAUUCAUUUUGGUCCUAAUGCUCGUAUUUGCUCAUUUCUUUGACUAAAAAUAGCACGCCUCUCUCACGUGGGCAUAUUUUCAAGGGCAAAAUUGAAAAACACAAGCUUUUCUCCCCUUUUCAAGGAUAACAUUUUAGCAUAUUUUUCUUUCCAUGUUCUGAAAUUAGGGCUUUUCUCCCCUUUUGCUUCUGGUCAUGGACUCUUUGCUAUCGAGCUACAUCUCUUCCGAUGAAGAACAAGAAGAUAAACCACAGCUCUCAAAUCCCAGUUCCGCUGGAUUCCUCUUCUCACUGCCACCCCCAAAAUCUUCAUCAUCAUCUUCUUCCUCAUCCAUCUUCUUUCCAUUUCCCCCAACCCAAUCCCACCCCCCAAAGCCCCCCGUCUCAUCGUCUUCCUCAACCCUGAAUCCACAUAAAUCUAAUGAACUUCAAGAAGAGAGGGAUGGGCAGCAAUUGCUAAAAAAUCGGGAAAGUUCGAGAUUUUUUAUAUCGCUUCCAAAACCAUUGUCAUCUUUGUUCGCUUUGUUUCCUCAACCCAAAUCAUCUUCCACGUCAUCUCUUUUCUCUUCUCUUCCGCAGCCCACCAAAACCCACAAUCUUGAUGCCCGGGUUUCGCCUCCUGUGCAAUUUGCUAGAAAGAAGGUGGUGGUGAUUCCUUGGCAGUCGGAUCACACAACUUUAAUGGAAAGGUGAUGGAAUCAAGCUCGCCGGGUUUAUUGGUGGUGGUUCCUUGGGGGAUCAACAGCAGCAGCCACACCGCUAAAGGGAUCAAGCCUCAAAUUGACGCGGGUGCUUUUCAGUUUGGGGAGAAUAUACUGAAGUAGCAGCAGUAGAAGCUUCAAUUCCACGUUUACACUGAAAACAAUAGUGUUUUCUAGUUUUGUCCUUGAAAAUAUGCCCACAUGAGAGAGACGUGCUAUUUUUAGUCGGAGAAAUGAGCAAAUACGAGCAUUAGGAUAAAAAUGGAUCAGAAUUUAUAUGUUAAGAACUAUUUUGGCUGAUUUUAAAUGUUAGAGACUAAAAAAGUUUUUUGUGUAAAUGUUAGGGACUAAUUUGACAAAUUUUUCUAUUAGAAAUUUGUUUUCUAGAUUCUUUGGUUUCCCAAUUUUUUCAACGGGUCAACUCGACCAUUAUCACAUGCAUGUGAUUGUAGGUCUACCACGCUUCAUAGUCCAUAACGUGGCACCACAAAAGAUGGUGUCAAAACACUUUUCUAGUUUAGUAAGAUCUGUGUAUGUAUUAGUUCCUAACACAAGUCUCUUUAGAUUUUCUCUCCUUUGUAAUUUAGAAUAAAAUAGGUUAUACAAUUGUUAUCGUCUUCAGAAAAAAAAAGAAUAAGUCCCAUCCUAUUAUUAUUAUUUUUCUUUUAUCAAUCAACAACGCCUAUUCUACACCUAUUUGACUUCUAUUCUAGGGGAAAGGGAGGUCCAAUUGGAAAAUUAAUGGUGAUUGAACCACAAUUAGACCAAAAACUUUCUAGAUAAAAUUUGAUCUAAAAAAUAAAUAAUAAUAUAUUAACUUAUUAUUUAAUAUGAUAUAUAUUCAAAUAGAUUAAAUUUAAUAAUUUUAAAUUUUAAAUUUUACAUUUUAAAUUUUAAUUUUCAAACUUCAAUGUUGCCAUACUUACAACAACAACCUCUAGAUGGUCAACACUUAGAGUCGUAGCCCUUGCUUUUGGCAUUCCCCGGUCCAUAUGCUAUGUUGUUCUCAAUGAGGAAGCAAAUGUCCGCUAUUAAUUACACGAGCCAUCAGUCAAAUCAGUCAAAAGAUGUUAUUGAUUGAACCAAGUGGGCAAAUUGAAUGAACCACCAGCUCCACUAAGCCCUUAAGGCUGUGUUUUCAAACUCGGACCGGACCGGCCGAUCUGAUCGGUUGAACCGGGAACCGGUCGAGUGUCCGGUCCGAGUUGAUCAUCAAAACCGGGAGAUUCAAAACCCGGUCAAUUCCGGUCAAAACCCGGGUUUGACCGGUACAGAACCGGAAAAAUCGGUCCAACAGGAGAUUUUGUAAAAAAAGUUCAAACUUUUUUAAUAUUAUGUUUUGGCCCCCUAAAUUGUGAAAACUUAUUAAUAUAUCUCAAAUAUUUCAUACUUUAUAAAUAUUGUCCUAAAAUUUGAUGUUAUUUUUCAAUUAAAUCCAUAAUUUUAAUUCUAAACUUGUUAAUGUUUAUUAAAUAAUAUAAAUUGUUACUUGAUUGUUCUAUUUCAAGUAUAUAUGAAUAUACCUUUAUUAAUAUCAAUAUGUUAUUGGAUAUUUUAUAUACAAUAAUUUAAUUUUUAAAUAAUUUUUAUUUAUGACGUCAUCCGGUUCGACCCCUAUCGACCCCCGAUCUAACCCAUUGACCCCUGACCCCUGACCUCGGCCGAGUCGAUAUCCGGUCCGGUUCUGAAAACAUAGCCUUAAGGCUUUGGUAAACUUGUCUCCCAUCAAAAUAUCAUUCUUGUGGCUCUUCUUAAAAUUCAGAAGGGUGUAUUGUGCACCUGUCUGAUCCAGUGGUGAUUCUGUUCUCAUCGAUCUUUCGUAGGUUCAGUUGAGCCUUCCUGUAAUUAGAGUAGAUGUAGGAGUAGGGAUGACAAUUGAAAAAAAAAAAAAAGUGGGCAAAUUGAGUGAGGAUGAGUAAUUGACCUGUAAGUCUUGGCAGACUUGGAGGAAUCAAUCAACAUUCUCUGACUUGAAUGAGGUAAGCACAAAGGUGAGCAUUUUCCAUUUUUAUUUUGGUUUUCAUUUCUUGUAUACUCUAAAACUUUUUUCAUUCUACCCCACGCACAUAUAAUAUAUAAUGAAAUGUAAAUUUUUUUAUGAAAACAUAUAAAAUAUAUAAAAUGUAAAAUAAAUUUUUUAUAAAAACAUAUGUUUAUAUUUAUCUUUGUAUAAUGAAAAUAUAUAAUUCAUUCUACCAAUAUAUACGCAUAUAUAUAUAUAUAUAUAUAUAUAUAUGUAUAAUGAAAAAUUAAAUUUCUCCUUCAUCUUCAGGGCUGCACCUACAAACAACAAAACUCCGCUCCACUCAACUCUUUCCUUCGUGUUUUGUGUUUUUUUAUAAAAAACAUAUAUAUAUAUAUAUAUAUAUAUAUAUAUAUCUUUUAAAUUUCACUAAUUAUUUUAGCUCUUAAUGUUUUUUAUUUUUUUUACUAAUAUUACCUCAUGAGAGGUAAAAAGGGUAUAAAUGGAACAACAUUAUUAUCUCACUUUCCAAAAGACUUUUUUAAUGGUACUUUUUCUAACAUGGGUUGAAGCUAUUAUCAAAAUCUAGUUUAGGAAAAAUUAGUGCUAUUUUUCAAAUUUUAGGAAAGGUGAGUACAACUGUUAGAAAUCUCAGGGACGAUUUUUGCAAUUAUCCCUAAAAGCAUAGACCAAGACUACACUAAUCUCUAAAAAUUUGACACCUAUUUCUUAUAACUAUACUAGAUAAUUUCAUAAUUGUAUAGAAAAAUAAAUCAAAAUUUAUUAUACAAAGGUAUUUUUGGAUAUUUAUUUAAAAAUUUGAUCAAAUUAAUAUUAUUUUAAAGCUUUAUUACAAAAACUAUCAAAUCAAAGGAAGUAAGCGUAAUAUUUCAAACCUUACAGUAAAAUUGUUAGAAACCUCAUAGAGGUUCCUGAAAUUAUCCCUAAUAUUUUUUUUUGUACAAAAAACUCCAAAAAAUUGGCAGCUCAAACGGGGCCAACAAUCUACUAUGUUUGCCUGUUCUCCCGCCGGACCCACCAGCCGCCGGCGGCCAUGGGUCAUCUAUAAAAGCAUAGAUCAAGACUACACUAAUCCCUCAUCUGUCCAGUCCAUCCAUAAUUGCAGAAACUGGUAGGUUUUGUAUUUAACAAAAAUAUGAGACUUUGUAGAUUUUGAAGUUUAAGGAAUGGAUAUUUGAAGUUUAACGAUCGUUAUACAACUUUCAAAACAAAUAAAUUCAUUUUAUUUUUUUUUUGGAUAAUUUCAUAAAUCAAAUCGUGGUCACUUUCGCAAAAGUCAUAUUUUCCCAUAAAAGACCAGUUCUUUAUGACUUUCCUCCAUUAUAAGAACAGAGUACCCAUUUUUCCAUAAACAAAUUUAUUUAUCGAAUAAAAUAAAAAUAAAUCCGUUUUUCAAUAAAACACCAGUUCUUUAUGGUUUUCUUCCAUUAUAAGAAUAGAGUAACCAUUUUCCCAUAAACAAAUUUAUUUAUCGGAUAAAAUAAAAAUAAACCCGUUCUCCAAUAAAACAUGAGCUCUUUAUGACUUUAGAAUGAAGGGUUACUCCCUCUUGUUUGAUAUAUCUGAACCUCUUGUUUAAUUUAAAAAUCACCACCAUCAUUCUUGUUUGAUAUAUCUGAACCUUUCACAUUUUUACCAGUUUUUUUGCCCUUUUAUUUUUCUCUCUGUCAAUUUCCUAAAGAUUGAUGAAAUCUUUGCAGGUCCGAAUAAACCAAAGAACGAAAAUCCAAUCAAAAAGUUCGAAAUUUAAAGUUUAAAGGAAUGGCAACCUCAGAAGUCGUUCUCCGGUGCCUCCCUAGUCCCUCACGUCGCAGUAGUCACCAAGUCUUCAGCAGUCAACAUCCAAAGCUUAUAAAGUAGCACAAAUACUAUUGUAUAUAAGAACUUAAAUUUUGCAUCCGCGAGGGCGGCAGAAGUCAAUACUCCAGGAGGGACUAGGGGCAGAGGGCGGCCGCCGCCGAGGGAAGUGGGAGCUGGCUAUAGAAGGUCAUCGGGCGGUGGACUAUGAGGAGAGCAAAGGAAUAUCAAUUGAGAGUGCAGCGUGUGAUGGAGAGAAAGAGAGGGUAUGUCCGUCGUAAAUGUUGUCUGAGGGAAUAAGUUGAGGGUUUUGUCCAAAACUUCCCAAUUUGCUCGAGAAUGGGAUAAGUCAGAUUUUUUAGAAAUGAUUCCAAAAAUUACAUUCCAAUAGGCUUAAUCCAAGCAACAAAUAAGGGGUUUAUUCCAUUCUGUGAUUCCCAAACCCUUUAACCCAAUAGCCCCUUAAUAUUUUUUUACUAAUAUUACCUCAUGAGAGGUAAAAAUGAUAUAAAUGGAACAAAAUUAUUAUCUCACUUUCCAAAAGACUUUUUUAAUGGUAUUUUUUCUAACAUGGGUUGAAGUUACUAUCAAAAUCUAGUUUAGGAAAAGUUAGUGCUAUUUUUCAAAUUUUAGGAGAGGUGAGUACAACGGUUAGAAAUCUCAGGGACGAUAUUUGCAAUUAUCCCUAAAAGCAUAGACCAAGACGACACUAAUCCCUAAAAAUUUGACACCUAUUUCUUAUAACUAUACUAGAAAAUUUCAUAAUUGUAUAGAAAAAUAAAUCAAAAUUCAUUAUCCAAAGAUAUUUUUAGAUAUUUAUUUAAAAUUGAUCAAAUUAAUUAUUUUAAAUUUUUAUUACAAAAUCUAUCAAAUCAAAGGAGGUAGGCGUAAUAUUUCAAACCUUACAAUAAAAUUGUUAGAAACCUCAGAGAGGUUCCUGAAAUUAUCCCUAAUUUUUUUUUGGUACAAAACCCUCCAAAAAAGUGGCAGUUCAAACGGGGCCAACAUUCUCCUAUCUUCACAAGUCCUCCCGCUGACCCACCAGCCGCCGGCGGCCCUGGGUCAUCUAUAAAAGCAUAGACCACGACUACAGAAAUCGUCCAGUCCAUCCAUACUUCUUCUUCAGGCCUCAGCUACUAAACAAUAAACUCUGCUCCACUCAACUUGUGCUCAAAAUAUGACAGUGACCAAUUGUUCUACAAAAUUAGUAGGAUAAGCAGUUGACAGAUUCUAUAAUCCCUUUUGGUCAAAUAUUAUUUAAAUUCAUACUUUAAUCUUAAAUUUAUAGUUGGAUGGUCCAGGAUGUGGUAAAAUUUUUCAUUCAAACUAACGAUAGUGCGAAAAAAAAGACUAAUUAAUAAAAAUACGAUCUCGAAAAAUUUUUAAUUCACAUUCACAAUAUGUGAAUUCAUGAUAAAUACAAAAAAGUAUGGUACUUUGAUAAUACAAUGAAGGAAAGCCAUAAAGAGCAUGCCAUUUACGAGAAAAGUUUUCAUUAAUAAAAAUACCAACUCUUCACGGCUUUUUUAACGGUCCUUCAACGUAUGAGCAAAGUGCCAAUAAUUAAAUUAGUAAUUUUUUCGAUUUAUACAUAAUUAAUUUUUUUUUGCAUUUCCACAAAAAACAAAUGAAAAUUUUUUAUCAGAAAGCACAAAAGUCAAAAUGAUUGGUUUAAAAGGGAAAGGAAUAGCAUAUAUGUACAGUACUUGUAUUUCACGUUCGAAAUACUACAGUGCUGUUUGAAAAACACCCCCAACAAUAUCUAAUCCAAACGGAACCAAUCUUCAGUAUUUAAAAUACCAAAUUUGUGAAUGUGUUUUAACUGUUAUUCAUUGGUAUCCUAAAAUGUCAUUUUCCCAUCAAAUACCAGCUCUUUAACACCCAUUUUCCCAUAAAUAAAUUUAUUUAUCGGAUAAAAUAAAAAUAAAUAGCUAUUUCCAAUAAAUAGCUGGUGUUUUAUUGGAAAACCUGUUUUCCAAUAAAUAGCUAUUUCCAAUAAAUGGUUGGUGUUUUAUUGGAAAACGGAUUUAUUUUUAUUUUAUCCGAUAAAUAAAUUUGUUUAUAGAAAAAUAUGUCCUCUGUUAUAAUGGGAAACAAAGUACCUAUUUUAAACAUUUCCCAUUGAAUUUGUUUUGGAUAUUUAUUUAAAAAUUUGAUCAAAUUAAUAUUAUUUUAAAACUUUAUUACAAAAACUAUCAAAUCAAAGGAAGCAAGCGUACAGUAAAAUUGUUAGAAACCUCAUAGAGGUUCCUGAAAUUAUCCCUAACUUUUUUUUUGUACUAUAAAAGCUCCAAAAAAGUGGCAGCUCAAACGGGACCAACAAUCUACUAUGUUCGCCUGUUCUCCCGCCGGACCCACCAGCCGCCGGCGGCCAUGGGUCAUCUAUAAAAGCAUAGAUCAAGACUACACUAAUCCCUCAUCAGUCCAGUCCAUCCAUAAUUCUCCUAUCUUCACAAGUCCUCCCGAUGACCCACCAGCCGGCGGCGGCCCUGGGUUAUCUAUAAAAGCAUAGACCAAGACUACAGAAAUCGCUCAGUCCAGUCCAUCCAUACUUCCUCUUCAGGCCUCAGCUACUAAACAAUCAACUCUGCUCCACUCAACUCUUUCCUCUGUGUCUUGUGCUCUUGUCCGAAAAUGGCGGCGUCAGAAGAAGUGAAAGUGCCAAGAAUCAAGCUGGGCUCGCAAGGUCUUGAAGUUUCAGCUCAAGGGCUGGGCUGCAUGGGCAUGUCAGAAGCCUACGGGCCGCCGAAGCCCGAGCCUGAUAUGAUCAAACUCAUCCACCAUGCUAUUUGCAGAGGUAUCACCCAUCUUGACACCGCCGAUAUGUAUGGACCUCACACCAACGAAAUACUCAUUGGCAAGGUACCGUAUUUACAAAUUUUCUGCUGUUGUGUGCUGUGCAUAAAAUCUUGUACUUUUAAUUUCUAAAAGAGCAUAUUUGUAAUAUUUUAUUUGGGUAUAUUAUACUUGACCCCCUGCACUUCAAAACUUGUCUCCCUUUGUGCCCCCUUAAUUUUGUUUGUGAGCACUUGAACUCCAUUUGUUUAAAUUGUAAGUAUUAUUAGUCAAAUAGGACAUUGUUCUUCUUUUCUUUUGCUUCAUUUUUUCAUGUUACUGCCUUUUCAGUUUGUCCUCCUUUAUAGACAUGGGAUGAAUUACUUUGAUUUUGAUUUUGGCGCAAUUUUGUAUAAAAUGAUUUUUGCUAUGAAGUUAUUGAUUUAUUAUGAGCUAUGCGUUGUAUAUUUACACAAAUUCUGCUAGCUAAACAUUUACUUGAGCAAGCCUUCCAUACAUGAGCAAUAUAAUACUCUAUGGGUGCAUUUCGUAAAAUUGAAGUUUGAAAAUUAAAAUCUAAUUUAAAGUCUAAAUUCAUAAAGUUAUUAAAUUGUUAAGUACUAAAUUUGAUAUGUUUGAGUGCAUGUCACAUCAAACGAUCAGUGAAUAAUUGAUCAUUUAUUUUUUAGAGCAAGUUUUGUUUAAGAAAUUCAAUGCUAUUUAAUUAAUUCAGAUAUUCAUUUUUUGGUUAUCAAACAUGUUUGAAUAUGAUAAGAUUUGAACCUAUUAAUUUUAAGUGUUGAAUUGGAUUAUCAAAUAGGACCUAUAAUUAUUAGGUAACCAAGCAGACAACAUGUUUAGUGUAUAAUAGUAAUUAACGUUCAAUUUGUCUCGUUAUUCUUUGGUAAAGAACUCUUUGAAUAUUAAUAAUAAUUUUCUCAUCCACGGGAAUCAAAAUAAUUGAAGUUUUAUCUCUACCAUUGAGAUAUGUUACCUUCUAAAAGAAAGGAAAGGGAAGGAAACAUGGGGGAAAAAUAGGGAAAGGGCAAAGUGAUGAUAAAUAAAAUUGGAAGUAGCAAAAUGAGACAAGUGAAUUAUUGCAAGGGGUUAAGUGUAAAUUAUGUUUAUUUUAUUAGACUAUUUAACCAGAAAGACUGGACUCUUUUAAGGCACCAAUCAAAGGUUCCAAUUGCUGGAAAUAACAUGAAAACCUAGACUUUGGUUUGGCGUUUUUGGAGGUGGUUCAUGAAAAUUUUAUUGUAGUUUUUUUUUUCUUCUUGAAAAAUAUAUUUGUAAGAGAAAAAAAGUGGUUGAAAAAAAAUUGAGAGUUUUUUUUAAUAAAUUGUUUUCUAAAUAGUUCAGUCACCCAAAAUUUUCAGUAUUCCGACAAUGGCAUCCAUGUGGUGUCAAUUGUCAAACGUGCAACAAAGUUGAGAAGAGAAGGUCGCAGGUCUAGCGCAUACUUUGAAUAGCUACCAUCUCUUUAUUUUCUUUUUUUUUUUCCGUCAAAAUUCUACAUCAUAAUGGAGUUGGUAAAAUAGUACUAUUUUCGUCUUUGAUGUUAAAAUUUUCAUCAUUUUAUGGAAAGUUUACUAUUUCUCUGAUAAGAGAUAGUAAAAUUUACUUUUUAUGAGCAGUAAAGUUUUAAAGAUUAUGAAAAGAGAAAUGUAUGAAGGAAUAGAAGGGAAAGAAAGGUAAGAAAAUGGAUGGAUUGUAUUUGGAUUGAUUUUGAGAGGGGAAAGGAGAGGAAACGGAAAGAAAAGGAAAUGGAUGUAUUGUGUUUUGCUCAGACUCAUUUCCAUACAAAAGUAGACGGAAACAGAGGGAAAGAAAAUCUUGUUGAUGAUUUUCUAGUAAAAUGCCUCAAGCACCCAAAUAAAUUGUGGGAUGCAACAGCAGGCUAGGAAUGUUUGACGAAGCAACUUAUGUAAAUAUUUUAUCGUUAAGUAAAGUUCCUCUUUUGCUGUUAAAAAAAAAAAAAAAAAAGAGGAAAACUAUUCCUUUCAUGUCUGUCAUUCUACCAAACAGUAUAUUUAGGUUUUCUUUCUUUUCCAACCAUAUCUGAUCCAAAUAAGACAAAUGAGAACUAUUUUCCUCUGCUCUCCUUUCCUUUCUUUUUCACUAGGAUGUUUUAUUUAUAUAUUUAUCCUUUCCUUUGAUCCAAAUGGUUCCUAAAAGGGCCCUAAAUAAUUAUUCUACAUUGAUCAGUUCCCUAUUUUUGUACUAAUUUGCAUGUGCACGAUUCUGUGUAUGUUCAUGUUGUGCAUCAAAUCUUGUGAAUGACAAAGCUAGAGUGUAAAUUUAAGCUGAAGAAAUAUAAACCAAAAAAAAAAGAAAAUGGAUUGGCUCCGUUAAAGAAAAUGGAUUACAUACUUUUCAUAUCCUUUGCCAUACAAAGAAGUGGCAUAGCCUUAACAAUGAAGUGUUGGUAAAACUCCAGAAGGACUGUGCCAUCCAUGAAAUCACAAAUCCACUUGUUAUACCAUGCAAUAAUGUGUAUGUCCUUGAUGAUUAAUAUAAUGAAACCAUGGUUCUAGGCCUUGAAGGAAGGAAUAAGAGCGAAAGUGGAGCUAGCAACCAAAUUUGCAAUCAGUUUUCAGGAUGGGAAGUGAGGAGGUGAUUUUCGGUUGGUAACUAGACCGACCUGGAUCAGUCCUCUCUGAGAUGAAGUGAGGUGAACUCCUGUGUCCGAAGUGAACCUCGGUGUCCGAAGUGAGUGGCGGGGCUUCUCCCCUGGGAUCACUCCGACGAUCAAGUUAGUAUGAGAACGAGAAUAAUGAGAAUGAGUUAAUGAACAGUGUCCGCUUACUUGUUGGGAGUGUGUCUGGGGUAUUUAUAGAAGAGAGGUGGUCAAGACGGAAGGCUCAUGCUAGCGGGACCCACUCUCUGGCAUUACGGCUCUGUCUCCUGUCAGGAGGUCUGACUCUGACACUGUAGCCGCCUGGGAGUGAUGACGGAGGAUAUGGUGCAGGUGCCAUUAAGUGCCUCCAGUGCUUUUCAGAUAAAGUGCUGGUCCUGGAUGAUGUCAGGUGGGUUGACAUCAUCAGCGUGCAGCUGAGGCGGGGGUGCCGAGGUCGGCUACACAGUAUGCUAUGGAAACGGCCGAGCCCGAGCUCAGGGAUGAUGUCCGGGACACGGAUGAACUCCGAUGAGGGACGAGGUGAGUCCACCUCGGCCACUCGGGAUGGCCGAGGUGAGCAUCCUCAGGAAGUUUGAUGUACGUGGUGAUCCAGCCUAUGUGAGGGCUUGUUGUGAAGCAAGUUUGAAGCGGCUUGAUGUGGACUGCAUUGAUCUCUAUUAUCAACAUCGCAUCGAUACAAGUGUGCCCAUUGAAGUCACGGUUUGCUCCAUCUUGCCUUUCUUUUAUUUUAGCUCCACCUCAUUCUUGAUGAAACAAAAGUUUGAUCAACUCCAAAUUUAGAAUAAUUCAGUUUCAUGUCCGUUUCAAUUCUUCAAAAAUUGCACAGAAAAGUUAGUCAACCUUAUGGUCUCGGCUAAUCAGUAGUAUGGUAUAGCUGAUUUUGCACAAGGCAUCCUGAAAAGUGAAAACAAUGAAAAUGUCUUGUAUUAGCUUGACAGUCCUGCUGAGGGAUAUACAGAUGGAUAUCAUGCUAUACAUUGUACAGCUUUCCUUUAGAACCAAGAGACCUGAGCAUUCUCUUUCAUUUGAGAUAGGCUAUUUACUUACAUUGUCAUUCGUUUUCAGUCGGUGCCAAAAGCACUGCAGAUAGACAUUUAUUAUUGAUAUCUAAAAAACAUGGUACUCAUUUUGUUCAGAGCACAGCUUUUUGUCUAAUUGUGAAAGCCAGCUGCAACUGCCCCAUUGACCUCUCCAAGCAAUUCAAAGAUUUCAGCAGCUUGCUUACAUUAAGCUUUUAUGAAACGAUUUCUCUGUCUUCUUUUUCUCAUGUAAUCAGCAAAGAAUUGUCUUGUUUUCCCUGAGUAUUAGGUAGAAACUUUCUUGCAGUUUAAUCACUCAAAAUACAGGCAAGUAUAACGGAAAUCAAGCAAAAUUGGCAACUGAUAAUUGAUAUGUACAGCCAUCAUUAUAUAUAGAAGUCAACAAUGCCAUGUAAUCAUAUUGGAGGAGCAUUAUGUUGGCAUGGUCCAGUAGAACUAAGUCCUCCGGUUGGCUGUACAUAGAGAACUAUCACUGGAUGCUUAUUGCCAUUUUCAUCAAUUAGUGAUUUCAGUUUGAUGUAUACUUUGUCCACAACUUCGUUGAACUAGUGCAACUUUUACUUUUUGCACGUAAUAUUUCGAUUAUCUGCCUAAGUGUUGAAUGUAAUAAAUCAGCUUAGCAUCUUCUUGUCCAUUGAAAUUCUCUAGAUAGGAGAGCUCAAGAAACUGGUUGAAGAGGGUAAAAUAAAGUAUAUAGGUCUGUCUGAGGCCUCAGCUUCAACAAUUCGAAGAGCACAUGCUGUUCACCCAAUAACAGCUGUACAGUUGGAGUGGUCAUUGUGGACCAGAGAUGUCGAGGAAGAGAUUAUUCCCACUUGCAGGUAGUGCAUAUAUUCUGCUGAAUUUUCUAAAUGGUCUAGAAGAAAUAUGAAGUUCUCAAUUCAGUUUUUGGUAUAAUCUUUCAGAGAGCUUGGCAUAGGGAUUGUUGCAUACAGUCCACUUGGACGAGGUUUCUUCUCAUCAGGUCCAAAGCUGAUGGAGAAUUUGGCUGAAGGUGACUUUCGAAAGGUUUGUACAUAUGUUUUUGAGUAUAGAUUGUUUAUAGUUCGAAUAAGUUUCUCACUCAUCUACUUUUACCAGAUUCAGUGGCAAUCUUGCUUGAUAUCCCUAUUGUUGUCUAUCUGUUAUAUGUUGCUGCACUUUUUGAUAUCCAAUAAUUUGAUUAAGGCUUGUAAUAUGAUCACAUUUAAUAAAAUUUCUAUUAAACAUAGCAAUUCAACAGGAUUUUUUUUCCCUCUCGAACAAGUCUUGGAGUCUUUAGUUGAUUCAAUGAAUGCAUAUUUUGGUGUCCUCUGUAUUUAGUUCAAAUUAAGAGAUAUAGCACAAGCUUUGUCAAAUUUAAGAUCUUAUAUUAAUUGAAGGUUGUUAUUGCUUGCUGGAAAUUUAUAUAGUGGACAACAAUCACAAGCAAUGGGUAGUAUCAAAUUUUAAAGUGCAAAGAUGUCAAAACAUGAAAAAACUACGUCAUUUUUUAAGUGAACGUCUCUUUACAGUUUUGAGGGGAAAUGGACCUUAGACUUCAGUUUCAUCAUUUAGUCUCAGGCACAGAACUUAUGUUGUCCUGUGAAACUAUCAUUUUUCCUUUACCAUCAGUCCUAGAACUGAGUUUCAUUGGUCAGAAAUAUACUUCAUAGUAGUACCUCCUCCAUCGUUCUACAAACAAACAAAAAUUAGUUGAUUUGUAUUUAAGUUUCCUCUUUGAUGGGAAAUGUGUCUCAGAACUUAACUCCAACAGUUGAUGUUUCCUACUUGGAGUGUUCAGUCCACCUUGAUGCAUUGUUCUUUCCCCUGAACUUGUGCCCUUCAAACAGUAUUUCUGAUCAUCUUGAAGUAAUUAGUACCGUCUGUUCAUUGCUCCCUCCCGAUAUCUUGCAUUAUAGUUUCCUCCUCUUUAAUGGGAAAUGUAUCUCCGGAUCUACCUUCUACAAUUGAUGUUUCUUAGAGUACUCAGUCCACCUUACUUGAUUGUUCCUUCCCCUGAACUUUGUACACCUCAGACAAUACUAUCGAUCAUCUUGAAGUUAUUCAUAUUGUCUUCAUUUGUAGACGACACAUGCUUCACUCCCUUUUGCAUUUCUGGCGUUACAGUUGCUUGAAAUUUUGAAAUUCAUACAAUGCAGGGUUUGCCAAGGUUCAAGCAGAGAAUUUGGAGCACAACAAGAAGUUGUAUGAGCGGGCCACUGCCAUUGCUUCAAGGAAGGGUUGUACUCCAUCACAGCUAGCAUUGGCCUGGGUCCAUCACCAAGGCAAUGAUGUUUGUCCCAUACCUGGCACUACCAAGAUUGAGAACCUCAAUCAGAAUAUAGGAGCUUUGUCUGUAAAACUGUCGGCAGAAGAUAUGGCGGAACUUGAAUCUAUUGCUUCUGCAGGAGUCAAGGGUGAGAGAUACGGACCUGAAAUCAGCACAUGGCAAAAUUCUGAAACUCCACCAUUGUCAACCUGGAAGAGGACAUGAAGACAUAGCUUUGUUGUGGCAAUAAUUCCUUCUAGCUAUUUGCCUGAUGGUGGAUUUCACUAUAUUAAGAGUUGAGUGAUAUGUAUUUGUCCCUAUAAAUUUCGUCAUACUAUUGUCUCCAGGGUUAAGGCAAGUAAAGUUAUAAGAAGAAUGGAGUUUCUUCAGAAAGGUUGUAAUGAAUAAAGAUCUGGUCAUGUAAAAGCAGAACAUAAUUUUCCUUGCAGUUGAAUGCAUUAAAGGUUAUGUAUUGUACUUUUGAAUGCUAAAGUGGUCCAUUUUUUAUGUGUUACUGCUACGAGAGUUAUAGAUUGUUGGACAUCAUUUUUUGGUUGGAAUGUUUACAUCAAAGCGUCUCCAAGGACAUGUCAUUCUAAAGUUUAAACUACAUCAUACCAACAAAAUGCAGAAAAAGGUCUAAAGUAUGGGAUGUUUGUAAAUUUUCACGGGAGGCUUUGUUGGGUAAAUUGUAAAGGACUAGCAAAUAUUGUAACAAGAAUUGGCUUCAAAUCGUGAUAGAAAUCACUUUCCUUUAGGCUUUAUUUGUCCGGUAUAACGUGCAAUAACCUUAGACAAAUAUCCUUUAAGAUAAGAUGAAGUUUUGUUUGUCUUAAACUCUUGCACAAAGCAAGACAAACCCUUUGUGAACUAAGGAGUGCUUUUGAGAGAGUAAGGAUAGUAGGAAAGUGAUUUUCUGCAGCAAACUACUCUCUACUUGACCUCUUUAUAUAGGAAGAUUGUUUGGGAAACAAAAGAUCUCAUUAAACACUUGUAUGAAUAGAUUCAAAGUAUUGUGUACACAUUCAUGCACUUUAAUUCAUGCAUCUCAUGAUCAUUUAGAUCAAAACAUGAAUCUAUCCUUUCAUUCAAUAAUUCUCAUAUACAUGAAUACAUUCAUAAAUGAAUGUACUUUUAGGAACAUUCACAAUACUAUACAUGUACCAAAAAUUAAUGAAUACAUUAAUUACAUGUAUGUACAUCAUACAAAUUUUGAAAAGUUUCCAACAAUCCUCCGCCAUUUUCAAAAUUUAGAAAAUGGAUUUCUAAAAGGUCACCAAGUAAUCUGACACUCAUAUGCAUAAAUAAUGGUGUCUUUCGAUUGAACCACUAUCUUAGUGAAGGUUCUUUGAAAUCAAUCCUUCAAGAUGGUAGACAAGCUUUGAACCACUUGGACAUUGGACCAACCUCAUAAACACAUCACACACUGAGCAAUGCACAACCAUAAGUUCUUCAACGAUACAUUUUACGGCCUUGUAUCACUAUCCUUUCUUGAAUGUUUACAAAGUAAAGUCCUUAAUUUUGUGGUUUGCCAAAAAUUAACAUUCAUAUAGGCGACAUCUUAGUGCCCCCGCCAUAGAUAGCACUUUUAAGAUUCGUUAAGAGUCCAAUGACUCAUCCUUACAUUUGCACUGGCGAGAAUAACAUGCACUAUUCAACAUUGGGAUGUCUAAACUUCACAUAGUGCACCAACCACUAGAAUGGUGUACUUUCACUCAUUGAAUUCAAGACUAGACGUUGUAUUUAGCGUUGAAUUGAGGUUCCACCAUUAGCGAUAAAAAAUUUUGGACUUUAAACCAAUUCCCCUUGAUGUCUUUGACACCAAAUUUCUUGAUAAUCCUUUUAUCAAAGGAUCACUUAAAUUUUCAUUUGAUCUCACAAAGUCAAUUGAUAUGACUCCAUUUGUAAUCAAAUCUUUGACAUAACUAUGUCUCAAACCGAUAUGUCUUGAUUUACCAUUAUACACUUGACUAUAUGCUUUAGCAAGUGUAGCUGCACUAUCACAAUGGAUUGAGAUAGGCGAUAAAGGUGUUGGCCACAAUGGUAUAUCAUAAAGUAAAUUACGUAGCCAUUUAGCUUCUUUACAGGCCGAAACAAGUGCUACAAACUCUGCUGCCAUUGUUGAAUCGGUGAUACAAGUCUGUUUCUUAGAACCCCAAGAAAUUGCACCUCCACUAAGCAUAAAGAUUCAACCACUUGUCGACGAGUGAUCAUCUUUAUUGGUGAUCCAACAAGCAUCUGAAAAUCCUUUUAAAACUGAAGGAUAACCGGUAUAACAUAUACCAUAGUUCUUAGUGGCCUUUAAAUACUUUAAAAUUUUGGUUACACCUUGCCAAUGUAACCUACUAGGGUUGCUUGUAUAUCUGUUCAAUAUACCAACUGCAUAUGCAAUAUCAGGUUUAGUACAAGUCAUUGCAUACAUUAAAUACCCUAUAACCUUGGCAUAUUCCAUUUGAGAUUUUAGAUCCCCCUCAUUUUUCACAAAAUUUAUUUUAGAAUCCAAUGGUGUUGAGGCUGGAAUACAAUCACUUUGAUUGAAUUUGUUAAGAAUCUUUUCAAUAUAAUGUGUUUGAGACAACAUUAUAUUGUUAUCAUAUUUGAAGAUUCUCAUACCAAGAAUGACAUCUGCCUCACCCAUGUUUUUCAUGUCAAAUUUGAUUGAAAGCAAAGUUUUUGUGACUUCAACUUGUUCCAAGUCAGUCCCAAAAAUCAACAUGUCAUCAACAUAUAAACAAAUUAUGACACCUUUGCCAUAAUCAAACUUGCUAUAAAUACAUUUAUCAGAUUCAUUUAUUUUGAAUCCACUAGCAAGAAUAAUUUGGUCAAAUUUCCGAUGCCAUUGCUUCGGUACUUGUUUUAGUCCAUAUAAAAACUUUACAAGUUUACACACCUUAUGCUCUUGACCAAGUAUCACAAACCCUUCGGGUUGCUCCAUAUAUAUUUCUUCAUCCAAAUCACCAUUCAAGAAUGCUGUUUUAACAUCCAUUUGGUGAAUGACUAGAUUUUGGAUAGAAACUAUAGCAAGUAGCACUCUAAUUGUAGCAAUUCUAGCUACUGGUGAAUAUGUGUCAAAAUAGUCCACACCAUACUUUUGUGUAAACCUUUUGGCAACCAACAUGGCCUUGAACUUAUCAAUAGUUCCGUCGAUCUUCAUUUUCUUCUUAAAGAUCCACUUACAACCAAUUGGUUUUGAACCAGGUGGUAAAUCUACUAAUUUUCAGGUUUUAUUAUCCAUGAUUGAGUCCAUCUCAUCAUUAAUAGCUUCCUUCCAAAAGGGAGCAUCUUGUUAGUUCAUUGCUUCUUCAUAGGUCUUGGGAUCAGUCUCAAUAUUGAAGCAAUAUGAGAUUUGGUUGCUCACUGUAUCUCUAGUUCUUUCAACUAGAUACAUAUAAAAGUCCGAACCGAAGUCUUUUGAUUUUCUAGCUCUUUUGCUCCUUCUCAAUUCAAUGGUUUCAUUUUCACCAUCUUUUGUCAAUUCACUUGAUUUUGGAAUAACAUCUUUUAUAGAGGUGAACCUAUUCUCUUCAAAAAUAGCAUCUCUAGACUCAAUUAUGGUAUUAACCGAAAUUGAAUCAUUAGGUUCAAUUACCAUGAACCUAUAUGCUUUGCUAUUUUGUGCAUAUCUUAAAAAUAUACACUCCACACCUCUUUCUCCCAAUUUCCUUUUUUGAGGUUCUGGGAGUUUUACAAUAGCUCUACAACCCCAAACUUUCAAAUAGUUUAGGUUGGACUUCCUUUUAUUCCAAAAUUUAUAAGGGGUUAUAGAACUUCUUUUAUUAGAAACUCUAUUUAGGAUAUGACAAGCCGUUAACAAGGCUUCACUCCAAAAUCCUUGACUUAAACCAGAUUUUGACAAAAGUGCAUUAACCAUUUCUGUCAAUACACGAUUUUUCCUUUCGGCUACACCAUUUUAUUGUGGUGUGUAAGGAGCAGUCACCUCAUGUUUUAUCCCAACAGACUCAAAAUAGGUAAUAUCAUAAUAUUCCCCACCUCUAUCUGUUCUUAGACAUUUGAUAAAGGAUUCACAAUGAAGUUCAACUUCUGAUUUGUAUGCCUUAAAUUUUUGCAAAGUUUCACUUUUUGAGUGUAACAAGAAAACAUGACAGUAUCUACUAUAAUCAUCAAUAAAAGUCACAAAGUACUUUUUACCACCCAAAAUAGGAGUACCAUGCAAAUCACGUACAUCACUAUGAAUCAAAUUCAAGAUUUUAGAUGAUCUUUCAACUUUAGAAAACGAAUUUCUUGUGAUUUUCGUUAGCAUGCAUGUUUUGUAUUUUCCUUCAAUUUUAUCACAAUAUGGCAGCAAAUCAAGUCUCAUCAUUUCAUGCAUUCUUUUGUAAUUAACAUGACCAAUCCUAUUAUGCCACAAUUUAAAAGAAGACUCAACCAAAGACGCAGAAAUAAUAUCACUCUUAUUAUUUCUAAUAGCGAGUACAUUCAACUUAAACAUCCCACUGCAAAGAUAACCCUUGCCUACAAACAUACCACCUUUAGACAAAAUAAAUUUGUCAGACUCAAAUAUAAGUCUAAAGCCAAAUUUAUUUAACAGCUCAGCCGACACCAAGUUCUUCCUAACUUCCGGUACAUAAAACACAUUUGUCAAGGUUACAACAUUUUCGAAAGUAAAUUUUAAUUCUAUUUCUCCAAUGUCUUGAACCGGAAUUGUAGCAGAAUUUUUCAUGUAAACAACGGUGCUUUCAUCCACCGGUUUCAUGGACUUGAAGAACGUUCUAUUGUUGCACACGUGUCGCGUAGCUCCAGAAUCAACCCACCAAGCAAAAUUAUCUUCAAUCAUAUUGAUUUCAGAUAUCAUUGCUACAAGAAUUUUGCUUGUGGUUUGGGAAGACUCUUGCUUCUUCUUCUUGUUUUGAAGAAUCUUGCAAUCGGACUUGUAGUGUCCCUCUUUCUUGCAAUAGAAGUAUUGUCCCUUCUUUCUUUUCUUGGAUUGAUUCUUGGGUUGUUGGCCCUUCUUACUUCCUUGAGACUUUUCAGUUUGCCUCUCUUCAAUCACAUGCACUUUUGAAGUAGAAUCUUUGUUCUCUUCAAGGAUUUGACUAUCCUUCUUUUCUUGCAUGCGAAUUUCCUCUUCUACUCGAAGAGAUUUAGCAAAAAUCUCAAGAGAGAUAUCAUCUUUUUUAUGUUUGAGGUCUCUUUUGAAAUCUUUCCAAGAAAGUGGUAACUUAUCUAUUAUAGAGCAAACAAUAAUGGCUUCAUUCAUGUGUAGAUUGUGUUGUGUGUAGUGAUUAAGAAGCCUUUCAAUCUCACUAAAUUGCUCCAAAACAGACUUAUUAUCUACCAUUUUAUAAUUAUUAAAAGACGAGACAAGAAACUUCUUACUUGUAGCAUCUUCUUGCAUGUACUUGGACUCCAAUCGAUCCCAAAGUUCCUUGGCAGUAGUAAUUGAAUGGUAGACAUCGAACAGGUUGUCACUCAUGGUAUUGAGGAUGUGACCACGGCAUAUUUCAUCGUCGUUCUCCCAUUUCUGACGGUUUCAGAUGUGUUCAAGAGUUUCUUCAUCGGGAUUGAUCAAUGAUUUUGGUGUGAUCAAAACAUAGACCACUUUGAGUGCAGUGAGAAGGAAAUGAACACGUUUUUGCCAACGAACGAAAUUUCCUCCAUCAAACCGCGUGAGCUUGACAAUAUUGGAUGCCAAAUCUUUCAAGGUACCAUCCAUUGUAGAGUAUAAAUAAAGCCUAAAAAUUGUUGGGUAAAUUGUAAAGGACUAGCAAAUAUUGUAACAAGAAUUGGCUUCAAAUCGUGAUAGAAAUCACUUUCCUUUAGGCUUUAUUUGUCCGGUAUAACGUGCAAUUACCUUAGACAAAUAUCCUUUAGGAUAAGAUGAAGUUUUGUUUGUUUUAAACUCUUGCACAAAGCAAGACAAACCCUUUGUGAACUAAAGAGUGCUUUUGAGAGAGUAAGGAUAGUAGGAAAGUGAUUUUCUACAGCAAACCACUCUCUACUUGACCUCUUUAUAUAGGAAGAUUGUUUGGGAAACAAAAGAUCUCAUUAAACACUUGUAUGAAUAGAUUCAACGUAUUGUGUACACAUUCAUGCACUUUAAUUCAUGCAUCUCAUGAUCAUUUAGAUCAAAACAUGAAUCUAUCCUUUCAUUCAAUAAUUCCCAUAUACAUGAAUACAUUCAUAAAUGAAUGUACUUUUAGGAACAUUCACAAUACUAUACAUGUACCAAAAAUUAAUGAAUAUACAUUAAUUACAUGUAUGUACAUCAUACAAAUUUUGAAAAGUUUCCAACAGGCUUGUGAUAGCAAAAACUUCAGGAGGCUUCUGAAAUUAUCCCUUAAACUAAACUAAAGGAGGUAAGAUUUUAAGCAGAUCUCGGUAAGUUAAAAGGUUAAAACUUUACAUACAAAUAAAUGGUCAAAUUCACUUUAAAUUUGUGGUGUCAUCUUCCACCUUAAACUUUUGUACUAUCCAAGUUCGUUUUAAUUCCUUUGGGAAAAUCAAACAUCAAAUGCUUACCAUUUAUUGAAACAUUACAUCAUCCAUCCAAUUGAAACAAACUCCUACGGAGUUUUUUUUUUUUUUUUUUGCUUUAUUUUGUUGUUAGAUAUGAAUUUAUUUCACAUUUGGUUGUCAGAUCUAAAUUUUUUUUUCAAAUUUUAAAUCUAUUUCAACAUAUCUCAUUAUCAUUAUUGAAACUUAAAACCGUUUAUUGGCAAAUCUGGUGAUUGCCAUAUGCACGGAAGGGAUGCACUUUUAAAAUUCUUUAUAUAUAUUUUUUUAGAUUUGUUUGUAAUUUUCAAAUCUAUUGUAUCUGUUAAAUUAUGAUCUGUAAUUUUUAAUGGAUGUUUGGCCUGCCAUUAGGGGAGUUAUGCAAAUCAAAUCAUGUUAGAUGAUUUCCAAAAAAAACUUAAUCGUCAAUUACUCUUUCCCAUUUUAUUUGUCCACUUUUCAAUUGUCAAUAACUCUUUUAAGAAACUUUGUAAUACAAAAAUCAACUGAAACCAGUAGAAUAUUACUUUGUAAUAUUUUUUUUGACAAAAAAAAGUAGAAUAUACAAUUAAUAGCAGUAUUCAUAUUAUGUUUUUGUAUAUUACUUGUACAUCUAAUUAGUCCCAUUUGGAGAAAAAAAAAGGAUGAAGACAAAGACAAAAACACAUAAUAGUCACAAAAAACACAGAUCUAGCUCAAAAUAUGGCAGUGACCAAUUGUUCUGCAAAAUUAUUAGGAUAAGCAGUUGACAGAUUCUAUAAUCGCUUUUGGUCAAAUAUUAUUUAAAUUAGCUGGAUGGUCAAAUAUUACUUUUAAUUUUAAUCAUUUAAAUUACCAGUUACUAUCAUCAUUGGAAGAAGCACAUUGAGGGUCUGUUUGGAUUGUGAAUUAUUAGAGAUAUUUUUACUGUAGCACUUUUUAUGAUGUGAUGUAUGUGAGAUAAAAAGGUAAUUGGAAAGGUAAAAAGGUGUAUUGGAAAUUGUAAUAAUGAUGUAAGCAAAUAAAUUUUGAGAAAUAAAGCCCAAUCCAAACAAAGCCUGAAGGAAUGAUACUCUAAGAUGACUACAGAAAUUUUCUAGCUGGUUAUACAACAUAUUAAUAGUUGAAUGUUGACCUCACCAGCCAUCCCUCAUUCCUUGUCGCAUCCUUUUUAUGAAUUGGAUUCAUCUAUUUGGUGUUCUAAAAUCACAUUUAAAAGUUUUUUUUUUUUUGCGAAAGUGUUAUUAUUCAGGAUGUGUAUGAUAAUUUAAAAUUUUAAUAGUGGACCUAAAAAUAAAACUUGUAAAUUUUACAUAUGAGCCUACCUACUUUUAAAAUAGAGGGAAAAAAACAUCACAUAACUUCAAGUCCAAGAUUGUAUGCAGUUUGUCCAAUAAAUAGAUAUUCAUAAUUCAUAAUUUCAUAUACACAUGUUAACUAGAGAUGUCAAUCACAACCCAAUUAUAUUGAUCCGUUCAAAACCGUUCACUAAUAACCCAUCCAAAUUCACUCAUUAAAAUUUAAAUGGGUCUAAGUGAGUACCUAAUUAAAUCCAUUUAAUUGGUGGAUAGUUGAUUGAUUUGACUCACCCAUUUAUAACCAUUUAAAAAAAUAUAUUUUUAAACUCAAUUUUUACUAAGUGUUAAGAAGAUAAAUUUGAAUUUCCUACAAAUCUAAUAACAAUAAAAUAUCAUUUUUCUUGUUAAACGACAUGCAAAAAAUUUUAAAAAAAAUAGAAUUUCAAAUCAGUGUAAAUGGGUAAUUAAGUAUUUUCAUAUCCAUUUAUUAAAUAGAUAUAAAUGGAUUGAUUCAAUUAUAUCUAUUAUCCAAUUAAAAUUUGCUCAAACCUGUACAAGUCACUCAUUUUUAUGCUUCUAAUGUUAAUAUAUAUUCACAAGUGAAGAGUGCAGCAUUGACAAGGAAGAUAUACUUAUUUAUCCCAAUAUUAUAGUCAUUUUUUUCAUUACAAAAGUAUUGAUAAUUUCAUAAUUUCAUCAUCAGUGACAUAACAUUACAUGAAUUUCAACGAAGUAUGUAAUCAGUGACAUGACAUAACAUGUCAUCAUUAGUCUUCAGCGGUGAAUCUUAUCACGAGGCUUCUUUUCGAAGCUUUGAUUAUGGCAUACACUUCUGACAAUAUGUCCCUUUUAGAAUAGGGAUAAGUUUCUGUGACCAGGCUUCUUUUCAAAGCUUUGAUUAUGGCAUACACUUCUGACAAUGCCCCUUUUAGAAUAGGGAUAAUUUCAGAAACCUCCCUAGGGUUUGUAACAAUUUCAUCGAACUUUCUUGAAAUUUUUAAUAUUACACUUAUCUCCCUUUAUGAUAGACAAUAAUUAUAAUAACCUUCAUAAUUUUUUCAAAGACAAGCUAUUGAUAAAAAAGAUAAAAAAAAAUGAAAACAAUUCUUCUUGGCUAAGCCUCAUAUUGUGACUAAAUUGUUUCACCCAUAACCACUAAAUUGUAAUUUCUAUUACUCAGAAAAGAAGCAUUUUGGUAAUUGAGGGGCUUGGUUGUUUGAGUGGGAAAAGGGUAAGAAUUGUGAAUUUUAUGAUUGACGGUUUGGUAGACAACAUAUGGAAAAAACUUAUAGAGAGGUAAAAAUUAUAAAGAUAAGAAUUAUGAUGAUGGAUUUUGACAUCUAAAAUAUCGAGCUUGUUCGAAAAAAGGAAGAAAUGAUAAGAUCGAGUUUGAAAACUUGGGUAGAUGUAGAAAAUUAUGAGAUGAAAAAUAUUAGGACAUUGUCUAAGUAAUAAAACUCAUAGGUUUAUAGUAUACAAGUGUAUUCUUGAUUUUUGAAAAAUUUUAAUGACUAUUCAUAUUUUGAAAAUUAGAUAAGGGCAAUUUUGGACAUUCAUAUAUUUUUCUGGUCUUACAUCAUCAAGGUGAAACUCAAACCUAUGUUUUAGUAAAUGUAUGUGUAAUUUUCAAAAAGUGAGGAAAGCUGUCUGAAAUUAUCAGAAACCUCAGGGGUGAUUUAUGAAAUUAUCCCUAAUUUUUUUUUUGGUACAAAAAACUCCAAAAUAAUAUGUCCCACACUCUGUGCCACACUCUGUGCCACUUUUUAUUAUAUUGCUAUUUUUCCUACAUAAAUAACAUGUUUUAAUUCUUUUUUGCUUUCUUAAGAUCCAAUAACUAUUAAUUAAGUAAAAAAUAAAUACAACAACUUCAAAAAAGCAAUAUAUAAUAGAAAAUUAAAAAAUACAGCAGAAAAUUCAUAAAAAAUCUCAUUUUUUAUAUAUUUUGAUUUUUUGACUUUGUUAAAUUUUGUGUAUUACUCAAUUAAUAGUUAUUGGAUCUUAAGGAAGCAAAAAAGAAUUAAAAUAUGAUGUUUAUGUAGGAGAAAUAGUAAUAUAAUAAAAAAUGGGACAGGCACAUGGUGUGGGACAAAAGGUCCGUUGCACCAAAAAAGUGGCAGUUCAAACUGGAACCAUCUCCUAUUUUCGCAAGUCCUCCCGCCGGCGGCCCUGGGUCAUCUAUAAAAGUAUAGACCAAGACAACACUAAUCCCUCAUCAGUCCACUCCAUACUUCUUCUUCAAGCCUCAGCAACGAAACAAUAAACUCUGCUCCACUCAACUCUUUCCUCUGUGUCUUGUGCUCUUGUCUGAAAAUGGCGGCGUCAGAAGAAGUGAAAGUGCCAAGAAUCAAGCUGGGGUCGCAAGGUUUUGAAGUUUCAGCUCAAGGGCUGGGCUGCAUGGGCAUGUCAGCCUUCUACGGGCCGCCAAAGCCCGAGCCUGAUAUGAUCAAACUCAUCCACCAUGCUAUUUGCAGAGGAAUCACCCAUCUUGACACCUCCGAUAUCUAUGGACCUCACACCAACGAAAUACUCAUUGGCAAGGUACCAUAUUUGCAAAUUUUCUGCUGUUGUCUGCUAUGCGUAAACUCUUGUAAUUUUAAUUUCUAAAAGAGCAUAUUUUUAAAUAUUUUAUUUAGGUAAAUUAUACUUAAUCCCUUGCACUUCAAAAUUUGUCUCCCUUUGUGCCCCCUUAAUUUUGUUUGUCAGCACUUAAACUCCACUUGUUUAAAUUGUAAGUAUUAUUAGUCAAAUAUGACAUUGUUCUUCUUCAUUUUUUCAUGUUACUGCCUUUUCAGUUUGUCCUCCUUUAUAAAUAUGGGAUGAAUUACUUUGAUUUUGAUUUUGGUGCAAUUUUGUAUAAAAUGAUUUUUGCUAUGAAGUUAUUGAUUUAUUAUGAGCUAUGCGUUGUAUAUUUACACAAAUUCUGCUAGUUAAACAUUCACUUGAGCAGGCCUUCCAAACAUGAGCAAUAUAAUUCUCUAUGGGUGCAUUUGGUAAAAUUGACGAUUGAAAAUUGAAAUCUAAUUUAAAGUCUGAAUCCAUAAAAUUAUUAAUUUGUUAAGUACUAAAUUUGAUACGUUUGAGUGCAUGUCAUGUCAAGUGAUCACAGAAUAACUCAUCACUUAUUUUUUAAAGCAAGUUUUGCUUAAGAAAUUCAGUGCCAUUUAAUUAAUUUAGAUAUUCAAUGUUUAAUUAUCAAACAUAUAUGAAUAUAUUAACAUCUGAAUCUAUUAAUUUUAAGUGCUGAAUUGGGUUAUCAAACAUGACCUAUAAUUAUUAGGUAACCAAGCAGACAACAUGUUUAGUGUAUAAUAGUAAUUAACUUUCAAUUUGUGUCGUUAUUCUUUGGUAAAGAACUCUUAGAAUUAUUAAUAAUAAAUUUCUCAUACACGGGAAUCAAAAUAAUUGAAGUUUUAUCUCUACCAUUGAGAUAUGUUGCCAUCUAAAAGAAAGGAAAGGGAAGGAAACAUGGGGGAAAAUAGGGAAAGGGCAAAGUGAUGAUAAAUAAAAUUGGAAGUAGCAAAAUGAGACAAAUGAAUUAUUGCAAGGGGUUAAGUGUAAAUUAUGUUUAUUUUAUGAGACCAUUUAGGCAGAAAGACUGGACCCUUUUAACGCGCCAAUCAAAAGUUCCAAUUGCUGAAAAUAACAUAAAAACUUGACUUUGUUUGGUUUGGCGUUUUUGGAGGUGGUUCAUGAAAAUUUUAUUGUAGUUUUUUUUUUCAUCUUGAAAAAUAUACUUUUUUCAUCAAUUUAUGGAAAGUUUACAAUUUCUCUGAUAACAGAUGGUAAAAUUUACUUUUUACGAGCACUGAAGUUUUAAAGAUUAUGAAAAGAGAAUUGUAUGAAGGAAUAGAAGGGAAAAGAAGGGUAAGAAAAUGGAUGGAUUGUGUUUGGAUUGAUUUUGGGAGGGGCAAGGAGAGGAAACGGAGAGAAAAGGAAAUGGAUGGAUUGUGUUUUGCUCAGACAUCAUUUCCAUACAAAAGUAGAUAGAAACAGAGGGAAAGAAAAUCUUGUUGAUGAUUUUCUAGUAAAAUGCCUCGAGCACCCAAAUUUUACAUAAACUUGCCAUUUGUGAAACCUGCUUUAGAUAUGAAUUGUGGGAUGCAACAGCAGGCUAGGAAUGUUUGACGAAGCAACUUGUGUAGAUAUUUUAUCGUUAAGUAAAGAGAAAAACUAUUCCUUUCAUGUCUGUCGUUCUACCAAACAGCAUAUUUAGGUUUUCUUUCUUUCCCAUUCAUAUCUAAUCCAAAUAAGACAAAUGAGAACUAUUUUCUCUACUCUCCUUUCCUUUCUUUUUCACUAGCAUGUUUUAUUUAUUUAUUUAUCCUUUCCUUUGAUCCAAAUGGUUCCUAAAAGGCCACUAAUUAUUCUACAUUGACCAGUUCCCUAUUUUUGUAUUAAUUUGCAUGUGCACGAUUCUGUGUAUGUUCAUGUUGUGCAUCAAAUCUUGUGAAUGACAAAGCUAGAGUGUAAAUUUAAGUUGAAGAAAUAUAAAACAAAAAAGAAAAUGGAUUGGCUCCUUUAAGAGUAUCAGACUUCUAAACCCCAAGGAUUACAUAAUUUUCAUAUCCUUUGCGAUACAAAGAAGUGGCAUAGCCUUAACAAUGAAGUGUUGGAAAAACUCCAGAAGGAAUGUGCCAUCCAUGAAAUCCCAAAUCGGCUUGCUGUACCAUGCAGUAAUGUGUAUGUCCUUGAUGAUUAACAUAAUGAAAUCAUGGUUCUAGGCCUUGAAGGAAGGAAUAAGAGCGAAAGUGGAGCUAGCAACAAAAUUUGCAAUCAGUUAUCAGGAUGAGAAGUUUGAUGUACGUGGUGAUCCAGCCUAUGUGAGGGCUUGUUGUGAAGCGAGUUUGAAGCGGCUUGAUGUGGACUGCAUUGAUCUCUAUUAUCAACAUCGCAUUGAUACACGUGUGCCCAUUGAAGUCACGGUUUGCUCGUCUUGCCUUUCUUGUUUUUUAGCUCCACCUCAUUCUUGAUGAAACAAAAGUUUGAUCAACUCCAAAUUUUGAAUAAUUCAGUUUCAUGUCCGUUUCAAUUCUUCAAAAGUUGCACAGAAAAGUUAGUCAACCUUAUGGUCUCGGCUAAUCUGCAGUAUGGUAUAGCUGAUUUUGCACAAGGCAUCCUGAAAAGUGAAAACAAUGAAUAUGUCUUAUAUUAGCUUUGGCUGUCCUGCUGAGGGAUAUACAGGUGGAAAUCAUGCUAUACAUUGUACAGCUUUCCUUUAGAACCAAGAAACCCGAGCAUUCUCUUUCAAUUGAGAUAGGCUAUCUGGUUGAGUAAUGAUCUGCUAUUUACUUACCUUGUCAACCAUUUUCAGUUGGUGCCUAAAGCACUGCAGAUAGACAUUUAUUAUUGAUAUCUAAAAAACAUGGUACUCAUUUUGUCCAGAGCACAGCUUUUUGUCUAAUUGUCAAAGCCAGCUGCAACUGCCCCAUUGACCUCUCCAGACAAUUCAAAGAUUUCAGCAGCUUGCUUACAUUCAGCUUUUAUGAAACAAUUUCUGUCUUCUUUUUCUCAUGUAAUCAGCAAAGAAUUGUCUUGGUUUCCCUGAGUAUUAGAUAGAAACUUUCUUGCAGUUUAAUCACUCAAAAUACAAGCAAGUAUAAAGGAAAUCAAGCAAAAUUGGCAACUGAUAAUUGGUAUGUACGGCCAUUAUUAUAUAUAGAAGUCAACAAUGCCAUGUAAUCAUAUUGGAGGAGCAUUAUGUUGGCAUGGUCCAGUAGAACUAAGUCCUCCGGUGGGCUGUACAUAGAGAACUAUCACUGGAUGCUGAUUGCCAUUUUCAUCAAUUAGUGAUUUCAGUUUGAUGUAUACUUUGUCCACGACAUCGUUGAACUAGUGCAACUUUUACUUUUUGCACGUAAUAUUUCGAUUAUCUGCCUAAGUGUUGAAUGUAAUAAAUCAGCUUAGCAUCUUCUUGUCCAUUGAAAUUCUCUAGAUAGGAGAGCUCAAGAAACUGGUUGAAGAGGGUAAAAUAAAGUAUAUAGGUCUGUCUGAGGCCUCAGCUUCAACAAUUCGAAGAGCACAUGCUGUUCAUCCAAUAACAGCUGUACAGUUGGAGUGGUCAUUGUGGACCAGAGAUGUCGAGGAAGAGAUUAUUCCCACUUGCAGGUAGUGCAUAUAUUCUGCUGCAUUUUCUACAUGGUCUAGAAGAAAUAUUAAGUUCUCAAUUCAGUUUUUGGUAUAAUCUUUCAGAGAGCUUGGCAUAGGGAUUGUUGCAUACAGUCCACUUGGACGAGGUUUCUUCUCAUCAGGUCCAAAGCUGAUUGAGAAUUUGGCUGAAGGUGACUACCGAAAGGUUUGUGCAUAUCGAAAAAGAUGGAGUUUUUGAGUAUACAUUGUUUAUAGUUCGAAUAAGUUUCUCACUCAUCUAUUUUUACCACAUUCAGUGGCAAUCAUGCUUGAUAUCAAAAGAGGAAGAAACUAUGUCACUUUUUAAGUAAAAGUCUCUUUACGGUUUUGAAGGGAAAAGGACCUUAGACUUCAAUUUCAUCAUUUAAUCUCAGGCACAGAACUUAUGCUGUCCUGUGAAACUAUCAUUUUUCCUUUACCAUUAAUCCUAAAACUGAGUUUCAUUGGUCAGAAAUAUACUUCAUAGUAGUACCUCCUCUAGCGUUCAUCGUAGUACCUCCAUCGUUCAAACAAACAAAAAUUAGUUGAUUUGUAUUUUAAGUUUCCUCUUUGAUGGGAAAUGUAUCUCAGAACUUAACUCCAACGGUUGAUGCUUCCUCCGUGGAGUAUUCAGUCGAACUUGAUGCAUUGUUCUUUCCCCUGAACUUGUGCCCUUCAAACAGUAUUUCUGAUCAUCUUGAAGUAAUUAGUACCGUCUGUUCAUUACUCCCUCCCGAUUUCUUGCAUUAUAGCUUCCUCUUUAAUGGGAAAUGUAUCUCAGGAUCUACAUUCUACAAUUGAGGUUUCUUAGAGUACUCAGUCCACCUUACUGGAUUGUUCCUUCCCCUGAACUUUGUACACCUUAAACAAUACUAUCGAUCAUUUUGAAGUUAUUCAUAUUGUCUUCAUUUGUAGAUGACACAUGCUUUGCUCCCUUUUGAAUUUCUGGCAUUACAGUUGCUUAAAUUUUGAAAUUCAUACAAUGUAGGAUAUGCCAAGGUUUCAAGCAGAGAAUUUGGAGCAGAACAAGAACUUGUAUGAGCGGGUCAAUGCCAUUGCUUCAAGGAAGGGUUGUACUCCAUCACAGCUAGCAUUGGCCUGGGUCCAUCACCAAGGCAAUGAUGUUUGCCCCAUACCUGGCACUACCAAGAUUGAGAACCUCAAUCAGAAUAUAGGAGCUUUGUCUGUAAAACUGUCAGCAGAGGAAAUGGCGGAACUUGAAUCUUUUGCUUCUGCGGGAGUCAAGGGUGAUAGGUAUGGGCCUGGCCUUGGUACUUGGCAAACUUCUGAAACUCCACCUUUGUCAACCUGGAAGAGAACAUGAAGACAUACUUUGUUAUUGCAAUAAUUCCUUCUAGCUAUGUGCCUGAUGGUGGAUUCCACUAUAUUAAGAGUUGAGUGAUAUGUAUUUGUUCCAAUAAAGUUUGACAUACUAUUGUCUCUAGGGUUAAGGCAAGUAAAGUUAUAAGAAGAAUGGAGUUUCUUCAGAGGUUGUAAUGAAUAAAUAUCUGGUCAUGUAAAAGCAGAAUAUAAUUUUCCUUGCAGUUGAAUGCAUUAAAGGUUAUAUAUUGUACUUUUGAAUGCUAUAGUGGUCCAUUUUUUAUGUGCUACUGCUACGAGAGUUAUAGAUUGUCGAACAGCAUUCAAUUCAGGACUUAUUAAACAUAAGCAUAUAAACAUUUUAUGCUCGGAAUAUUUACAUCAAAAGAAACUCCAAGGUCACAUCAUUGUAAAGUGUAAACUACAUCAUAUUAAUAAAAAGCAAAAAAAAAGGUCUAAAUGAGGAAAAAAAUGUACUAUAGAAGAAGUCAACAAUGUCAUGUAAUCAUUUUAUCCUAAAAUUGAGAUUCAAAUUUAGUUGAUUUGUAUUUUGAGUUUCCUCUUUGAUGGGAAAUGUAUCUCAGAACUUUAACUCCAACAGUUGAUGUUUCCUACUUGGAGUACUCAGUCCACCUUGAUGCAUUGAUCUUUCCCCUGAACUUGUGCCCGUCAAACAAUAUUUCUGAUCAUCUUGAAGUAAUUAGUACCAUCUGUUCAUUACUCCCUUUUGAUUUCUUGCAUUAUAGUUUCCUCUUUAAUGGGAAAUGUAUGUCAAGAUCUACCUUCUACAAUUGAGAUUUCUUAGAGUACUCAGUCCACCUUACUAGAUUGUUCUUUUCCGUGAACUUUGUUCACUUCAAACAUUACUAUGAUCAUCUUGAAGUUAUUCGUAUUGUUGUCUUUUGUAGACGACACAUGCUUUACUAAUUACUGCACUUUGAAUUUCUGCAUUGCAGUUGCUUAAAUUUUGAAAUUCAUACAAUUUAGAAUAUGCCAAGGUUUCAAGUAGAGAAUUUGGAGCACAACAAGAAGUUGUAUGAGCGGGGUCAAUGCCAUUGCUUCAAGGAAGAGUUGUACUCCAUCACAGCAAGCGUUGGCCUGGGUCCAUACCAAGGCAAUGAUGUUUGUCCCAUAACUAGCACUACCAAGAUUGGAAACCUCAAUCAGAAUAUAGGAGCUUUGUCUGUAAAACUGUCAGCAGAAGAUAUGGCUGAACUUGAAUCUAUUGCAUCAGCUAGAGUCAAGGGUGAUAGAUAUGAUCCUGGCCGUAUCAAGGGCAGAGGUUAUGGGAUCUGAUUAUGGGCAACUGAUUAUGGAAUCUAUUCUAUCAUAAUUGCAAAGAUUAUGACUGAAAUUAUGGGAUCUGCUCUAUCAUGUAUAUUAGCUGUAUAUUAGCAUAUGUGUCAUUAAUAUAUCAGAUAGGUAGAUAUAUUCUUACAUAGAAUAGAAUGUACAGAGUUUCUAUUUAAUGGAAAAGAUGCACAAAAGACAGCAUUCAGUCUUUGAUCUAGAAAAUUGUCAUGGUAUCAGAGCUGGUUAUUUGAAUUUCUGUGUCUUUCAAAAUUUGCUGAGUUGUUAUUCUUCUUGGGUUGAUUAUUUUGAUCAAUCAUUUGGUUUCAAGAUAUCAUUUUGGGUCAAUCAUAUUGUGGUUGGCAGCCUUUCUUGUAAUUCAGAUCUUUGUUUUUUUGAAAGUAUGUCUGUGGCAAACUCUUUGGGAAAAACACAUACGGAAUCUUUGUCUAUCAAGUUCAUUGGGAAAAAUUAUGCAGCAUGGGAUUUAGAAUGUUUCUAAAGGCAAAGAGCUUUGGAGUCAUAUUGAUGGGUCUUCUACAGAACCUAGAGAUGGAAAAGAAUUUAGUCAAUGGGAGGCAAAGGAUGCUAGAAUUAUUUCUUGGAUUCUAGCAUCUAUUGAAGCUCAUAUGGUGAAUAAUUUACACUCCUUUAAUACAGCAAAGGAGAUGUAGGAUCAUUUGAAGCGUGUAUAUCAUCAAGAUAAUACAGCAAGAAGAUUUCAACUUGAAUUGGAAAUUAGUAACUACGGCCAAGAUAACCUCUCUAUUAAGCAGUAUUAUUCUGGAUUUUUUAAUUUAUGGAGCGAAUACUCUGGUAUAAUCUAUUCUAAGGUACCAAGCGAAGCCUUAGCUGGUAUUCAAGCAGUUCAUGAAGUUAGUAAGCGUGACCAGUUUCUAAUGAAACUAAAGCUUGAAUUUGAAGCGGUCAGAGCUGGAUUGUUAAAUAGAAAUCCAAUUCCUUCUUUAGAUGUAUGUCUUGGUGACUUGUUGCAAGAAGAACUGAGAAUGGCUACACAAACUAUCAUAGGUGCAUCGAAGGAGAUAUCCGAAGUUGUCAAUAUUGCCUAUGCUGCUCAAGGGAGGAAUCGCGAAAAGGGACAAGUACAGUGCUUAAAAGCAGUCUGUUUGCCAGACACAUGGUGAGCCACAUUUAAAAAUUGGUUUCUAUCAUAAAGCCUAUCAUGUCCGGACAGAAGAUGGACUGUUUUUUAAAUUUUUUAUGAAAGCAAGUGAAAAGUGUUGCAACUCAGGACUUGGAUGGUAAUUCUAAAAUUUAUUAGUGCACCUACCUUUUAACUUUUGGUGUGCUUUUAAGGUAUCAAAUGGGGGAAAAAAAACCAACACCAUAUAACUUCAAAUGCAAGAUGGUACGAAAUUUGUAUCCAUUGACAUGUAAAAAGUGCACCGUUCAUCACAAAGAUAUUUAUCCUAAUAUUAGAUUCAUUUUUUCAAAAAUUCAACUUUGCAUGCAAACAUGUAAUCAAUAUGCAUAAAUAGAUAGCAUUAGAUGAAUUUAAACAAGUAGCCUUCAAAUUUAAAAAUAUUUGAUUUCAUAAAGGUGCAUUCGCAAUUUAGAAAAAGGACUUUUCAAAUGGCAAAUCUAGAGAGCAAUAAAUACUCCUACUUUAUUUUGAUUUCAAAUCUUAUUUUGACUUGUCAAAAAAGUGAAACACGAAACCAAUAAUGGGUCAGAUACAAGGCUAAUUACUCAGAAUAUCGAUGUAAAAAAUAUUGGACAUAUAUGAUUUUGACAAUGGGCAUGUAUAAAACUAUUGCUGUAAGGUUGUGUCAGCCCGGCAGCAAAAGAGGGUUUUUUUUUAAAGCCUGCCAUUGCCACCGAGCUGACACGGCUCGGCAGCAAUAGUUUAAUUUUUUUUAAACGCUGCCGGGCCUUGUCAGCCAGAUAGAACAAAAAAAAAAAAUUUUUUUUUAAACACAGCCCGGCAGCGGGCAACAUUUGCAAAAAACUUUAAAAAGCUGGCUGCCGGGCUACGACAGUUCAAAAGAUUUUGCUAUCCGCCUACAACACCAGGUGAUAAAGAUAAGGGCAAAGGCGUACCGGGCAUUGAUAUGAUCAUUUCCGGUGCAUGUUUUAAAAUUUCAAAUAUUUGAAUAUGGGGAUUUAGCGUUAUUUUAAUCUUUUAUUAUUAUAAUGCUUGUCGUUAUUUUUAAAUUUCACAAUUUCAGCAUGUCAUGUUGUGCAUUUUUCCUUCUUUUUUUUUUUGCCUAUUUUGUUUUUAUAUUGCACAAUAACUUUAUAUUUAUAAAAUUAUAUUGUACAUUAAAAAUUACAUAAUAAUUUUAACAAACAAUUUUCCGGUACAAUUUGAAAACUGCAUCUUAUUGUAAAAUGAAAGAGAUUUUUUGUUUAAAAAACCUUUUUUUAGUUUUUUUACCUAUCGGAGUAAUUAUUAAUUUUACAAAUCUGUUUUCAUCUUUUUCUUACGUUCCAACUUUGAAACGUAAUUUAAUUAACUUAAAAGACUGUCGGGUUUAGUAUGUCAGGUAUCACACUUGUUGUAAUUAAAAAAAAAUUUUCUUCUUAUUUUUCAUUUUUUGUUUUUAUAUUGCAAAAUAAAUUUAUACAUUUUUUCGAUUUUUCUAUACAAUUUAUAACAAAAAAAAUAAUAUCAAAUAUUAUACAUUGUAAUUUUAACAAUUAUUUUGCAACGGUUUAAAAAACCUUUUUUUAGUUUAACAUCCUAUAUAUUUUACGAAAAUGAUUUGAAUAUUUUUUAAUCAUUUAAAGAAAAGAUAGAUUUCUACAAUUACUAUUUUUUAAAUUUUAAUCCUUAAGAUAAAGAUUUUUGCGGGAAAGAUGAAGAUUUAAAGAAACAAUAAAGAGGCAAAGAAAAUAAAAGAGAAAAAUAGGAGAGGUAAUUUUGUCCAAUGGAGGAUAUAAUGAGACAGAAAAAUUCCGAUGAGGGAUAAAGUAAAAAAAGAGAUAUAUUUUAAGGACAUUAAUUGUGAUUAACCCUAUUUCUUAUGCUCAAUUUGUAACUGGUCCAAAGCAUCAAAAGUAGCGUCCGCCUCCCAGGUGAUGAAUUCAUGGUCUUGAAUGUCCAAUAACCUAAGAAGAGUAAAAAGAUCACUUUAAAGUUGCUCCACACCCUACAAAUGCUUCUGAUACUAACUUUCUCGUCAUAUUAACAAAUGCUCCGCACCUUAAUGCUUCAGCACCCGUAAAAAACGUGUUUUUGCAACUGGUCCAAGAGUUGAACCCUUCGCUCAGAGUUACUUCUGGAUGUUGAAAAAAACAUUUCGAUCACUUGAAUCUAACCUCCCGCGUCUAAUCAAGCCAGAAGGCCAGCUUUUUUUUCACUGACCCUUCAACGUGAACCUUCUGAGAACUUAUCUCAAGGGAAACUUUUAGUGGUUCAGUAGAAUUUUUUUUAAUCCUCUUACAUGUUUCAUUCGUAUCUCCUACUUCAUGUCCGUGCAUUGUUGAAUUCUGAAGUGCAGGUCUUCUUUCGCCCGUAUUGUUAACCUUCUUUUUCAUGUUCAUUGAAGCACAGCAUUCUUUUUUCAGGUUUGAAAUUUUUUUUUUAAAUUGGACUAGCUGCUGGACUGAGCUUUUUAAAGUUUUUUGCAGAUGUGCGUCAGCCCGGCAGCCAGCGAAUUAAGAAAAAAAAAAAUUUUUUUGAGGCCCGGCAGCGUUUAAAAAAAAAAAACUAUUGCUACCGGGCAAGCUUUAAAAAAAAAAAAAAAAAAACCCUAACAGCAAUAUUUUUAUACAUGCCCAUUGUCAGAACCAUAUAUGUCCAAUUUUUUUUUCAUCGAUAUUCUGAGUAAUUAGCUGAGAUAGAGAGGAGUAUUAGAAAUUUGUUUUCUAGAUUCUUUGGUCUCCCAAUUUUUUCAACGGGUCAACUCCGAUCAUUAUUAUCACAGUCAUGUGAUUGUAGGUCUACCACGCUUCAUAGUCCACAACGUGGAUUGGCACCACAAAGGAUGGUUUCAAAACACCAUUUUAGUCUAGUAAGGAUUGUGUAUAUAACACAAGUCUUUUUAGGUUUUCCCUCCCCUGUAAUCUAAAAUAAAAUAAAAUAGGUUAUACAAUUGUUAUAGUCUUCAGAAAAAAAGGAUAGGUCCCACCCUAUUAUUAUUAUUUUUCUUUUAUAAAUCAACAACGCCUAUUCUACACCUAUUUCAACUUCUAUUCUAGGGGAACGGGAGGUUCAACUGAAAAAUUAAUGGUGAUUGAACCACGAACGGACCAAAAACUUUCAAGAUAAAAUUUGAUCUAAAAAAUAAAUAAUAAUAUAUUAACUUAUUAUUUAAUGCGAUACAUAUUCAAAUAUAUUAAAUUUAAUAAUUUAAUAAAUUUUAAAUUUUACAUUUUAAAUUUUAAUUUUCAACCUUCAAUGUUGCCGUACUUACAACAACAACUUCUAGAUGGUCAACACUUAGAGUCGUAGCCCUUGCUUUUGGCAUACCCUAGUCCCUAUUUCUGUUGUUAUCAAUGAGGAAGCAAAUGUCUGCUAUUAAUUACACGAGACAUCAGUAGGUUUGUUUGGAUUGGAGGUUAUUUGAAAUAUUUUUUUGAGAUAAUUAAUGUAGUACUUUUUGUGAUGUAAUGUAUAUAAGAUAAAAUUGUGAUUGGAAAUUGUGUGGAUGCAAAACAAAAUUUUGAAAUUUUUUUUUGAAAACCUUAAUAUUAUUGGCUGCACUACAAAUCAGUCAAAACUCAAGAGAUGAUAUUAAUUGAAACAAGUGGGCAAAUUGAACGAGGAUGCGUAAUUGACAUGGAAGUCUUGGUAGACUUGGAGGUAGGCUUGUCAACGGAUUGGGUCUGGGUCGGAAUUCAUUAUUCUGGACCCGGAUCCGACAUACUAUAUUGGACUCGGAUUCGACCCAUUUAUUCGACGGGCCUUCUACUCUAUAUUCUGAAUCCGGAUCCGACGGGUCUCGGAUUCGGGUCGAGUCUACCCGAAAAAAUCUAUCAAAACUUACAAAUUCUAAUAAAAAUGAGAAAAAAAUAUAUUUGUAAACCAAUUUUUAACUAAUAAAAAAAAUCAAAUAAGAAAAAAAAUCAAAUUGACUUUACUCAAAUACAUCACCCUAAUCAAAUUAUAUUGAUAAAUAUAUAUAUAUUUAAAUUGUUAAUCCAUUUAUAUCCGAAUCCGGGUCUAAUACGGGUCGAAAUAUUAUAUUCCGUAUUCGACCCGUUUUUUGUUUGAUAAAACGGAUCCGGAUCCGGGGUCCGAGUAAUGGAAUUAAAUCCCUACUCGUACCCACAAUAAUUUGACGGAUUCGAUCCGGAUCCGGAUCUAGACUCGAACUGUUGACAGGCCUACUUGGAGGGAUCAACAUUUGAAUCUGACUUGGAUGAGGUAAGCACAAAGGUAAGCAUUUUCCAUUUUUAUUUUGGUUUUCAUUUCUUGUAUACUUUAAAACGUUUUUCAUUCUACCUCACUCACAUAUAAUAUAUAAUGAAAUGUAAAUUUUUUAUGAAAACAUAUAAAAUAUAUAAAAUGAAAAAUAAAUUUUUUAUAAAAACAUAUGUUUAUAUUUUUCUUUGUAUAAUGAAAAUUUAUAAUUCAUUCUACCAAUAUAUACGCAUAUAUAUAUAUAUAUAUAUAUGUAUAAUGAAAAAUAAAUUUCUUCUUCAUCUUUAGGGCUGCACCUACAAACAACAAAACUCAGCUCCACUCAACUCUUUCCUUCAUGUUUUUUUAUAAAAAACAUAUAUAUAUAUAUAUAUAUAUAUAUAUAUAUAUAUAUAUAUAUUAAGUUACACUAAUUGUUUUAUCUCUUAAUAAUUUUUAUUUUUUUUACUAAUAUUACCUCAUGAGAGGCAAAAAGGGUAUAAAUGGAACAAAAUUAUUAUCUCAUUUUCCAAAAGAAUUUUUUAAUGGUACUUUUUCUAACAUGGGUUGAAGCUACUAUCAAAAUCUAGUUUAGGGAAAGUUAGUGCUAUUUUUUAAAUUUUAGGGUAGAUGAGUACAACUGUUAGAAACCUCAAAAAGGGAUGGUUUCUGCAAUUAUCCCUAAAAGCAUAGACCAAGACUACACUAAACACUAAAAAUUUGACACCUAUUUCUUAUAACUAUACUAGAUAAUCUCAUAAUUAUAUAGAAAAAUAAAUCAAAAUUCAUUACACAAAAGCAUUUUUGGAUAUUUAUUUAAGAAUUUGAUCAAAUUAAUAUUAUUUUAAAGUUUUAUUACAAAAACUAUCAAAUUAAAGGAGGUAGGGGUAAUGUUUCAAACCUCACAGUGAAAUUGUUAGAAACCUCAAAGAGGUUCUUGAUAUUAUCCCUAAUUUUUUUGGGUACAAAAACCUCCAAAAAAGUGGCAGUUCAAACGGGGCCAACAUUCUCCUAUCAUCACAAGUCCUCCCGCUGACCCACUAGCCGCCGGCGGCCCUGGGUCAUCUAUUAAAGGCUUAAAGCAUAGACCAAGACUGCAGUAAUCCCUCAUAUACACAUGUUAACUAGAGGGGUCAAUCACAACCCAAUUAUAUUGAUCUGUUCAAACCCGUUCACUAAUAAUCCUUUCAAAUUCGCCCAUUAAAAUUUAAAUGGGUCUAAGUGAGUACCUAAUUAAACCCAUUUAAUUGAUGGAUAGUUGAUUGAUUCAACUCACCCAUUUAUACCCAUUUAAAAAUAAAUAUAUGACAGGGUGUCGAGCCUGUGCAAUAAUAAUUAUCUACUCAAGAAAAACACAAAUUCUGUAUAUAGCAGUGAGUAGAGUCGAAUCCACACGGACUGUAGAUAAUUCGUUUCUUUUAGAGUCCAAAGUAUGGGGGGUUUUGGAGAAUAUAAAAUAACUAAUUAACUAACUAAUAAAACAACUAAUAGAAAUAAAUAGAAAUUAAUCAAUAACCAAUAUGACUCUAGCCAAAGGUGCAACUUUUCAGACACGGUCCAUUCAACUGAUCAUCGAUGCAAAGAUAAUUCAAUUACUCAUUACUAGAUUGGUUAUAAUUGUCAUACACGCGAUGAACAACCAGCCUUUUCUUAAUUUCUCGAUAGUUAAAGUACGACCGUUAACUAUUUCUCUAACCAAGUAAUAACCCUAGGUACGACCAUAGGAUUUAAUUACUCGAUUACAUUAAUAAUUAGAAAAACCCAACCCUAACCAACAAACACGCUACGAGGGUUUGUUUAAAUUAGAUCAUACGUUUCCCUAACAUGAAACCAAUCACGCUAGUCGCCACUGGUAUUAAUCAAUUGAACAAUUACGGAUUCAAUCAAUUAAUUUAGCAUUAGAUCAUUAAGUUAAUUUGAAUAUCGGGCCCUUGACAUUCAAAUAACAUAACAAACAUAAGCAAUUAAAUCAGGAAACGUAAAAAUACCAAUGAAUAAAAGAAAUAAAUAAAAUUAAUUCGAUCUCACAGAUAUUUGGAACCGCGCCUUCAAAUUGGCCUUCGACUAGAUGAAAGGUUUAGUUCAUCUACAUGGAGGAAACCCCAUGUGAAAUUGCAGAAGUAAUUAUUCUAAAACAAAGCUAUGUUUUCGUCCUCCAUUGAAGAAAACGGCAAAGCUAUAUAUAAAGUAAUGAAUACGAAGGAACUACCUAGAAGCAAAAACAAAACGAAGCUCUCCUAUUCUAAAACAAAAACUACUUGUCUAGUGGUCCCCGCCGAAUUUAGAUAAAAGGGUGCAAUCCGUCAGAUCAAGCUUUGCCGACUUUUUCUCCUCUUUGUUGCCUAUUGCUAGGCAAAGACUUCAGUGCCCAGACCAUUCCUAAUCAGUGAAAAGAAAAUGCACUCCCUCUGCCGCACUCUGUGGGCCAGGUUGUUGAAGCUCUUUGGAGUCUCCUAUGUGUGGAGCUGUUUUAUCCUUCAGAUGGUCUCGCUCUUUUUUUUCUUUUUAUUUUCUUUUGUGUACUUUUCUGCUCCAUUCCUGAAAUGAGAUCCAAAUACCAAAUAUAAAUAUAUAUUAACAAUUAAACAAUAUUUAGUAAGGACAGAGGGGAAAUUAAUAAUAAAAUAAUCAAUAAUUAACACCCUAUCAAUUCCCCCCACACCUAAAUCAUACUUGCCCUCAAGCAUGGGGACGACAAAUAACACCAAAAUUUGAAAAUGGGUAUUGCCCCAUCUACCCUAUUGUCAAGAUACCAAGGAAAACAUCUAUCAAGCAUCAGUGAUCAGGGUUCAAGAAACAUCACCCCAAUUAGCUUCUAAACCACAAACUCCUCCAAUUUAAGACAAACUAAUCUAAGAAAAAGGAAUGGUUGCUCACAUUUAUCAACAAAUGGUCCAACUAUUAACUAAAAUCUCGAUAUUAAGAUCACAAACCGGCAAGCUGACUUAUUCACAUACUAACACAAUCUUUACUUUACUUCUUUUUUUUUUUUUUUUGAAUAACAAAAGACUUAGUCUAUAGCCCUUAGAGCCUUUUGACGCGAACUCCAACAUUUGCCAGAUGGAGAAGCCCGGUUUCUCAGCUCCAAUCGCUACGGGACCACGCACUCAUAGUAACUACUACCUUUUGAGGCGAAAAUCGACACUUUAGGUCAAGAUCCCCGAUCACUCAGUAGUAACCACUAGCGGAGUACAGUCAACUCUUAUUUACAACCAUAUAGCACGAUAACUAAAAAUAACAGCAGGCAGCCUCAAAUUUCCAAACAUGGAGAACUAAAAUUAAUAACUGGACCAAUUCACAUGAAAAAUGCCAACAAUCAUUCCCUAUGCCUAGAAAAGUUAACCAAAAAUUAGAAAAGUCAAGCAAUUACUGAUAUUCACAUGAAAAGUCAAGCAGAAGUAAGCAAAAGAGCAACUGUACUUCCCUGAAAUCACGGGGGGCAUGGCGGGGCCACAGCAGUGGGUGAGGCCGGAAAUGGUUGAUUUGGGUUGGGGUAGGCUAAGGUCGAGAGGUUCCGGACCUAGAAGAGGACUUUGAUCUCACCAUCGUCGCUAACAGGUAACCCAAUCAACAGAAACAAAAUUGCCAACAGAUAGAGGAACAAGUAAAUCUAGAUCAAUAGAAAUCAAUAUCCUCAAGUGAAGUCAACAAUCAACCCAAUAAGCACAGGUAUCUUCCAAUUUAAAAGGGUAGUGCACAAUAAAUGGCCCACCAAAUUUGCAAUGUAAAGCCCUGAGCAAUUCAAUCAAUACCAGAAAAUCGCCCCAAACAAUGUAACAGUUAAACUCCAUGGGCCAUGGACGUCCAACCAAUUUCACUCGAACAAACUAUGAGCAGUGCGAGUGACGAAACAAAGCAACAAAUUUCAGCAAUUAGACACAAUUCCACUCAAAAUCUCAACAAAUAUCUCCAAUGGACAGUCUUACACAACUUAACCAACUGGAAUUAGCAAAUAUCCCCAAGAAACUGACAAAACAAGCAAUAGUAGUUCAAAAUUUGGACUACAACUAAAUCAAAAUGUUGUUUCAGUUUUCAAUCAGGUAGCCAACCAAGUAGAAUCAAUAAAUGUAGACAAAAUACCCCAACCAGUACCACUGGUGUAUUCCACAGAAAAGAAUUAAUUCAAAUGCCAAUCCAAACGACUGAGAAACCCUAACCAAGACCAAACCGUACCAGAAAUUAGAAGAAAUGAAAAUGGGAAUCAAUUGGCAAGCAACUCCCAAAUCAACCCCAAAGAACUCCCAAAUAAAUGAAUUAUCAGAGGUGCCUUCAAAAACCAAAUACCAAAAAUGCAUAAAAACUCCCAACCAAUUCAACGGGAAAAACAAAAUUAAGCAAAUCACCUCCUGUGUUUAUCCAUCAAGGAACCCAAAAGCACAAAUUCCAGUAACUGAGGAUUCAGGAAAAAUGCCAAAACAAGGGUAGAAAGUUAAUACCUCCACCUGUCAAUUUUGACAGGUAGUGAUGCGCGGCAAGGAGGUGGCGCACGAGGUGGUGGCCGCGAGCUUUGGAAGAUGAGUUGGCGAUAGAGGCUGUCAGCUACGCGUGCGACUGUGCGCACAAUGGGAGGAGAGAGGCGCGGCGAGCUGGUGGACAGCAGCAGCGGCACGGGCUGGUGGCAGUGGCUGUGGAGCGUGGGCAGGCGGCGGUGCGCAGCUGGUCAACGAAGGAGGAGAUGGGCGGCGCUCGGGCUAAGGAGAGAGUGAUUUGGGGGCUGUGGCGGCGUGGGGUGGAGUUGCGGCGGCGGUCAAAGGCACUGGUGAGUGGAGGUGGCGGGGAUGGAGCUUGGAACGGAGGAGCUCAGCGAGCUGUGGGUGGACGGCCGUGGGCAGGGGAGCAGCGGCGGCCUUUGGAGCUGCUGAAGGUGGUCCGUGAGGUGGAGCUUGGAGCUCGGAGGCGGCGGCGAUGGAAGCUAGUCAGCGGCGUGCGGCAAUGGAUGAGAAAGGGAGACUGGUGGCGUCGGGCUAAGGAGAGAGUAAGGGAGAUGAUGGCGGAUGAGCGAAAGAAAAGAAGGAAAGGGAUACAGGGCAGCGAGGAAGAAGAGGAAGAAAAGGGAAAGAAAGGAAAGAAAAAAGAGAAGAAAAAGGAAAAAGAAAAGAGAGAAAGAAAAAAAGAAAAUAAAAUGGUUUUGGGGUUUUUUUUUCAAUAUUUUUUUUUCAAUUUUUUCCCUAAUUUAAAUUUUCAAAAUUUGAAUUUUUGAAGAAAAAGAAAGAAAGAAAAAUGCUCUUUGAAUUUUUGAAUUUUCUCAAUGUGAAAUUUUAAAUUUUUUUUUGGUUUUGGAUCGUCAAACACCGCGUGAGCACGCCAAGAUUACACUUCCUGGUCACAGUAGAGGAAAAUAUUAAGACCGACUACCACCCAAAUGAGAAAUGACAAAAUGAAAGUAAUGAACAAUGAAAAACGAUAAAACUAAUAUUUGGGUUGCCUCCCAAAAAGCGCCUUUCUUUUAUGUCUUUGGCCAGACAUUGCCAUAUUUGUUUAGGGAGGAUAAAAUCUUGUACCUCGGUUUAAUGUUUCAUCCUCUAUAUAGUCCUGAUAACCCUCGUAAAUAGAGUAAUUCUUGAACACAUGAGCUACGGUCUUCCCUGGACUAGUAAAUGGUGCCAAACAAGUCAACAAUAAGUUGAAUUUUCCAUUCACUCCUCCAUCACUUGCAUUUAUUGGUUUAAGAUAUCUUGCCAUCGCCACUCUUAAUUUAUUUCUGUCAUGAAAUUCGAAAUUUUCUGAUAUAAUAAAAUCAAUUUCAUUAACAGGAAUUGAAGAAUAAGAGUUAGAAGAAUAUUGAUGAAGGAAUGGAUGCGAUGUCACCGCAUUUGAAGAUUGUUCACUGGUUUCAUUCACUUGAACGAGUUGAUACUGGGGCAUUAUUUCUUGCACUUCACCUUUUUUUUCAACUGCAUCUUUAGAUCCGUUUUCUUGAAACUCUUGCAGUUCCAUGUCAUUUGACGGGAUAACUGCACUCUCAUCCUCUUCAAGGUUGAUAUUGGUUUGUGAGGGCAAUUCUUCAAGGUGAGAAGCUAAUCGCUCUAUCCUGGAUGUCAAUUGAUUCAUUUGAUCCGCCGGAUCCCUAAUGCUCGCUUGUGUCUCCUGAUGAAAUCGAUAUGUAUUAGUAGCAAAUAAUUCAAUCAAUUCCUGAAGAGACAUACCUGACAUGGAUGAUGGCUGUUGAGAUUCUUGCUGUUGAAAAUCCAUUGGCCCGGUCGCAUAAUUAAAAUUGGAAUCAUCCCACCAUCCUUGAUCAUACCCGUUUGAAUAAGGAUCGUACCACGUUUGAAAUCGAGGUGAAAAAUCUCCAAAAGUAUCAAUUGGAGCACUUAGAUUAUCUUGAAAUGCGGGGCAUGUGUCGGUUGAGUAACCUGAGUCAAAAUAAGUUCCACAAUUUGCAACAGUCCAUUGACCAUUAGGAAAAACUCGAGUCUCAUAACCUCAUUCGGGAAUAAAGUCCAGUCUAUCAUCAAAAUAUGGAAUGUUAGCUACCAUAAACUAUAUAUAACAAAAAAGAGAAAAAAAAAAAACAAGAUGAACUAAAAAAAAACAAAUUAAUUAGGCACCAGUCCCCGGCAAUGGCGCCAAAAAUUGACAGGGUGUCGAGCCUGUGCAAUAAUAAUUACCUACUCAAGAAAAACAUAAAUUCUGUAUAUAGCGGUGAGCAGGGUCGAAUCCACAGGGAUUGGAGAUAAUUCGUUUCUUUUAGAGUCCAAAGUAUGGGGGGGGAGUUUUUUGGAGAAUAUAAAAUAACUAAUUAACUAACUAAUAAAACAACUAAUAGAAAUAAAUAGAAAUUAAUCAAUUACCAAUAUGACUCUAGUCAAAAGUGCAACUUUUCAGAUACGGUCCAUUCAACUGAUCAUCGAUGCAAAGAUAAUUCAAUUACUCAUUACUAGAUUGGUUAUAGUUGUCAUACACGUGAUGAACAACCAGCCUUUUCUUAAUUUCUCGAUAGUUAAGGUACGACCGUUAACUAUUUUUCUAACCAAGUAAUAACCCUAGGUACGACCAUAGGAUUUAAUUACUCGAUUGCGUUAAUAAUUAGAAAAGCCCAACUCUAACCAACAAACACGCUACGAGGGUUUGUUUAAGUUAGAUCAUACGUUUCCCUAACAUGAAACCAAUCACGCUAGUCGCCACUGGUAUUAAUCAAUUGAACAAUUACGGAUUCAAUCAAUUAAUUUAGAAUUAGAUCAUUAAGUUAAUUCGAAUAUCGGGCCCUUGACAUUCAAAUAACAUAACAAACAUAAGCAAUUAAAUCAGGAAACGUACAAAUACCAAUGAAUAAAAGAAAUAAAUAAAAUUAAUUCGAUCUCACAGAUAUUUGGAACCGCGUCUUCAAAUUGACUUUCGACUAGAUAAAAGGCUUAGUUCAUCUACAUGGAGGAAACUCCAUGCGAAAUUGUAUAAGUAAUUAUUCUAAACAAAGCUAUGUUUUCGUCCUCCAUAGAAGAAAACGGCAAAGCUAUAUAUAAAGUAAUGAAUACGAAGGAACUACCUAGAAGCAAAAACAAAACGAAGCUCUCCUAUUCUAAAACAAAAACUACUUGUCUAGUGGUCCCCGCCGAAUUUAGAUAAAAAGGUGCAAUCUGUCAGAUCAAGCUCUGCCGACUUUUUCUCCUCUUAGUUGCCUAUUGCUAGGCAAAGACUUCAGUGCCCAGACCAUUCCUAAUCAGUGGAAAGAAAAUGCACUCCCUCUGCUGCACUCUGUGGGCUAGGUUGUUGAAGCUCUUUGGAGUCUCCCAUGUGUGGAGCUGUUUUAUCCUUCAGAUGGUCUCCCUCUUUUUUUUCUUUUUAUUUUCUUUUGUAUACUUUUCUGCUCCAUUCCUGAAAUGAGAUUCAAAUACUAAAUAUAAAUAUAUAUUAACAAUUAAACAAUAUUUAGUAAGGAUAGAGAGAAAAUUAAUAAUAAAAUAAUCAAUAAUUAACACCCUAUCAAUAUACAUUUAAGCUCAAUUUUUACUAAGUGUUAAGAUGAUAAAUUUGAAUUUCCUAUGACUCUAAUAACAAUAAAAUAUCAUUUUUCUUGUCAAACAACAUGCAAAAAACAAAAAAAGGUAGAAUUUCAAAUUAAUCAUAAAUGGGUAAUUGAGUAUUCUCAUGUCUAUUUGUUAAAUUGAUAUAAAUGAAUUGAUUCAAUUAUAACUAUUACUCAACUAGAAUCCGCUCAAACCCGUUUAAGUUAAUCAUUUUGACACCCCUAAUGUUAAUAUAUAUUGACAAGUGAAAAGUGCAGCAUUUAUCACGAAGAUAUACUUAUUUAUUUUAAUAUUAAAGUCAUUUUUUCAUUACAAAAAUAUUGAUAAUUUCAUAAUUUCAUGGAAGUAUGUAACCAGUGACAUAACAUAGUCGCCAGUGGCGAAUCUUGUCACGAGCCUUCUUUUCAACGCUUUGAUUAUGGCAUACACCUUUAACAAUAUGCCCCCACGUUGUCUUUCGAUCACUUUUUUUUUUUUUUUUAACCUCACAUUCGUUCGUUAUGUAUGUAUAAUUUCUUUACAAAAAAGUGAAAAACUCCAAAAACGUGGCAGCUCAAACGGGGCCAACAAUCUACUAUGUUCGCCUGUUCUCCCGCCGGACCCACCAGCCGCCGGCGGCCAUGGGUCAUCUAUAAAAGCAUAGAUCAAGACUACACUAAUCCCUCAUCAGUCCAAUCCAUCCAUACUUCUUCUUCAGGCCUCAGCUACUAAACAAUAAACUCUGCUCCACUCAAUUCUUUCCUCUGUUUCUUGUGGUUUUUGUCUGAAAAUGGCGGCAUCAGAAGAAGUGAAAGUGCCAAGAAUCAAGCUGGGGUCGCAAGGUUUUGAAGUUUCAGCUCAAGGGCUGGGCUGCAUGGGCAUGUCAGCCUUCUACGGGCCGCCAAAGCCCGAGCCUGAUAUGAUCAAACUCAUUCACCAUGCUAUUAGCAGAGGCAUCACCCAUCUUGACACCUCCGAUAUGUAUGGACCUCACACCAACGAAAUACUCAUUGGCAAGGUACCGUAUUUGCAAAUUUUCUGCUGUUGUGUGCUAUGCAUAAACUCUUGUACUUCUAAUUUCUAAAAGAGCAUAUUUGUAAGUAUUUUAUUUGGGUAUAUUAUAUUUAACCCCCUGCACUUGAAAUCUUGUCUCCCUUUGUGCCCCCUUAAUUUUGUUUGUCAGCACUUAAACUCCAUCUGUUUAAAUUAUAAGUAUUAUUAGUCAAAUAAGACAAUAAUAUUCUUCAUUUCUUCUUCUUCUUCUUCUUCUUCUUCAUUUUUUCAGAUGUUUGUCCUCAAUUGUAAGAGAAGGUCGUAGGUCUAGCACAUACGUUGAGUAGCUGUAUCCGAUUAGAAGGAUUUAGAUCAUAAUGGAGUUGGUAAAAUAGUACUAUUUUCGUCUUUGAAGUUAAAAUUGUCAUCAAUUUAUGGAAAGUUUACUAUUUCUCUGAUAAGAGAUGGUAAAAUUUACUUUUUACGAGUACUAAAGUUUUAAAGAUUAUGAAAAGAGAAUUGUACGAAUGAAUAUAAGGGAAAAGAAAGGUAAGAACAUAAAUAGAUUGUGUUUGGAUUGAUUUUGGGAGGGGCAAGGAGAGGAAAGGGAAAGAAAAGGAAAUGGAUGGAUUGUGUUUUGCUCAGACAUCAUUUCCAUACAAAAGUAGACGGAAACAGAGGGAAAGAAAAUCUAGUUGAUGAUUUUCUUAUAAAAUGCCUCAAGCACCCAAAUUUUACAUAAACUUGAGUAACCAUGUGUUUCAUAUCUGUAGAACUUGCCAUUUGUGAAACCUGCUUUAGAUAUGAAUUGUGGGAUGCAACAGCAGGCUAGGAAUGUUUGACUAAGCAACUUAUGUAAAUAUUUUAUCGUUAAGUGAAGUUCCUCUUUUGCUGUUUAAAAAAAAAAAAAAAAAAGAGAGAGAAAAACCAUUCCUUUAAUGUCUGUCAUUCUACCAAACAGCAGAUUUAGGAUUUCUUUUUUUCCCAUCCAUAUCUAAUCCAAAUAAGGCAAAUGAGAACUAUUUUCCACUACUCUCCUUUCCUUUCUUUUUCACUAGGAUGUUUUAUUUAUUCUUUCCUUUGAUCCUAAUGGUUCCUAAAAGGGCACUAAUUAUUCUACAUUGAUCGUUCCCCAUAUUUGUAUUAAUGUGCAUGUUCACGAUUCUGUGUACGUUCAUGUUGUGCAUCAAAUCUUGUGAAUGUCAAAGCUAAGAUUGUAAAUUUAAGUUGAAGAAACAUAAAAGAAAAAAGAAAAUGGAUUGGCUCCUUUAAGAGUAUCAGACUUCUAAACCCCAAGGAUUACAUAAUUUUCAUAUCCUUUGCUAUACAAAGAAGUGGCAUAGCCUUAACAAUGAAGUGCUGGAAAAACUCCAGAAGGACUGUGCCAUCCAUGAAAUCACAAUUCCGCUUGCUAUACCAUGCAUUAAUGUGUAUGCCCUUGAUGAUUAAUAUAAUGAAAUCAUGGUUCUAGGCCUUGAAGGAAGGAAUAAGAGCGAAAGUGGAGCUAGCAACAAAAUUUGCAAUCAGUUAUCAGGAUGGGAAAUUUGAUGUACGUGGUGAUCCAGCCUAUGUGAGGGCUUGUUGUGAAGCGAGUUUGAAGCGGCUUGAUGUGGACUGCAUUGAUCUCUAUUAUCAACAUCGCAUUGAUACACGUGUGCCCAUUGAAGUCACGGUUUGCUCGUCUUGCCUUUCUUGUAUUUUAGCUCCACCUCAUUCUUGAUGAAACAAAAGUUUGAUCAACUCCAAAUUUCGAAUAAUUCAGUUUCAUGUGCGUUUCAAUUCUUCAAAAAUUGCACAGAAAAGUUAGUCAACCUUAUGGUCUAGGCUAAUCUGCAGUAUGCUAAAUCUUAUUUAGCACCAGGCACCCUGAAAAGUGAAAACAAUGAAAAUGUCUUAUAUUAGCUUGGCAGUCCUGCUGAGGGAUAUACAGGUGGAUAUCAUGCUAUACAUUGUACAGCUUUCCUUUAGAAGCAAGAGACCUGAGCAUUCUCUUUCAUUUGAGAUAGGCUAUCCAGUUGAGUAAUGAUAUGCUAUUUACUUACCUUGUCAUUCGUUUUCAGUCGGUGCCAAAAGCACUGCAGAUAGAAGUUUUUUAGUCAAUAUCUAAAAAACGUGGUACUCAUUUUGUUCAGAGUAUAGCUUUUUGUCUAAUUGUGAAAGCCAGCUGCGACUACCCCGUUGACCUCUCUAAGCAAUUCAAAGAUUGCAGCUGCUUGCUUACAUUCAGCUUUUAUGAAAACAAUUUCUGUCUUCUUUUUCUAAUAUAGUCAGCAAAGAAUUGUCUUGUUUUUCCUGAGUAUUAGGAAGAAACUUUCUUGCAGUUUAAUCACUCAAAAUACAGGCAAGUAUAAAGGAAAUCAAGGAAAUCGACAACUGAUAAUUGAUAUGUGCAGCCAUUAUUAUAUCUAGACGAAGUCAACAAUGUCGUGUAAUCAUAUUGGAGGAGCAUUAUGUUGGCAUGGUCCAAUAGAGCUAAGUCAUCCGGUGGGCUGUACAUAGAGAAGUAUCACUGGAUGCUUAUUGCCAUUUUUGUCAAUUAUUGAUUUCAGUUUGACGUAUAAUUUGUCCACGACUUCAUUGAACUAGUCCAACUUUUACUUUUUUGCACGUAAUAUUUCGAUUAUCUGCCUAAGUAUUGAAUGUAAUAAAUCAGCUUUGCAUUUUCUUGUCCAUUGAAAUUCUCUAGAUAGGAGAGCUCAAGAAACUGGUUGAAGAGGGUAAAAUAAAGUAUAUAGGUCUGUCUGAGGCCUCAGCUUCAACAAUUCGAAGAGCACAUGCUGUUCAUCCAAUAACAGCGGUACAGUUGGAGUGGUCAUUGUGGGCCAGAGAUGUCGAGGAAGAGAUUAUUCCCACUUGCAGGUAGUGCAUAUAUUCUGCUGCAUUUUCUACGUGGUCUAGAAGAAAUAUGAAGUUCUUAAUUCAGUUUUUGGUAUAAUCUUUCAGAGAGCUUGGAAUAGGGAUUGUUGCAUACAGUCCACUUGGAAGAGGAUUCUUCUCUUCAGGUCCAAAGCUGGUCGAGAAUUUGGCUGAAGGUGACUGCCGAAAGGUUUGUGCAUAUCCAAAACUAUGAAGUUUUUGAGUAUAGAUUGUUUAUAGUUCGAAUAAGUUUCUCACUCAUCUACUUUUACCACUUCAGUGACAAUCUUGCUUGAUAUCCCUAUUCUUGUCUAUCUGUCAUAUGUUGCUGCACUUUUUGAUGUCCAAUAAUUUGAUUAAGCCUUAUAAUAUGAUCACAUUUAAUCAAAUUUCUAUUAAGCAGAGCAAAUCAACAGGCUUUUUUUUUUCCUGUCGAACAAGUCUUGAGGUCUUUAGUUGAUUAAAUGAAUGCAGAUUUUGGUGUCCUCUGUAUUUAGUUCAAAUUAAAAGAUAUAGCGCUAGCUUUGUCAAAUUUUAGAUCUUAUAUUAAUUGAAGGUUGUUAUUGCAUGCUGGAGAUUUAUAUAGUGGACAACAAUCACAAGCAAUCGAUAGUAUCGAAUUUUAAAGUGCAAAGAUGUCGCAAGACAUCAAAACAGGAAGAAACUAUGUCACUUUUUAUGUAAAAGUCUCUUUUCAGUUUUGAGGGGAAAUGGACCUUGGACUUCAAUUUCAUCAUUUAGUCUCAGGCACAGAAUUUCAUCAUUUUGUCCUGUGAAACUAUCAUUUUUCCUUUACCAUUAAUCCUAAAACUGAGUUUCAUUGGUCAGAAGUGUACUUCUUAGUACAAACAUUAGUUGAUAUGCAUUUUAAGGUUCCCCUUUGAUGGGAAAUGUAUCUCAGAACUUAACUCCAACAGUUGAUGUUUCCUACUUGGAUUAUUCAGUCCACCUUGAUGCAUUGUUCUUUGCCCUGAACUUGUGUCCUUCAAACAAUAUUGCUGAUCAUCUUGAAGUAAUGUACCGUUUGUUCAUUUCUCCCUUCUGAUUUCUUGCAUUAUAGUUUCCUCUUUAAUGGGAAAUGUAUCUCAUGAUCUACCUUCUACAAUUAAUGUUUCUUAAGAGUACUCAGUCCACCUUACUGGAUUGUUCCUUCCCCUGAACUUUUUACACCUUAAACAAUACUAUCAAUCAUCUUGAAGUUAUUCAUAUUGUCUUCAUACCUAUCACCCUUUACAGUUGCUUGAAUUUUUGAAAUUCAUACAAUGUAGGAUAUGCCAAGGUUUCAAGCAGAGAAUUUGGAGCACAACAAGAAGUUGUAUGAGCGGGCCAAUGCCAUUGCUUCAAGGAAGGGUUGUACUCCAUCACAGCUAGCAUUGGCCUGGGUCCAUCACCAAGGCAAUGAUGUUUGCCCCAUACCUGGCACUACCAAGAUUGAGAACCUCAAUCAGAAUAUAGGAGCUUUGUCUGUAAAACUGUCAGCCGAGGAAAUGGCGGAACUUGAAUCUAUUGCUUCUGCGGGAGUCAAGGGUGAUAGGUAUGCGCCUGGCCUUGGUACUUGGCAAACUUCUGAAACUCCGCCUUUGUCAACCUGGAAGCGGACAUGAAGACAUACCUUUGUUAUGGCAAUAAUUCCUUCUAGCUAUGUGCCUGAUGGUGGAUUUCACUAUAUUGAGAGUUGAGUGAUAUGUAAUUGUUCCAAUAAAUUUUGACAUACUAUUGUCUCUAGGGCUAUGGCACGUAAAGUUAUAAGUAGAAUGGAUGGAGUUUCUUCAGAGAGGUUGUAAUAAAUAAAGAUCUGGUCAUGUAAAAGCUGAAUAUAAUUUUCCUUGCAGUUGAAUGCAUUAAGAGUUAUAUAUUGUACUUUUGAAUGCUAAAGUGGUCCAUUUUUUAUGUGCUACUGCUACGAGAGUUAUAGAUUGUUGAACAGCAUUCAAUUCUGGACUUAUUAAACAUAAGCAUAUAAACAUUUUAUUCUCGGAAUAUUUACAUCAAAAGAAACUCCAAGGUCACAUCAUUGUAAAGUGUAAACUAUAUCAUAUUAAUAAAAAGCAAAAAAAAUGUCUAAAUGAGGAAAAAAAAUGUACUAUAGAAGAAGUCAACAAUGUCAUGUAAUCAUUUUAUCCUAAAAUUGAGAUUCAAAUUUAGUUGAUUUGUAUUUUGAGUUUCCUCUUUGAUGGGAAAUGUAUCUCAGAACUUUAACUCCAACAGUUGAUGUUUCCUACUUGGAGUACUCAGUCCACCUUGAUGCAUUGAUCUUUCCCCUGAACUUGUGCCCGUCAAACAAUAUUUCUGAUCAUCUUGAAGUAAUUAGUACCAUCUGUUCAUUACUCCCUUCUGAUUUCUUGCAUUAUAGUUUCCUCUUUAAUGGGAAAUGUAUAUCAAGAUCUACCUUCUACAAUUGAGAUUUCUUAGAGUACUCAGUCCACCUUACCAGAUUGUUCUUUUUCCUGAACUUUGUUCACUUCAAACAAUACUAUGAUCAUCUUGAAGUUAUUCGUAUUGUUGUCUUUUGUGGACGACACAUGCUUUACUGCCUUUUUGAAUUUCUGCAUUGCAGUUGCUUAAAUUUUGAAAUUCAUACAAUUUAGAAUAUGCCAAGGUUUCAAGUAGAGAAUUUGGAGCACAACAAGAAGUUGUAUGAGCGGGUCAAUGCCAUUGCUUCAAGGAAGAGUUGUACUCCAUCACAGCAAGCGUUGGCCUGGGUCCAUGCCAAGGCAAUGAUGUUUGUCCCAUAACUAGCACUACCAAGAUUGGAAACCUCAAUCAGAAUAUAGGAGCUUUGUCUGUAAAACUGUCAGCAGAAGAUAUGGCUGAACUUGAAUCUAUUGUAUCAGCUGGAGUCAAGGGUGAUAGAUAUGAUCCUGGCCGUGGUACUUGGCGAACUCCUGAAACUCAACCUUUGUCAACUUAGAAGACUACAUGAAAACAUACCUUUGUUGAGGUAUUAAUUCCUUCUAGCAUUCUACCUGUUGGUGAUUUCACUGUAUUGAGAGUUGAGCGAGUUGUAUUUGAUCCAAAAACUUUGUCAUACUAUUGUCUCGAGGGUUAAGACAUGUAAAGUUUUAAGAAGAAUGGUGUUUCUUUAGAGUGCUUGUAAUGAAUAAAGAUCUGGUCAUGUAAAAGUAGAACACAACAUACCAACAAUGUCAUUGUAAACUACAUCAUACCAACAAAAAAGUAGAAAAUGGUCUAAAGUGAAUCAGAAAUCAACAAAAACUAUGUAAGCACCAAUGGAAAGCAGAAAAGUUCUUGAUACCAUAGUAAACACCAAUGGAAAGCUAAAAAGUUCUCGACGCCAUAGAAAUUAGGGAUUCGUUGGGCAAAAAAGUUCUUAACACCAUACUCUAUAGACGUAGGGGAUCCAGGUUUGGGCAUCUAGCUAAGUGGAACAGGUAAAGGAAAGCUGCAUCACAGAUGUAGCAAGUAGUUCCAAUGCCCUUGCCAAUGGUAUAGGCUUUCUUGCUUCCAACAUGGUCUUGAAAGUGCAGAUUAGAGAAGGAUAUCAAAGCCGGCCAGCUGCGAAUCCUGUGGGGUGAAAACCAUACAUUUGAGAACAUAAACAAAACAGAGCUGCCUGGUCCUCAAUUUAAGCAUUAUACUUGAGAAGGACAAUACAAGCAUUCAGGGAUAUUUGCAGCCCCAUCCUCAAUGUGUGAGAAAAUAAACUUUACAUGCAGAAAGGAAAUAAAUGGUUGAAAUUACACAAUGGAUGGAUGUUGAAAAGAAUCACUAACAAAUAUGUCUAGAAGAUCGAUCUGUUAAGCAUGGGAAGUUCAAAGAGUAGCAUUUUUUUUGAAUCUCAGAAAAAUGAAGAGUAAGGUACAGUCCAACAAUUUAGGGAAUUCAAACUCUAUUUGUGAAUAAACUGCUUGUAUUUUUCCUUUUUCUAGUGUAAGAUUUAAGGAAAAGUUAAAAUCACUUGACCCCUGAUCAGUUCUUUACCAAUACAUUGAUUUUGACUUCAAUCAUGAACAAAUAAUUCAGAUUAAGACUGAAUAGUUAAUAAAUUGAAAAAAAAGGGAAAGACAUCAGAACUUAGAUGUAACACACUAAUCCAUAACAUCCAGUCCUUCUUACUUUUCGUGCCUUUGGCCCAGUGUUGCAAAAGGCCUUGCCUGAGGUAAGGCAUUUGUCUCUACUGCAGCAGCACGAAAGCCUUGGAGCAUGGGUUGUAAUUCUCAUGAAUUUUAAAAUUUUUGAAUAUUUUAAAAAUAUUGUAAUAUUUAUGCAAAAUAUUAUUAAAACACAUAUAACUAUAAUAAAAUAUGUAAAAUUUUAAAAUUAUAGAAAAAUAUAUUAUCAUGAUAUGCGGUAGUAAUGACAGUAUAGAAAAAAAAAAAUAUGACAAAAAUUCAACGAAUACUAGUCGUGGGCAUCUGAAAAUGGUUAUAGAUGACAAGGGACGAUGAUUUUACUUGGAAACUUGGGUUUUUACAUUCUUGUGGUAUGUAUUACUAUACAAAAAUGGUAAAAUUAAAAUAUAACCAAGUUUUGGGGUUAAAUAAGAAAUUUGAGAUAACAGGUUAGCUAAAUUUUUAAAGUGAGCCAAAGCACAAGGACUUAAUACUACAUGUUUUACUAAAAUGGGACCCACAUCUCUAAAUUCAGGCCCGUCAGGUUCAUCGAGGUGCUUCGUUCGCAAGCCCAUUUGUCAGCCCAAAUCAUCAAACGCUUCCUUCCUCCCCUUUUUAUUUAAUAAACCCGAUACGACUUCCUGAUUAUUCCAGGAUCCAACAAUUAAAACUUUACUGGCUCUAAAAAAAAAAAAAACAAUUAAAACUUUACAUACAAAUAAAUGGUCAAAUUCACUUAAAAAUUGUGGGGUCAUCUUCCACAUUAAACUUUUGUACUAUCCAAGUUUGUUUUAAUUCCUUUGGGAAAAUCAAACAUCGAAUGCAUUCCCCAAAAAAAACAAAAAAGGGAAAAGGAAAUGGCUUACCUUUGCCCUUACGUAUCCAAUCCCAAUUUGAACAUUACAUCAUCCAUCCAAUUGAAACAAACUCCUAUGGAGAUUUUUUUUUUGCUCUAUUUUGUUGUUAGAUCUGAAAGUUUUUUCAAAAUUUGAAUCUAUUUGAACAUAUCUCAUUAUCAUUAUUGAAACUUAAAACCAUUUAUUGACAAAUCUGGCAAUUGCCAUAUGCACAAAAGGGAGACGCUUUAAAAUUCUUUAUAUUUUAUUAGAUGUGUUUGUAAUUUUCAAAUCUAUUGUAUUAGUUAAAUUAUAAUCUGUAAUUUUUAAUGCAUGCGUGACCUGCCAUUAGAGGAGUUAUGUAAAUCAAAUCAUGUUGGACGAUUUUCAAAAAAAAAAAAAAAAAACUUAACCGUCAAUUACUCUUUCCCAUUUUAUUUGUCCACUUUUCAAUUGUCAAUAACUCUUUUAAAAUAUUUUGCAAUACAAAAAUCAACUGAAACCAGUAGACAUUGUAAUUAAUAGCAGUAUUCAAUUCUUGUUUUUGUAUAUUACUCGUACAUCUAAUUAGUCCAAUUUGGAGGGAAAAAAAGGUGAAAACAAAAAAAUAUAAUAGUCACAAAAAACACAGAUCUAGCUCAAAAUAUGGCAGUGACCAAUUGUUCUGCAAAAUUAGUAGGAUAAGCAGUUGACAAAUUCUAUAAUCCCUUUUGGUCAAAUAUUAUUUUUAAUAUUUAGGUCGUUACAAUUUCAAUAAUUUAAAUUACCAGUUACUAUCAUCAUUGGAAGAAGCACAUUGAAGGAAUGAUACUCUAAGAUGACUGAUAGAGCGAUUUUUGAGCACAUUUUGUACUAUUAUUCUGUCCUAAUUUUGGCUACUCAUGGUGCUAAGAAUUAAGAUUUUGCUCAUAUUUGAUAUUUGUAUGAAUUAUAGGUGGUUGGCGUUAAAAAUGAUCUUGCGAGGCGAAUUUCUAGAAGACCCUUCAGGUCAAGACGUGCCCAUGCCAGAAGUAGUGGAAGGUUACCCAUAAAGUCGGACCCGCGGGCUUGGUAGCAAAAUAAGUCAACUAGGGAACCAGGUCCACGUGGAUCAAAGGCGGGGGAUUAGAACCCUUAGGCAAAGCUUGUUCCUUUUUUUGGAUUACUACUGGCGGCGCACAUGAAAAAUAUAAGAGACGAAGCCAGGUUCACGUGAAAGGAAGGAGAUAGCUUAGUUUUCUUUUCCCAAAUUUGUCAGACGUUUGUCUUGCUUUUCUCGGUAGAAAACAGAAGACAAGCCAGAAUCACGUGGGCUUAGUAGAUUAGUUUUCGUUUUCUUCACUGGCAACAAUUUCUUUCUCUGUUUUGACUUUUGAUAAAUUUCAUGAGAUUGCUCCAGUACGGACACGAAAUAAGAAAAGGAAUUAAGAGACUUUCUCUUCAUUAUUCCUCCGUUAGUUCACUUUUCUCAAUUCUUCGGCAAUUAAUUGAAUGUUUUCAAUUAAAUCACACGGGAUUGACAGGAUGAGGAGAGGCUAGUUCUCUCCUCUACCCAGAGGUCGACGCGAGGGCGCGGUCCAUAAUAUCAGUAAGAUCUGAUCAAACUUUCAUUAUUUCUUCCAAUUUGUUACUAUUCGUGCGUUUCUUGGAUUAAUUAUUCAUGGGUAUUUUAUUAAUUGAAUAUCAACGGCCGGGUAUUUAAUUUAAUUUAAUAGCCUACUGUCACAUUAACUAAAUUCAAUCCGUAAUUGUUUGUUUAGUUGAUAACUAGUGACAACCAGCAUAAUUAGCUUUAUGUUGGAGGAAUGCAAGAUCUAAUUUAAAUAAACUCUCUUAGCGUGUUUAUUGAUUAGGGUUGAGUUCUUCUAGUUGUAAUGCAGUUGGAUAAUUAAAUUCCUAUAGUUGUACAUAGAGUUGUUAACUGGUUAGAGAAGCAGUCAACGGUCGUACCUUGGCUGUCGAAAAGGUAAGGAAGAAUUGGUUAUCAGAACUUGUUGUUAGCUAUAACCAAUCAAGUAAUGAAUGAGUGAAAUAUCUUUGCAUCGAUGAUCGUUUAAUUGGACCAUGCCUGAAAAGUUGAUCCUUUGGGUAAAAUUUUAUUAAUUGCUAUUUUUACUAAAUUGCACUUGUUGAGUUAGCUCUUGAGUUUUACUUAUUUUAUUUUUACUUUCACCCCAUUAAUUAUCCCUCUCUUUUAUUCUAUUGACUUAGAAAGAAAUCACUUCCUAUCCGUUCCCUGUGGAAUCGACCCUACUUGCCAUUGUACGCAAAUUUAAUAUUUUUAUAGACAAAUCUGGUAUAUCGGAUCAAACAAAUUUUUUGAAAAUAGGGUGAAUCAAGUAACCCAUUGCACACCUAGAGUCCCUGCUCCAGUACUUGGAUUUGUUCUAUAAUGAAUUGUGGUGGUAAUUAGGACUUUUUAGUAAUUAUUAUUGCACAGGUUCGGCACCUGUCAAUUUUUGGCGCCGUUGCCGGGGAGCGGUGUUUUGGUUAAAUUUGUUUCUUUCUAAGUUAUUCUCUUUGAAUCUGUCUAGCAUUUUUCUAGUUUAUGCCUCGCUCUUCUCGUACAGGCGAAUUGAUUUUCGAUUCAGAAGUAGAGAAGGCUGCGCGCCAAACUAGGAAACAGACCAGACAACUCAGGGAGGAGCAAUCCAGUAUUGCAUCUCAGGGACUGGAUCUUGAGGUUGAAUCAACAGAUUCAAGUAGUGAAAAUUUAAAUGAUCCAGGCCAAGAGGGCAUCCUUAUGGCAAAUGCAAGAAUACUAUAGGAGUUGGCUGCUCCAGAAUUACCCCAGCAGCCUUUGUGCAUUACAUUCCUAACGUUGGCUAAAAAUAUCUCAUUUGAAUUGAAGUCAGAAUUAAUCCACCUCCUACCUACGUUCCAUGGCCUCUCAGGUAAGGAACCCUACAAACACAUCCAAGAGUUUGAUGUGGUAUGCUCCAGUAUGAAGUCUCCAGGAAUUACUGAGGAGCAGAUUAAACUCAGAGCCUUCCCCUUCUCCCUCAAGGAUGCAGCAAAUGAUUGGUUGUACUACCUACCUGCAGGUAGUAUCAUCAAAUGAGCCCAACUUAAGAAGAAAUUUUUGGAAAAAUUCUUCCCUGCGUCCCGGGCUGCAAGUCUGAGAAAAGAGAUAUGCAGCAUUAAGCAAUAUCCUGGAGAAUUCUUAUAAGACUAUUGGGAGAGAUUCAAUAAGUUGUGCACUAGAUGCCCACAGUAUCAAAUUAGUAAAUAACUGUUGAUCCAAUAUUUCUAUGAGGGACUCCAGUCGUCUGAUAGAAGCAUCAUCGAUGCUGCGAGUGGGGGAGCCCUGGCGAACAAGACACCACGAGAAGCAUGGAUAUUCAUUGAAUCAAUGGCGAAAAAUUCUCAACAGUUUGGUUUCCUAAAAAGUAACCCUACCCGGAGGGCUAACGAGGUAGAGACGUCAUCCAUUCAGCAGCAGAUAUCAGAGCUAACAUUUUUUGUUACAAUUAGCUGUGGGAAACAUGCAUCAAGCUAAGGCCUGUGGAAUCUGCACAAAUGUGGGUCACUCCACUGACUCAUACCCUAUGUUGCAAGAGGAUGGGGGUGAACAAGUGAACAUAGUCGGAGGCGUGCCCGUGCCUCAUAGACAGUACGAUCCAUACUCCAACACAUACAAUCUGGGUUGGCAAGACCACCCCAAAUUCAGUUAUGGUAAUAAGCCACAGAAUUCAUUUCCCAAUCGCCUACAAGGAUUCCAACAACCGUAGCAACAAAAGUCUCAACCCUCGUCCUCCAGCUCAGGAAGUCAUUUGGAGAAAAUUGUCAAGAGUUCAGCUACGACUAUAACUCAGCUCCAGCAAGAGACUAGGUUCUUGGUCGCGAGCAUUACUCAGUUCCAACAGGACACCAAAGCAGGCAUGAAAGACAUGGAAAUUCGAAUGAGUUAAAUGACAACUGCCAUUAAUCGCCUAGAGUCCCAUGUUUAUGAAAAAUUGUCAUUUCAAUCCGAGCCAAAUCCCAGAAAUGUAAGUGCCAUAACAUUAAGGAGUGGCAAAAAGGUGGAGGGACCUAAGUUGGUAAAUUCGAAAAGCAAAAGUGAGGAAGAGAUAAAAAAGGAGAUUGAAGAAGAAGGACGCAUUCGUAAAGACCCUAAGGUAAAAUUUACUCUUUCAGCUCCUAUUAAAUCUAACUUACCUCAUUUUCCUUGCAGGUUAGAAAAAACAAAGAAGCAAAAUAAGGAAAAGGAGAUUUUAGAGGUGUUUCGAAAGGUGGCAAUCAAUAUCCCUUUGUUGGACGCGAUCAAACAAGUGCCAAAAUACGCUCAAUUCUUGAAAAACUUGUGCGUUAACAAGAAGAAGUUGAGGGGGGAUGAACAAAUUGUGGUAGGUGAGAACGUUUCAGCGAUUUUGCAAAGGAAACUACCACCUAAAUGCGGAGAUUCAGGUAUGUUUAUUAUCCCUUGUAAGAUUGGAUGUUCUAAUAUCAAAAAUGCCAUGCUAGAUUUAGGGGCCUCUAUUAAUGUGAUGCCUAAAUUAAUUUAUGAUUCCCUAAAUUUAAAACCUUUAAAAGAAAUAGGGAUAAUAAUUCAAUUGGCUGAUCGUACAUUUGCUUAUCCGGAUGGAAUAGUUGAGGAUGUUUUGGUGCAAGUAGAUGGAUUAAUUUUUUCUGCUGAUUUUUACGUACUUUACAUGGAUGAUAGAAGUGCCCCAAAUCCAUCACUCAUUAUAUUAGGAAGACCAUUCUUGAGUACUGUCCAAACUAAGAUUGAUAUUAGUAAGGGUACUCUCACGAUGAAAUUUGAUGGAGAAAUAGUCCAUUUUAAUAUUUUUGAUACAAUUAAAAAUCAUGUUAACUCUCAUUCUGUAUUUGCUAUUCAGGCUACUAAUCCCUCUGUGCAAGAAUUCUCUGAGUUUGUUUGUAGGGGUAAAUUCAAAAUUGUUGCGAACAAGUAUCCUGGAAUGAAAGCAAUUCAUGAGGUGAAAAUGAGUAGAAAAUUCAGGAAAAUAUUGCAUUCAAUGGCUAUUUGGAUCCCGGAGGAGGGCCACAAAUUAGAAGAAAAAUUGAAUUACAUCCAAACUGAAGAGCGGUGUAUAGUGUCUAGCCAAAAACAUUAAAGAAAGGCGCUACUUGGAAGGAAAUCCAAGGCUUUCAAUUGUGUUUUUUCAUAUUUGUGUGUUCAAGAUCAGUGGGUUUAGGUUCCUAUUGACAAGCAAUCUUUAUUGUAGGUCAUGGGUGUUUCUGUGUAGUUUUAUUCUAUGUUGGGAGCAAAAAUUUGCGGGCAGAAGACUUCAUGUUACAAGGCUUGCCCGCGCCUUGUACUCACCGCGCAUGAACAUUUGUAAAAUUUGGCGGACAGAAGAUCUCGACCUUCAAGGCGUCCCCACGCCUUCCAACCUUUGCAACAAUGAAAGUUAAAAAAAUUGAUCAGGACCUUCUCUAACCCCCCUUUUCUACUUUUCUCUUUUCUUGUCUUAUCUGGUCUUUUUAAUUUCCUCUAUCUUAGUUUCUACUUUUCAAUUUCCUUUGUUUUGUCUUAGUUUCAGUUUCUUUGUUUCCUCUUUUCUUGUUUGUCCGCUGCGCACAGCGCGUCGCUGUGGCGUGCUCCUCUUACCAUGCUCCUCCUGCUGGGGAUUCCCAAUACCGUGCCCUCCAAGAUUCUAUCCGUGAACUAGGUGAGCGGGUUAAGGGACUAGAUGGCCAUCUUGCAGGGCUACAGGUUUUUGCUCGCAUUCAGGCGAAGAACCAAGCAGCUUUCUUUGCUCAUAUUGGAUUCACUCCAGCUCAUCCUUCCCCCCCUUAGUGUCUAGCUGCACCCUCUCGGUGGUCAAGGAAGUUUAUCUCCUUUUCUUCUAAUACUUCAUUUGUCUUUUCUAUAUUGAGAGCAAUGUAGGUUUUAGGUGUGGGGGAGUGGUUUCCAUUAUUUCUUUUGGCUUUGGUACAAAAAAAAAUGAAAAAAAAUGAAAAAUGAAAAAAAUGAUGAAAACAAUGCAGUUAGUCGGCUUUCUGUUCAUUUCUAUGUUUGUUAGUGCUGGAGUGUGUUGCUAUGAUGGAUUAUACAAUCCUGGGGCACAGGUACAUGGUCAAAUAUGCUAGCUGGACAUUUUGUUUUUCCUUGGCAAUAUCGUUGAAUGUAGAGUGUGUUGAACUUGACCCAUUCUUGUAACUUUUGGAAGCUUUUGAGCCAUGCAUGGGCACAUUAUUCUUGUUUGCUCUAGUUUUGUUUGAUUGAGUGGGUAUCACACAUGGUAUUGGUAUUCUAGAACUUGCUAUUUUAUACAUGUCGAGACUAUAUUUUGUUGAACUGGAUGCAUUUGAAAUGAUAAGGGCAUUUGGGAUUAAACCUUCUUUAACUUCCUAAAACCCAUGCCUUCAUCUUGUCUCCCAAUAGUGAACCAAUUUGAACUUUUAUCCGUCAAAUUUGUUUGUUAGCCAUGUUGAUAACCCAAGACCUUUUUAGACUUUCUUGUUCACCCCGGUGUUGUUAAGGGAUGUCUGAAUUUCAUCAUUUGUGCAAGACAAAUAAAUCUGGAGUCGCAAGUGUUGUUAGAGUAGAAUCUGUAUGAUGCUAUCUUUGUGCAUUUAGAACAAAAAGGGGAGAAAUCGACAAUAAGCUGCUGAUCAGAAGACUCUGUCUUACAGGGUGUGCCCACGCCUUGCAACACGUUUUUCAAAAAAAAUGAAAAAAAAGGAGAAGAGAAGCUAGUGAACAUAAGGCUCUGGCCUCCAGGACGUGCCCAUGCCUUGCAAGACAUCUUUGUAAAAAAAAAAAAAAAUUGCGACAUUUGCACAGUAGGUACAGCAGGUGAAACUGUCUUGUUCGCGGAGUUCAUGUGGUGAAGCAUUGUGGUUAUAUGGUGGGUUUUGGACAUCCUCUUGACACAUUACAUCUUACCUUCACCUUCUUAUCCCGCAUUUUACCUAAACCCCAUUACAACCCUAUUAAAAUCUCUUUGAUUAGUGUAUUUAAUUCACUUUUAAGUGGUGGAGAUUUAAUAAAUGUGCAAGCCUAUGGUAAUGUCAUUCCGUGUGUUGAUUUGACCGUUCCCAGUAUUCAUACAUUCUCUUGAAGGUGACGAGUAUUACUGAGCAUAUUCUUUGGUUAAUUGCCUAUCCGGCAUAUUCUAAUUUCGGCGACAUUGUCGGGGGGGCGAGAUGCUUGUGCUAGUAUAGAUUACUAUAUGACCUCUGUUGUCUUGAUUGUAUUUCUGAGUUUCGGAAUGCUUGAGGACAACCAUUGUUUAGGUGUGGGGGGAUUUGAUAGAGUGAUUUUUUAGCACAUUUUGUACCAUUAUUCUAUCCUAAUUUUGGCUACUCAUGAUGCUGAAAAUUGAGAUUUUACUCAUAUUUGAUAUUUAUAUGAAUUGUAGGUGGUUGGCGUUAAAAGUGAUCUUGCGAGGUGAAUUUCCAGAAGACCCUUCAGCUCAAGACGUGUCCACGCCAGAAAUAGUGGAAGGUUACCCAUAAAGCCGGACUCGCGGGCUUGGUAGCAGAAAAAGUCAACUAGGGAACCAGGUCCACGUGGACCAGAGGCGGGGGAUUAGAACCCUUAGGCAAAGCUUGUUCCUUUUUUUGGAUUACUAUUGGCGGCGCACAUGAAAAAUAUAAGAGACGAAGCCAGAUUCAUGCGAAAGGAAUGAGAUAGCUUAGUUUUCUUUUCCCAAAUUUGUCAGACGUUUGUCUUGCUUUUCUCGGUAGAAAACAGAAGACAAGCCAGAAUCACGUGGGCUUAGUAGUUUAGUUUUCGUUUUCUUCACUGGAGACAAUUUCUUUCUCUGUUUUGACUUUUGAUAAAUUUCGUGAGAUUGCUCCAGUACGGACACGAAAUAAGUAAAGGAAUUAAGAGACUUUCUCUUCAUUAUUCCUCCGUUAGUUCACUUUUCCCAAUUCUUCGGCAAUUAAUUGAAUGUUUUCAAUUAAAUCAUACGGGAUUGACAGGAUGAGGAGCGGCUAGUUCUCCCCUCUACCCAGAGAUCGACGCGAGGGCGCGGUCCAUAAUAUCUGUGAGAUUUGAUCAAACUUUCAUUAUUUCUUCCAAUUUGUUACUAUUCGUGUGUUUCCUGAAUUAAUUGUUCGUGAGUAUUUUAUUAAUUGAAUAUCAACGGCAGGGUAUUUAAUUUAAUUUAAUAGCCUACUAUCACAUUAACUAAAUUCAAUUCGUAAUUGUUCGUUUAGUUGAUAACUAGUGACAACCACUAUAAUUGGCUUUAUGUUGGAGGAAUGCAAGAUCUAAUUUAAAUAAACCCUCUUAGCUGUUUAUUGGUUAGGGUUGGAUUGUUCUAGUUGUAAUGCAGCUGGAUAAUUAAAUUUCUAUGGUCGUACUUAGGAUUGUUAUCUGGUUAGAGAAACAGUCAACGGUCGUACCUUAGCUGUCGAAAAGGUAAGGAAGAAUUGAUUAUCAGAGCUUGUUAUUAGCUAUAACUAGGGGUGGCAAUCCGGUCGGGUUCGAGUUGGUGGGGCGGGUUGAGACCCAAAUAUAACAAAAAAAAUCAUUGACCCGAACCUGACCCGUCAACCCGAAACGGGUCAGGAUGCCUGACGCCAACCCGAAAAUUUCGGGUUGGCGGGUCGACCCGAAAUGACUCGAAACUUAAUUUUAAAUUAUUAAUUUGUCAUUGUAAUUUCUAAUAAAAUCAAUUUCUCACAAAAUUAAUUACAUCAUCAAGUAAUAAAAAUUUAAAUAAAAAUUUCAAACCAAAUCUAAAAUAAAUUAAAUACCGUAAAAGUGUUUUAUCCCAAACCAAAUAUAAAAUAAAUUAAAACAGCAUAAAAGUGAAAAAUAACAUAAUAUAUUAUUUGUUCAAAUAUAAUAAUUUUAACUUCACACAAGUUAAAUAAAUUCAUUUAGGAUUAAGUAAUUAAUACCUUUGAAAAAAAAAGAAUGAUUUAGUUUAGUUAGAUAAAAUAAUUUUAUGCUUAUGAAAUUAUUUUUAAUUCGUAAACGGGUCAUAUCGGGUCAUAUCAGGUCACCAUGGGUUGACCCGAAAUCGACCUGUUUUGUUUUCGGGUCAAUCGGGUUCGACCCGAUUCUGACCCGAAUUCCUGAAACCUCAAUCCAAACCCGUUAAUUUCGUGUUACGUUCAUGUCGUGUUUUCGGAUCGUGUCAGAAAUUGCCACCCCUAACUAUAACCAACCAAGUAACGAAUGAGUGAAAUAUCUUUGCAUCGAUGAUCGUUUAAUUGGACCAUGCCUGAAAAGUUGAUCCUUUGGGUAGAAUUUUAUUAAUUGCUAUUUUUACUAAACUGCACUUGUUGAGUUAGCUCUUGAAUUUUACUUAUUUUAUUUUUACUUUCACCCCAUUAAUUAUCCCUCUCUUUUAUUCUAUUGACUUAGAAAGAAACCACUUCCUAUUUGUUCCCUGUAGAAUUGACCCUACUUGCCAUUGUACGCAAAUUUAAUAUUUUUAUAGACAAAUCUGGUAUAUCGGAUCAAGCAAACUUUUCGGGAACAUGAUGAAUCAAGUAAUCCAUUGCACAUCUAGGGUCCCUACUCCAGUACUUGGAUUUGUUCUAUAAUGAAUUGUGGUGGUAAUUAGGACUUUUUAGUAAUUAUUAUUGCAUAAGUUCGGUACCUGUCAAUGACUAUAGAAUUUUUCUAGUCGGUGAUACAAAAUAUUAAUAUUUGAAAAAAAUUCUAAUCACACAAUUGUAUUUGAUCUCAACCAACCGUCACUACUUUAAAUUAAUUUGGAUUGCAAGUAACGUCAUUACUUUAUGUGAAUAUCAAACAUGAAAAGCGCAUGAUAUAUACGAGCAAAAAAAUUAUAAUGUACUAAUUUUCAAUUUCUUUAUGUAGAAUAUUUUCGUGAAUAUUAAUUUUUGACAUAUCUUAGUCAAGGUCAUUAAUCAACCCGGACCUAAUCAGCUCCAAACCCAGGGCAAAUUUCUGGCAAAUUUCUUUGAAAUACUGCCAAAAAGAAGUUUGAAAAAUAUUGUUGAAAAGUUGAGCAUUUUUCUAUCUAGGCUCUUCGUGUCUCCUACACGCAAUGGAUAGUUUAUUUGUUCAAUUUUCUUUUUAUAAAAGGAGCUUGUCGUAUGUCAGGCACAUGGCGAGCCACAUUUAAAAUUUGGUUCCUAUCAUAGAGUCUAUUAUGUCCCUAACACUGAUGGACUGUUUUUUAAUUUUUUUUUUUUUUAAAAAGCAAGUGAAAAGUGUUGCAACUCAAGAGUUGGAUAGUAAUUUUAAAAUUUAAUAGUGCACCUACCUUUUAAUUUUUUCGUGUGCUUUUAAGGUAUCAAACGGGGAAAAAAAAACCAACACCAUAUAACUUCAAAUGCAAGAUGGUACGGAAUUUGUCAAUAUGUAGAUGUUAAUAGACAUUAAUGACAUGUAAAAAGUGCACCAUUCAUCACAGAGAUAUUUAUCCUAAUAUUACACUCUUUUUUUUUUUUUUCAAAAAUUCCAUAUUUCAUGCAAACAUGUAAUCAAUAUGCCUAAUCAACAUUAGAUGAAUUUAAACAAGUAGCCUACAAAUUUAAAAAUAUUUGAUUUCAUAAAUGUGCAUUCGCAAUUUAGAAAAGGUACUCUUCAAAUGGCAAAUCUAGAGAGCAACAAAUACUCCUACUCUAUUUUGAUUUCAGAUCUUCUUUUGACUUGCCAAAAACGUGAAAACAUGAAACUAAUACUGUGUCAGAUGGAGAGAAGUAAUAGAAAUUUGUUUUCUAGAUUCUUUGGCCUCCCAAUUUUUUCAGCGGGUCAACUCCGACCAUUAUCAUGGUCAUGUGAUUGUAGGUGUACCUGGCUUUGUAGACCACAACGUGGAUUGGAUAUGUCGAUUAGCUCCCAUCCUAUUAUAAUAUUUUUUCUUUUAUAAAUCAAUAUCUAUUCUAUUCCUAUUUCAACUUCUAUUCUAGGGAAAGGGGAGAUUCAACUGAAAAAUUGAUAGUGAUUGAAUCACGAUCGGACCAAACAGAUGUACUAUGCACAUAUACGAAUCUUGGAGAAGCCGGUGCAAUGAUGAGAGGUAAUGUUUGAGUCUUGACCUUCCAUUCCACUAAAAUUUAUAGUCUUUGAUAGUGGCCAACCACCCAAAGAGUUGUUGGUUAACUCCCACCCUGUUAGGAAGUAAAGGUUUUCGACACUCUAAAACAAAUGUUUUUUUUUUGUUUUUUCAAUUAUUUUCAUCUAUCACCAACAGCUGGCGGUCAUGGGUCAUUCAUCAAAGCAUAAAUCCGAACGACACUAAUCCCUCACUAGUCAUCCCCUCAUUCCUUCACGUAUGUUUUUAAUAAAUUGGAUUCAUCUAUUUGGUGUUCUAAAAUCACAUUUAAAAAGUUUUUUUUUUUUUGCAAUGUGUUAUUAUUCAGGACAUGAAUGAUAAUUUUAAAAUUUGAAUAGUGGACCUAAAAAUAAAACUUGUAAAUUUUACAUCUUAGCCUACUUACUUUUAAAACAGAGGGAAAAAACAGCACAUAAUUUCAAGUCAAAGAUUGUAUGCAGUUUGUCCAAUAAAUAAAUAUUCAUAAUUCAUAAUUUCAAACGACCGUGCCUAGUUGCGUGCGACCAUGCCCCGUCGGCCUGCGUUCCGCACACUAGGAUUCUAGAACUGUGUGGAACUCUUUAGAGUCCUUAAAGGAUAAGGAUGCAUGAAUCUUGAAGAUAAGCAUGAACCUUGUAAAUAAGGUUGUGUAGAAAAUUCUAAGCACUUGUAGUGUUUUGGCUUGCCUAUAAAUAGGCCAAGCCCUUUGUAUUGGAAAUGGUUGGCGACCUUGUGUAAAGAAACUUUAUGUAUAAUAUAAGCUUUUCUUUGCCACACUUACAUAUCUUUGCAUACUACUUUGGCGCUUCCGCACUUUAACCGCGCAUUGAGUGUUAAUGCUGAACUAGUUAGGCGUUCAUAGCUUAAGACAUGAGCGUAUGUUAGUGCCGCACGAGGUGUUGGUUUGUAGGAAAACAAGCAGCCCGUGACAAUAGGAAUGUGCUUAGAAAUUGACAUGUGCACUGAUGAUUAAUGCGGUGGACCCGUAAGGGAAAGUGGACAUCGGAAGCCACACGCGCAUGAAUUAAGUGUAAGGAGGAAAUGAUUUCGGGAAUAGCUAAUAUUACCAUUUAUCACUGAUUUUUAAAUUCAAAUUAUUUUUUUAAUUUUUCGUAUGUUGUUUGACAAGAAAAAUAAUAUUUUAUUAUUAUUAGAUUCGCAAGAAAUUCAAAUUUAUCUUCUUAACACUUAGUAAAAAUUGAGUUUAAAUACAUAUUUAUUUUUAAAUGAAUAUAAAUGGAUGAGUCGAAUCAAUCAAUUAUCCUGAGUAUUUUGAAUAACUCAGUUUCAUGUCCGUUUCAAUUCUUCAAAAAUUGCACAGAAAAGUGAAAACAAUGAAAAUGUCUUGGACUCGGGGCACGGACGGUUGCAGGUGCAACCGUCCCUGCCAAUUUUAGUCAUUAUCAACUGUGCGUAACUUUCUUUGUACAUCGUAUAACUUUUUUUUUACAGGAUAUAUUUUCACAACAGAUAGUGGUGAGUCCCACACUUGGCGCGAAAAUCGAGUUACAUGGUGUUAUCUUAGCCGCACAAAAUUUUGAGGACAAAUUUUGAUCCUUAACCGUGCAGGGACGGUCAUACUGCCCCAAAUCCAAAUGUCUUAUAUUAGCUUGGCAGUCCUGCUGAGGUAUAUACAGGUGGAAAUCAUGCUACACAUUGUACAGCUUUCCUUUAGAACCAAGAAACCUGAGCAUUCUCUUUCAAUUGAGAUAGGCUAUCCAGUUGAUUAAUGAUAUGCUAUUUACUUACCUUGUCAAUCGUUUUCAGUCGGUGCCAAAAGCACUGCAGUAGCCGUUUUUUAGUCAAUAUCUAAACACGGUACUCAUUUUGUUCAGAGUACAGCUUUUUGUCUAUUUGUGAAAGCCAACUGCAACUGCCUCAUUGACUUCUCCAAGUAAUUCAAAGAUUUCAGCAGCUUGCUUACAUUAAGCUUUUAUGAAACAAUUUCUGUCUUCUUUUUCUCAUGUAGUCAGCAAAGAAUUGUCUAAUUUACCCUGAGUAUUAGGAAGAAACUUUCUUGCAGUUUAAUCACUCAAAAAACAGGCAAGUAUAAAGGAAAUCAAGGAAAAUUGACAACUGAUAAUUGAUAUGUACAGCCAUUAUUAUAUAUAGACGAAGUCAGCAAUUGAUUUAAGCACGUCUCGGUAAGUUAAAAGGUUAAAACUUUACAUACAAAUAAAUGGUCAAAUUCACUUUAAAUUUGUGGUGUCAUCUUCCACCUUAAACUUUUGUACUACCCAAGUUUGUUUUAAUUCCUUUGGGAAAAUCAAACAUCAAAUGCUUACCAUUUAUUGAAACAUUACAUCAUCCAUAUUUUUUUUUGACAAAAAAAGUAGAUAUAUAAUUAAUAGCAGUAUUCAUAUUAUUUUUUGUAUAUUACUUGUACAUCUAAUUAGUCCCAUUUGGAAAAAAAAAGGAUGAAAACAAAAACACAUAAUAGUCACAAAAAACACAGAUCUAGCUCAAAAUAUGGCAGUGACCAAUUGUUCUGCAAAAUUAGUAGGAUAAGCAGUUGACAGAUUCUAUAAUCGCUUUUGGUCAAAUAUUAUUUAAAUUAGCUGGAUGGUCAAAUAUUACUUUUAAUUUUAAUCAUUUAAAUUACCAGUUGAAUGUUGACUUCCCAUUUCACUAAAAUUUAUAGUCUUUGGUAGUGGCCAAUCAUCCAAAGAGCUAUUGGUUUGUUCCCACCCUGUUAGGAACUAAAGGUUUUCGACCUUCUAAAAAAAAUGUUUUUGUUUUCAAAAAUUAUUUUCGUCUAUCACCAACAGCUGGCGGUCAUGGGUUAUUCAUCAAAGCAUAGAUCCGAGCAACACUAAUCCCUCACCAGCCAUCCCUCAUUCAUUGUCGCAUCCUUUUUAUGAAUUGGAUUCAUCUAUUUGGCGUUCUAAAAUCACAUUUAAAAGUUUUUUUUUUUUUUUUUUUUGCGAAAGUGUUAUUAUUCAGGAUGUGUAUGAUAAUUUAAAAUUUUAAUAGUGGACCUAAAAAUAAAACUUGUAAAUUUUACAUAUGAGCCUACCUACUUUUAAAAUAGAGGGAAAAAAACACCACAUAACUUCAAGUCCAAGAUUGUAUGCAGUUUGUCCAAUAAAUAGAUAUUCAUAAUUCAUAAUUUCAUAUACACAUGUUAACUAGAGAUGUCAAUCACAACCCAAUUAUAUUGAUCCGUUCAAAACCGUUCACUAAUAACCCAUCCAAAUUCACUCAUUAAAAUUUAAAUGGGUCUAAGGUUGUGUUUGGAUUGCAUUUUCCGUCAUUUUUCAUGGAAAAAUUACUGUAGCGAUUUGAUAUAUGUGAGGGAAAAAGGUGAUAGGGAAAUGUGAUCACGGAAAACGACAAUAUUUUUCGACAGAAACAAGCAAUCCAAGCAUGACCUAAGUGAGUACCUAAUUAAAUUCAUUUAAUUGGUGGAUAGUUGAUUGAUUCGAUUCACCUAUUUAUAACCAUUUAAAAAAAUAUAUUUUUAAACUCAAUUUUUACUAAGUGUUAAGAAGAUAAAUUUGAAUUUCCUACGAAUCUAAUAACAAUAAAGUAUCAUUUUUCUUGUUAAACGACAUGCAAAAAAUUAAAAAAAAUAGAAUUUCAAAUCAGUGUAAAUGGGUAAUUAAGUAUAUUCAUAUCCAUUUAUUAAAUAGAUAUAAAUGGAUUGAUUCAAUUAUAUCUAUUACCCAAUUAAAAUUUGCUCAAAUCCGUACAAGUCACUCAUUUUGAUGCUUUUAAUGUUAAUAUAUAUUCACAAGUGAAGAGUGCAGCAUUGGUUGGGAAGAUAUACUUAUUUAUCUCAAUAUUAUAAUCGUUUUUUACGUUGCAAAAGUAUUGAUAAUUUCAUAAUUUCAUCGAAGUAUGUAAUCAGUGACAUAACAUUACAUGAAUUUCAACGAAGUAUGUAAUCAGUGACAUAACAUUUCAUCAUUAGUCUUCAGCGGUGAAUCUAUGCUCUUUUCACGAGGCUUCUUUUCAAAGCUUUGAUUAUGGCAUACACUUCUGACAAUAUGCCCCUUUUAGAAUAGGGAUAAGUUUCUGGGUGAAUCUUUUCACGAGGCUUCUUUUCAAAGCUUUGAUUAUGGGGAUAAUUUCAGAUACCUCCCCUGAGGUUUCUGAGAGUUUCACUCCCCUCCCCUGUGGUUUCAAUAAUACCACAAACCUCCCUUAAAACUAGAUAGGCAAUGCCAAAAUAGACCCAUUUUAAAAAUACAAACAAUAAAAAAUUAGUAGCUGGUGAGAGAAACAAGUGUAUACCACAAAUGCCCUCAUUAUCUUGCAUUAAUGAACUAAUCUCAUGUGAAGAAAAAACAGGGAAUUUAAGAAGAAAGAAACUUGAGGGGGUGGAAGUGAGACCAAUGCAUUCAUUAAGGUCUGAACGUCAGUAGUGAACAAAAUGGAAGGCAACGGCUCUUUCUGGUAGGGCAUGUUGUUUUGUCAAGCGAGCAUAUAACUGAAGAACGGCCUGCAUAACCAAAGCUAGUACAUGUUGUUUUAUCAAGUCACAAGCAAUAAUCAAUACAUUACCACAAUCUUCCAUCGUCAAAAAGCCUGUAGGUUUUCCAAAUGUUUUCUCAAAGAUUUAUCGACUUUCUUUAUCCUGCAAAAGAGGAGUGGAUUUUUUCUCAGCAACAUCUUCCAGAACUGGAGAUGCAACAUGUUUCUCUGAUGAGUCAGGUAUUAGUCCUGCUGCAGUCUCUUCUGUACUUUCACGAGAGAUUCUGGGCCUGGAUUGCAACAAAUUAUCCAGGAUUAGAAGUAAGGCACUAAUACAUUUCGGGCUCAAAAUCUCAUUUCCUGCAAUAGUCCUUGCUUUGAAGUUCAUCAAGAUAUCAAUUGCCAAUGGGACAAUGCCACUCUGCACAGCAAUUUGUCGAGCAUUUUCAUCUUCAGAUAAAAUCAAUGCUAAAGUAUGUGAAACCAUGCACAAUGCACUAUUAUCUUUUGAGAAUUCCAUGGGGCACUGCUUUAGCUACUUUACAAGAUAAGGAAUCACCCGAUCACGGUCUUCUCCUUUGUUCCUAUUGCAAAGAGUCACAAGCAAAUCUGUCAACUGGAAAGCCAUUGAAUCACUACUGUGAAACAACUUCAUUGUUGCAGCAAGGAUGUCAUCAACAUAAGGGGUCUUAAUUCGUUCCUCUUCUGCCAAAACAUCCACUGAUUUUUCAGUGUUAUCGACUUUAGAUGCUUCUGAGGAAUUUCCUAGAGAUAAAGCAAGUGCACGAGCCAAUUCAUCAUCCUCCAGCACAGGAUCUUCAGCAUGACUAAAUAACCAUUCCAUAGCCAUUUCGACACUAUUAGUUUCCACUCUUUUUAAUGCCUUCUCAGCUCUUGCUCUUGAGAACCCCAUCUCAACAAUGGUAGCAAUGGUAGCUUCAUUAGGUGGUGGAGCCACCAAACGUUGGUUUGUAUUCCCUAACAACCCACUACGAUUUGUUUAACAUCACCAACACCAGAAUAUACAUGAGUGAUUAGUGAAAUAAUAGAAGUUAUAAAAACUGGAUUACAAUUUGGAAACAAAGGGUGAUUCCAGAUGGGAACUAUAGCAUCCAGAACCUGAGACUGCAGCAUACGAACAAACACUUAAGGGUCCUUAGGAACAGGAAGCAACCCAAUAGACAGACCAACUGCAACAGGUUGCACAAGCAGCUGUGCCUGGGAUGCUAAGGUUGGAGACAACAGCAAAGAAGAAUUGAUAAAAUAUUCAAGAAGGCGACAAUAACUCUGCAAUGUAUCAAGCAGCCAUGAACUGUGAGACAAUUUGCCCUCCUCCGGUAAGACAAUCAUAAAAAGUUACAAGUAACUCUUGGGGUCUACCUUAGCCACUCUUACUUUUCUUCCCAUAAAAUGGAGCACAAUAUCAUGAAAAUCAGUGAUAACCAUCCUACAAUAGACAAUCAUAGGCUACUGAAGUUACAAUAUUAGUUAUUGAAGUUACAGAAAAUAUUAGCUACAAUAUUAACCAUCUUGCAACAUUGGUUGCUGAAGUUACAGAGCAAGUAUAAGCUUUCUAAGUACUGAGGUUUGGCAUCUAACUAUAUCAAACAAUCCAAGUCAGACGAGAAAUUUAGAAUCAAGUAAGCAUAGUCUGGUAGAGGCUUAGCAAACCAAGUCACAUGACAAACCAGAAAAUCAUAAGCAAACAUGUAUCAAGCUUACACAAACAACAACCAAAUCAUCAUAAGCUGCCAAUAUCAUAUUGAAACAGAGUAUGAAAUCUUAAACACUUACCUGGUAAAUUUUUCUUAAUGAGCUAAGAGACUCUUCAGUUUGUUUGCCAAGACCUUUGUUUGCUAAGAACUUUCUUAACGAGAAUCAAGAGCUUUGUUUGCCAACCAUCAACCUCAGUUGCUAUAUCUCAACAAUGGCGGGAACAAAGUAAGUUUCUUGCUUCUAUAGGUACCGUGCCUAUCAAGCUGUUGUGUCAAUCAGACCAUGGCGCCUAAGUUUGGCGCCAUUUUGCUGAAGGCUCCUUUCUAUAUUGGUUGUUAGGACUCUAAUUUUUCGUUAAUUAAUUACAUUAAUUGUGUUUAUAACUAAUUCAACUAAAGUUUUCCAGAUAAUCAUGAAAUAUUAGCAAACUAGUGAGGGUAUUUAAGUCUUUUUGGCACCAAUGACGUAAGAAAUGGGACCUCACAAUCUGACAAGGGAGGUUUGUGAUAUUAUUGAAAUCACAGGGGAGGGAAGUGAAACUGUCAGAAACCUCAGGGGAGGUAUCUGAAAUUAUGGGAUACACUUCUGACAAUAUGCCCCUUUUAGAAUAGCGAUAAGGUUCUGUGUGGGAUAAUUUCAGAAACCUCCCUAGGGUUUGUAACAAUUUCAUCAAGCUUUCUUGAGAUUUUCAAUAUUACACUUACCUCCCUUGAUGAUAGUGACUAUAAUAAUCUUCAUAAUUUUUUCAGAGACAAGCCAUUGAUAAAAAAGGAUUAAAAAAAAACGAAAACAAUUCUUCUUGGCUAAGCCACAUAUUGUGACUAAAUUGUUUCAUCCAUGACCACUAAAUUGUAAUUUUCUAUUACUGAGAAAAGGAAGUAUUUUGGUAAUUGAGGGGCUUGGUUGUUUGAGUAGGAAAAGGGUAAGAAUUAUGAAUUUUAUGAUUGACAGUUUGGUAGACAACAUAUGGAAAAAACUUAUAGAGAGGUAAAAAUUAUAAAGGUAAGAAUUAUGAUGGUGGAUUUUGACAUCUAAAAUAACGAGCUUGUUCGAAAGAGGAAGAAAUGAUAAGACUUUGAAAACUUGGGUAGAUGUAGAAAAUUAUGAGAUGAAAAAUAUUAGGACAUUGGCUAAGUAAUAAAACUCAUAGGUUUAUAGUAUACAAGUGUAUUCUUGAUUUUUGAAAAAUUUUAAUGACUAUUCAUAUUUUGAAAAUUAGAUAAGGACAAUUUUGGGCAUUCGUAUAUUUUUUUGGUCUUACAUCGUCAAGGUGAAACUCAAACCUAUGUUUGAGUAAAUAUAUGUGUAAUUUUCAAAACGUGAGAAAAGCUGUCUGAAAUUAUCAGAAACCCCAGGGGUGGUUUAUGAAAUUAUACAAAAAACUCCAAUAAAGUGGCAGUUCAAACUGGGCCAACCAUCUCCUAUCUUCGCAUGUCCUCCCGCCGGCGGCCCUGAGUCAUCUAUAAAAGUAUAGACCAAGACAGCACUAAUCCCUCAUCAGGCCUCCAUACUUCUUCUUCAGGCCUCAGCAACGAAACAAUAAACUCUGCUCCACUCAACUCUUUCCUCUGUGUCUUGUACUCUUGUCUGAAAAUGGCGGCGUCAGAAGAAGUGAAAGUGCCAAGAAUCAAGCUGGGGUCGCAAGGUUUUGAAGUUUCAGCUCAAGGGCUGGGCUGCAUGGGCAUGUCAGCCGUCUACGGGCCGCCAAAGCCCAAGCCUGAUAUGAUCAAACUCAUCCACCAUGCUAUUUGCAGAGGAAUCACCCAUCUUGACACCUCCGAUAUCUAUGGACCUCACACCAACGAAAUACUCAUUGGCAAGGUACCAUAUUUGCAAAUUUUCUGCUGUUGUCUGCUAUGCAUAAACUCUUGUAAUUUUAAUUUCUAAAAGAGCAUAUUUUUAAAUAUUUUAUUUAGGUAAAUUAUGCUUAAUCCCAUGCACUUCAAAAUUUGUCUCCCUUUGUGCCCCCUUAAUUUUGUUUGUCAGCACUUAAACUCCAUUUGUUUAAAUUGUAAGUAUUAUUAGUCAAAUAUGACAUUGUUCUUCUUCAACUUUUCAUGUUACUGCCUUUUCAGUUUGUCCUCCUUUAUAAAUAUGGGAUGAAUUACUUUGAUUUUGAUUUUGGUGCAAUUUUGUAUAAAAUGAUUUUUGCUAUGAAGUUAUUGAUUUAUUAUGAGCUAUGUGUUGUAUAUUUACAAAAUUCUGCUAGUUAAACAUUCACUUGAGCAAGCCUUCCAAACAUGAGCAAUAUAAUUCUCUAUGGGUGCAUUUGGUAAAUUUGAAGUCUAGAAAUUGAAAUCUAAUCUAAAGUCUGAAUCUAUAAAGUUAUUAAAUUGUUAAGUACUAAAUUUGAUACGUUUGAGUGUAUGUCACAUCAAGUGAAAUGAAUAACUCAUAACUUAUUUUUUGAAGCAAGUUUUGCUUAAGAAAUUUAAUGUCAUUUAAUUAAUUCAGAUAUUCAAUUUUUGGUUAUCAAACGUGUCUAAAUAUGUUAAGAUCUGAAUUUAUUAAUUUUAAGUGUUAAAUUAGGUUAUCAAACAUGACCUAUAAUUAUUAAGUAACCAAGCAGACAACAUGUUUAGUGUAUAAUAGUAAUUAGCUUUCAAUUUGUCUUGUUAUUCUUUGGUAAAGAACUCUUUGAAUUAAUAAUAAUAAUUUUCUCAUACACGGGAAUCAAAAUAAUUGAAGUGUUAUCUCUACAAUUGAGAUAUGUCACCUUCUAAAAGAAAGGAAAGGGAAGGAAACAUGGGGGGAAAAUAGGGAAAGGGCAAAGUGAUGAUAAAGAAAAUUGGAAGUAGCAAAAUGACACAAGUGAAUUAUUGCAAGGGGUUAAGUGUAAAUUAUGUUUAUUUUAUUAGUCUAUUUAACCAGAAAGAUUGGGCUCUUGUAAGGCACCAAUCAAAAGUUCCAAUUGCUGGAAAUAACAUAAAAACUUAGACUUUGUUUGGUUUGGCAUUUUUGGAGGUGGUUCAUGAAAAUUUUAUUGUAGUUUUUUUUUUCUUGUUGAAAAAAUAUACUUGUAAGAGGAAAAAAAAUGGUUGAAAAAAAAUUGAGAGUUUUUUUUAAUAAAUUGUUUUCUAAAUAGCUCAGUCACCCAAAAUUUUCAGUAUUCUGACAAUGGCAUCCAUGUGGUGUCAAUUGUCAAACUUGCAACAAAGUUGAGAAAAGAAGGUCGUAGGUCUAGCUCUUUUUUAAUACGUUGAAUAGCUCUAUCCCAUUAGAAGGAUUUAGAACUCUUCUACCAUCUCUUUAUUUUCUUUUUUUUUUUCCCUUCAAAAUUCUACAUCAUAAUGGAGUUGGUAAAAUAGUACUAUUUUCGUCUUUGAUGUUAAAAUUUUCAUCAAUUUAUGGAAAGUUUACUAUUUCUCUAACAAGAGUUAGUAAAAUUUACUUUUUAUGAGCAGUAAAGUUUUAAAGAUUAUGAAAAAAGAAUUGUAUGAAGGAACAAAGGGGAAAAGAAAGGUAAGAAAAUGGAUGGAUUGUAUUUGGAUUGAUUUUGAGAGGGGAAAGGAGAGGAAAACGGAAAGAAAAGGAAAUGGAUGGAUUGUGUUUUGCUCAGACAUCAUUUCCCUACAAAAGUAGACGGAAACAGAGGGAAAGAAAAUCUUGUUGAUGAUUUUCUAGUAAAAUGCCUCAAGCGCCCAAAUUUUACAUAAACUGGCCAUUUGUGAAACCUGCUUUAGAUAUGAAUUGUGGGAUGCAACAGCAGGCUAGGAAUGUUUGACGAAGCAACUUAUGUAAAUAUUUUAUCGUUAAGUAAAGUUCCUCUUUUGCUGUUAAAAAAAAAGAGAGAGAGAAAAACCAUUCCUUUCAUGUCUGUCAUUCUACCAAACAGCAUAUUUAGGUUUUCUUUCUUUCCCAUCCAUAUCUUAUCCAAAUAAAACAAAUGAGAACUAUUUUCCUCUACUUUCCUUUCCUUUCUUUUUCACUAGGAUGUUUUAUUUAUUUAUCUUUCCUUUCCUUUGAUCCAAAUGGUUCCUAAAAGGGCACUAAUUCAUCUACAUUGAUCAGUUCCCUAUUUUUGUAUUAAUGUGCAUGUGCAUGUGCACGAUUCUGUGUACGUUCAUGUUGUGCAUCAAAUCUUAAGAAUGAAAAAGCUAGAUUGUAAAUUUAAGUUGAAGAAAUAUAAAACAAAAAGAGAAAAUGGAUUGGGUCCUUAAGAGUAUCAGACUUCUAAACUCCAAGGAUUACAUAAUUUUCAUAUCCUUUGCUAUAUAAAGAAGUGGGAUAGCCUAAACAAUGAAGUGUUGGAAAAACUCCAGAGGAACUGUGCCAUCCAUGAAAUCACAAAUCCACUUGCUAUACCAUGCAAUAAUGUUCAUGUCCUUGAUGAUUAAUAUAAUGAAACCAUGGUUCUAGGCCUUGAAGGAAGGAAUAAGAGUGAAAGUGGAGCUAGCAACAAAAUUUGCAGUCAGUUUUCAGGAUGGGAAGUUUGAUGUACGUGGUGAUCCAGCCUAUGUGAGGGCUUCUUGUGAAGCGAGUUUGAAGCGGCUUGAUGUGGACUGCAUUGAUCUCUAUUAUCAACAUCGCAUCGAUACACGUGUGCCCAUUGAAGUCACGGUUUGCUUGUCUUGCCUUUCUUGUUUUUUAGCUCCACCUCAUUCUUGAUGAAACAAAAAUUUGAUCAACUCCAAAUUUUGAAUAAUUCAGUUUCAUUUCCGUUUCAAUUCUUCAAAAGUUGCACAGAAAAGUUAGUCAACCUUAUGGUCUCGGCUAAUCUGCAGUAUGGUAUAGCUGAUUUUGCACAAGGCAUCCUGAAAAGUGAAAACAAUGAAAAUGUCUUGUAUUAGCUUGACGGUCCUGCUGAGGGAUAUACAGGUGGAUAUCAUCCUAUACAUUGUACAGCUUUCUUUAGAACCAAGAGACCUGAGCAUUCUCUUUCAUUUGAGAUAGGCUAUCUGGUUGAGUAAUGAUCUGCUAUUUACUUACCUUGUCAACCAUUUUCAGUUGGUGCCUAAAGCGCUGCAGAUAGACAUUUAUUAUUGAUAUCUAAAAAACAUGGUACUCAUUUUGUUCAGAGCACAGCUUUUUGUCUAAUUGUCAAAGCCAGCUGCAACUGCCCCAUUGACCUCUCCAAACAAUUCAAAGAUUUCAGCAGCUUGCUUACAUUCAGCUUUUAUGAAAUAAUUUCUGUCUUCUCUUUCUCAUGUAAUCAGCAAAGAAUUGUCUUGGUUUCCCUGAGUAUUGGGUAGAAACUUUCUUGCAGUUUAAUCAGUAUAAAGGAAAUCAAGCAAAAUUGGCAACUGAUAAUUGGUAUGUACGGCCAUUAUUAUAUAUAGAAGUCAACAAUGCCAUGUAAUCAUAUUGGAGGAGCAUUAUGUUGGCAUGGUCCAGUAGAACUAAGUCCUCUGGUGGGCUGUACAUAGAGAAGUAUCACCGGAUGCUUAUUGCCAUUUUCAUCAAUUAGUGAUUUCAGUUUGACGUGUACUUUGUCCAUGACUUCGAUGAACUAGUGCAACUUUUACUUUUUGCACGUAAUAUUUUGAUUAUCUGCCUAAGUGCUGAAUGUAAUAAGUCAGCUUAGCAUCUUCUUGUCCAUUGAAAUUCUCUAGAUAGGAGAGCUUAAGAAACUGGUUGAAGAGGGUAAAAUAAAGUAUAUAGGUAUGUCUGAGGCCUCAGCUUCAACAAUUCGAAGAGCACAUGCUGUUCAUCCAAUAACAGCUGUACAGUUGGAGUGGUCAUUGUGGACCAGAGAUGUCGAGGAAGAGAUUAUUCCCACAUGCAGGUAGUGCAUAUAUUCUGCUGCAUUUUCUACAUGGUCUAGAAGAAAUAUUAAGUUCUCAAUUCAGUUUUUGGUAUAAUCUUUCAGAGAGCUUGGCAUAGGGAUUGUUGCAUACAGUCCACUUGGACGAGGUUUCUUCUCAUUAGGUCCAAAGCUGAUCGAGAAUUUGGCUGAAGGUGACUACCGAAAGGUUUGUGCAUAUCGAAAAAGAUGGAGUUUUUUAGUAUACAUUGUUUAUAGUUCGAAUAAGUUUCUCACUCAUCUAUUUUUACCACAUUCAGUGGCAAUCAUGCUUGAUAUCCCUAUUGUUGUCUAUCACAAGCAAUGGGUAGUAUCAAUUUUUAAAGUGCAAAGAUGUCAAAAGAGGAAGAAACUAUGUCACUUUUUAAGUAAAAGUCUCUUUACGGUUUUGAGGGGAAAUGGACCUUGGACUUCAAUUUCAUCAUUUAAUCUCAGGCACAGAACUUAUGCUGUCCUGUGAAACUAUCAUUUUUCCUUUACCAUUAAUCCUAAAACUGAGUUUCAUUGGUCAGAAAUAUACUUCAUAGUAGUACCUCCUCUAUCGUUCAUAGUAGUACCUCCAUCGUUCAAACAAACAAAAAUUAGUUGAUUUGUAUUUUAAGUUUCCUCUUUGAUGGGAAAUGUAUCUCAGAACUUAACUCCAACGGUUGAUGCUUCCUCCGUGGAGUAUUCAGUCGAACUUGAUGUAUUGUUCUUUCCCCUGAACUUGUGCCCUUCAAACAGUAUUUCUGAUCAUCUUGAAGUAAUUAGUACCGUCUGUUCAUUACUCCCUCCCGAUUUCUUGCAUUAUAGUUUCCUCUUUAAUGGGAAAUGUAUCUCAGGAUCUACCUUCUACAAUUGAGGUUUCUUAGAGUACUCAGUCCACCUUACUGGAUUGUUCCUUCCCCUGAACUUUGUACACCUUAAACAAUACUAUCAAUCAUCUUGAAGUUAUUCAUAUUGUCUUCAUUUGUAGACGACACAUGCUUUGCUCCCUUUUGAAUUUCUGGCAUUACAGUUGCUUAAAUUUUGAAAUUCAUACAAUGUAGGGUAUGCCAAGGUUUCAAGCAGAGAAUUUGGAGCACAACAAGAACUUGUACGAGCAGGUCAAUGCCAUUGCUUCAAGGAAGGGUUGUACUCCAUCACAGCUAGCAUUGGCCUGGGUCCAUCACCAAGGCAAUGAUGUUUGCCCCAUACCUGGCACUACCAAGAUUGAGAACCUCAAUCAGAAUAUAGGAGCUUUGUCUGUAAAACUGUCAGCAGAGGAAAUGGCGGAACUUGAAUCUUUGGCUUCUGCGGGAGUCAAGGGUGAUAGGUAUGGGCCUGGCCUUGGUACUUGGCAAACUUCUGAAACUCCACCUUUGUCAACCUGGAAGAGAACAUGAAGACAUACUUUGUUAUGGCAAUAAUUCCUUCUAGCUAUGUGCCUGAUGGUGGAUUCCACUAUAUUAAGAGUUGAGUGAUAUGUAUUUGUUCCAAU